ACAGAAAAAAAAACCUGACAACAGUCUGAUCAGGCCAAUCACAUUGGCGGCACCAAAGGUGCCAAAGAGAUUGGCGGCACCAAUGGUGCCAAUGUGAUUGGCGGCACCAAUGGUGCCAAAGGACUAAAAUGUUAGUUAAGGGCUAAAAUAAUAAAUAAUGAGGGCUUUGGCACCAUUGGUGCCGCCAAUCACAUUGGCACCAUUGGUGCCGCCAAUCUCUUUGGCACCUUUGGUGCCGCCAAUGUGAUUGGCCUGAUCAGGCUGUUGUCAAGUUUUUUUUUUCCUGUUUUUUGUUUUUUUUGUAUAUUUUGGUAAAUAAAAAAUUUUAUAAUAUUUUGGUAAAUAAAAAAAGUUAUAAUAUUUUGGUUAUUUUUUAUUUUUUAUUUUUUAUAAUAAUUUUGUAAAAAACCCAAAUAUGUGGCAUUCGCUACCUUUUUAUGGAACAAUGUGCGUAUAAAACAAACGAUUUUAUAACUCUUAUUUGUUAUCAUUUCGUUAUUAUAUUGCUAAUAUUUUAUUGUUAUUAUUUGGAUAUUGUAUAACUCUUAUUUUAUUAUUAAAUUUGCUACUAUUUUAGAGGUAUUUGUUUGCUAAGUUGCAUUUGUCUUAGUGUCAUUUAAGUAUAUAUUUUUUAUUUUUUUUCCAUUUGUUGCGAAACAUUUAUUUUAAUGUUUUUUGUGUUAUUUGAUGUAUUAUUUUUUAAAAUUUAUUUUUAUAUAAAAAUAAUAUAAAAAUUUUAAUACGGGUGGAUCGAGUAGGGCUUGGGUUUUUAGCAUUUUUUAUUCGAGUCAAGCUUUGGUAAAAUUUUAAGCCCAUUUUUGGUUUGGGCCCAGGCCUAGAAAAUGGGAUUAAUUUUUUAAUUGACCCUACCCGACUUGACCCAUGGACAACUCUAGUUCAAGCCCAAUGUGAAAACAAUUGUCAAGUUCAAAAAUCAAAUUGAAUAAGAAAAAAAUGUUAAACCCAAAAUUCAAGAGCUAACUUAUACCCAAAAAAAAAUCGAAGUCCUAAUGUGGAAAGACUUAUCAAGUUGAGGCCCUAAAUAGUACACUAACUCAAAAAUAAAAUUUACAAUAAGUUAGCUAAAAAAAGGUUAAAAUAUGUCAUAAGUUUUUAUACUUUUCACAAUUUUAGAAUUUAGUCUUUGUACUUUUUUUUGUAAGAAUUUAGUCCCUUUAUAUUUCAGAUUUCAAAAUUCAGGUCCAACAGUUAACACUGUUAAUUUUUUGUUAAACUUGUUGAUUUGAUAUUUUGAAAUUUAAAAAAAAUCACUUGGUAACUAUGUAAUUAAAAAAAAUGAUGUUGCAAUUAACUUGAAUUUAACAAAAAAAAAAUUGUAACAACAUAGCCAAUUGGAUCUGGAUUUUACAAUCUAGAAAGUAGAGAGGCUAAAUUUUUAUAAAUAAAAAUAAAGAGACUAAAUUCCAGAAAUUCAAAGAGUACGAGCACUUAUGACAUAUUUUAACCUUUGAAAAAUAUUUUUUUAAAUAACGACCCAAUCUGACCCAAAUACGUUCAAACUAGAGGUGUCCAUGGGCUGGGUUCGAAUCGAACCCAACCAAGAUUUUAGGCCCGACCCAAAAAAUGUGCCUAAGAUUUGACCCAAGCACAGUCCAGAUAAAAAUGUUAAAACCCGGGCUCAUCCCACCCAUAUUAAUUUUUAUAUAUAUUUAAAUAUAUAUAUAUAUAAUAGAUCAAGAAUACUAAAAUAUUCAAAUAAAUGUUUCCUAAUAAAUUGAAAAUAAAAUUUAAAAAAUAUGUAUACUUAAAUAACACUAAUAUAGGUGCAAUUUAACAAGUAAAUGCGUCUCAAAUUGUACAAUAUCCAAACAAUAACAACAAAAUAGUAGUAACAAUGAAAAAACAACAAGAAAAUAACAACAAAACAGUAAAAAAAAGUAACGAUUUUUUUUGCAUAUUCAGGCCGAGUUGGGGAGGUAUAAAAGCUUUACUAGAGGUCCAACCCCUUUAGAAAAUUGGCCUUAUUUUUUUACCCAAACUUAUUUUUUGAAUUUAUAUUUUUAUCCAAACCCUACUACUUUUCGGACAGGCCGACACGGCACGCAUACAUAGGGGUGUGCAAAAUUCGGGUAAAACCGAAAAAAUUCGGUUAACCGAUUGAAUUCGGUUAAUCGAUCAGUUAACUGAAUUUUUUCAGUCGGGGGUCAGUUAAUUAUUUUUUGAUUUUUCUGUUAAUGGUUAAUUCGAUUCGAAACUGGUCGGUUAACCGAAUUUUUUCGGUUUAACCGAAAAAUUAAUAAAUAAAAUUAUAAUAUAUAAAUAGGUUUACUAUUCACUUAAACUCAAUCCAAACCCAAGUAUUCAACCCAACCCAAUCAUAAAAAUUAGAAAUAAUUUAAUAAAUAAAAAUAAAAUUUUUAUUCUUGUUAACUUAUAAUCUAUUCGUUUGUUUAUAUUAUUUGAUUUUUUUUAAAUGCGUAUAUUUAUAUUAUAUGCUAAAUUUUUGCACAUAUUUUUUUUGUAGGUUUAAUGCAAAUGGAGAUCUUUUGGAGAGAAAAAAAAUAGAUAUAAAUGGAGAAUACUAAAGACUUAUAUUUUAAUUAUGUGUUACAUUUUAAUUAUGUGUUAAUUUCAAUACUUAUGUAAUGUUAGUGAUUCAAAGACUUAUGUAAUUUUUUUUAAUUAUGUAGUGAUUUAAUUCGGUUAAUUUUUAACCAAAAAUAAAAACAUAUAAUUUUCGGUUAAUUCAGUGAACCGGCCGAAUUAAACCAAAAAAAUUCAGUUCGAUUAAUUUUUUUGAAAAAAUUUUAAUUCAUUAAAAAUUUUAAAAAAUUAAUUAAUUCAAUUAAUAUUAUUUCGAGACGGUUAACUGCCGAACACUUCUAUGCUUACAGGUUUAGUACAAACUAUGGGCUGAAACGAUGUUAUAGCAUACCCAGCUAAUAUAAUCCCAUAUCCAUUUUCGGCGGCAACAUCGGAGAGGCACCACUACCAGCGCCAAUUCCCGGACCUUCUUCUUCAGUUAUACAUUCUCAAUUCAAAUCAAAUCAAAUCGUACACUGAAAAAAGCUUAACGAAAAUGGUGCGUAUAGAAGAAAAGCAAGGCACGAUAGUGCCUAGUUCGAUGCCCCAGCAACAAAACCCUCUGCAGCAAUUGCAAGCUAAGUUCAAGGAAGUGGAGAACGGUUUCAGGGCUUGGUUAUCCAAGCAACCCUUGCCAGUCGAGGCGACUGUUGUAACCACCACCGGCGCAGCUCAGGGCGCUGCUAUCGGUGCUUUAAUGGGUACCCUCACCAAUGAUAUUUCGUCCUCUCUUCAAACUCCUCCUCAAGCUUCCCUAAAUCCUCAAGCUAUGGCUUCUUUCAAACAAGCCCAGGUCGUGUCCUUUUUCAAAUUUGGUUGAAAACCCAAAGUCACGGUCUAUGCUUCGUGUUGGGUUUAUGCUGAUAGUCUUAUUUUGGGUUUAAUUAGGUUCUUAAAUGGUGCAAGCUAAUUGAAUUUCUUGUUGUUUAGAAAAAAAGCAUUAGUUUCUACUUGAAACCAUUGAAGGGUUUUUCUAAACAGCACUGUAUUAUUAGUAGAUAAAUGAAUUUUAGUUAUAUAUGUAUAUAUGUGAUAGAUGUUUGCUUUGAUUAUAGGCUCUAUCAGGGGGUCCUUUGGUACAAGCUCGCAACUUUGCGGUGAUGACCGGUGUUAAUGCCGGCAUAUCUUGUGUUAUGAAAAGAUUGAGAGGGAAAGAGGAUGUGCAAUCUAGGUAGGUCCUUUUAUAAUCACGGUUUAUUUAUCUUUUCUCAUUUACUUUGGUUUAUAGCUAGAGGAAAUCACUACUAGUCAAAAUCGCAAAUCAAUGUGAUCCCUGUUGAGAAGCAGAGAAAAACUUGAUGUCAGUCUUUAAGGUCAAAACAAUCUUAGCUUUCCUAAUUUUACAAUCUAACAAAUUGUUCAUGGUAGGGUAUCUUUGCUUGCUUGUUUCUGAAUUUGGUCAGUUGGAAAGAGUUUUCUCUGUUGCUUUGGUCUAAAAGUAGCACGGUUAGAUUCAUCAACAGAGAAUUUGAGAAGGGAUGAUGUUAAUAUGUAUACCUCUAGUCUGUCAUCGGGUCAUAAUUUCGAAGCAAUGUUUUCUUGAAUUUACCUGGAAACUCUAAAGGUUUUUGCCUUUUUGGAACCAAUCUCGAUUUCCCUUCUGGCUUAUCUGGGAAAAUAGCUCAUGUCAAGCUAUGUUAAGAAUUAAGAUUGUGGUCCCGUUAUUGUUCAAUAUUUGUGUGCGGUAUUCUGAAGAUUGCAUUGAUGAUCAAAGCUUGUUGUUUGAAUAAAUAAAUGUAGACUUUACCGGUUUGUUUUGUAUGGCUAGACUAUCGUACUUAAUGUUUACACUUCCUUUUAACAUAACUAUUGUAUCUUGCAGCAUGGCGGCAGCUUUUGGUUCUGGGGCCAUGUUUUCUUUAGUCAGUGGCAUGGGUGGACCAAAUCAGGCUGCAAAUGCAGUCACUUCUGGUCUAUUUUUUGCACUUGUGCAAGGCGGGCUUUUCCAGGUGAUGCGUUAUCUCAUUAGCCUCAUGUGUCUCAUUAUUUUAUUGUCAACCCACGUUAUUAUAUGCUCUGCUAGCUGUGAACAUGAAGGAACAUACAUAAACCAAAAAACCGAGAACAUGGCUUGCUAAAAUUUCAGAAUCAUUUGUUGUCAAGAGUGUCUACCUCCAUGAACUUUGAAAUAUUGCUCUGCCAGUUUGUAGCUUCAUAUCUAAUAGCUACGGAUGCUUAUCUGGACAUGAGCAUGGCAGAUAUGACUCGUCAAGGACUCUCUCAAUAUGUGGAAAAAGUUGAACAUGCUCGUGUCCAGUGCAAACCUGUAUCUGACACUCACCCAAAUCCAAAUAACAUUGUUUAACAGCAUCUUUUUUGUGAUUAUACAGUUGGGGAAAAAGUUUUCUCAGCCACCUGUUGAGGAUGUGAAUUAUUACAGAACAAGAUCCAUGUUAAACAGUCUCGGCCUGCAGAACUACGAGAAGAAUUUCAAAAAAGGCUUGUUAACAGAUAGCACAUUGCCUUUGCUCACUGAUAGGCAAGCAGUUGGAUUAUUUUUACCUUUAGUUUAACUUUUUUAAUUAAUAUAAAAUAUUCUGAUGGCCUUUAAAUUGCAUAUGAUUUGUUUCAGUGCUCUUAGAGAUGUGAAAAUACCUCCUGGACCAAGGCUCCUUAUUCUUGAUCAUAUUCAAAGGUUAAACUUGAAUCUUUCAUGUAGGAUAAUUAUAAUUAUUGCCCUUGAGACCAUUGAAUCCUAUCUCACCUUCGGGUUUCAAUAAUAUUUUUCAGGGAUCCAGUAUUAAAAGAGAAGCAAGGGCACCGUGGUUGAAUUUUUAUUAUCGAGCCAGUUCAAAACAAAGGGGCUAUUUCUGGCAUAUCUGAAAACCGGAGGAGCGAGGUAGUUUGUUUUUUUUUCCUUUGGAUUAACAUGUUUGCUCUAGCUUUGAUUUAGUGAAACAUCGGAAAAACAUUCUAAUUUUUGUGAACUCGAAUGCAUAGUUUUGGUAUUUGCAUCUGUUUUUUUUUUCUCUAGGCAAAGCAUUAACGAUGACCAAGUUUAACUAUAACAACAAUGAUAGCUUUGCUGCCAUUAGGUAGCAUUAAAAUGUAAAAAAGAUAUUUGUGCUCGUAAGAUACUCAUGGAUUGAAAAAACUCCCAUCGGUUUGGCCAUUGCCUUAGCUGAGCUUAAACCCUCGAGAACAGCUUGCAGCUCAGCAAAAAGUACAGUGGCCAUACUAAUCCUCCUCCCAAUACUGCAUAGCCACAUCCCUCAUCCCUUGAGCAUCCCGUAUUCUCCGUUACCCAGUCAUUUGACAGCAACCGCCGCCCGAAGCCUCCCUCACCAACCUGCAUGCUCCAACUCUGUACUAAAAGCCUUCUUAUACCUGCUCGCUUCAACCCAACAGUGCCUAACUACUUGAGCAGCGGGUCUUGUAACAUUCUCAAAGAUGUAUUCAUUCCACAGCUUCCAUAUGUACCUUAUCAAAGUCCUGAACAUAGUUCCCCACUCAACACCCGAACCAGCUACGCUAUGGGCUCCAUUCACAUUCUCCUCGAUCCAAUGUACUUGAGCUGGCACAUUAUAUUUUGACAUGUAUAUUCAAACUAUAUGAUACUAUGUCAUCUUGGGGUCACGACAUCUGGUAUCUUGUUUGUUGAAAAAUGGAUUGAAAUAAUGGAAAGUAAUGCUUGUUACGUAUAGAACACUGUCUUUAAGGAUAAUUCGGAGAGUUUUCUUUUCAAGAAAUUAAAAAAGAAAAAACGAGCCUAGUCAUACUCUCAAACCCUUGCAGGGGCAAACCAAGCCUAAAUUUCCAAAACAUGGUAAGUUAACAGGGUAAACUUAAGCUGUUAACAGAGUAAACUUCAGCUGUUAACUUACCAUUUUAGGAGAACGAUGUCUGUCUGAAAAAUACUUCAAUGGUCGAAACAAGAUUGUUGUUCGUCUGACACCAAUAAUCAAGGUUCGAGAAAAAAAUCGAAUAUUAGUCAUGUACAGCAAAACAUCGAAAAUUCCAAUUCAUUGUCGAAUUUUCAGUAAAAACCAUUUGUUCUAAAAUUUUAAUGUUUACCAUUUACAAAGUACUAAAAUCUCCACAAAAAUAAUCAUCCAAUCUAAAGACAAAACAAACCAGGCAAUACCCCUUUUUUUUUUUUUUCUUGUUCAAACGACCUGUUUCUUGCCUUUGCAAAAAAAACUGUAAUUAAUCAAAACCGGCAACCUUUAGCCGGCGAAAACAGAGAAUCAACGGCACCGAUUUUAUCCUUCAUCAUUUCCAUGAUUUGUGAAGCUGAAGGCCUAACAGUAGGUGACCGGUGAAGACAAAGUUCAACGAUCAAAAGCAAAGCUUUAGCUUCUUCCAAAUCAAACUCACAACCUAAACGCCGAUCAACCAUUUCCGCCACCGUCUCCUCCGCCCUACCACACUUCGCAAUAUCCCUUAAUUUCGGCGCCACCAUUGUCGUCAAUAGUUGUCCCCUUUCGGGACAAAAAGCUUCCAUACCAGUCACAAGCUCCAAAAUAAUAACACCCAAACUGUAAACAUCGUUCUUCUUUGAAGCGAUACCGGUCCUCAAGUAAUGAGGGUCGGUGUAACCCGGUGAGCCUACCAUUAUUUGCUUCGUCCUCGACGACGGAGGCAUUACCGCCGACGAGAAACCCAUCUUCGCCGACCCGAAAUCGCAGAGGUUACAGUUGAAACGCUCGUCUAAUAAGAUGUUUGAAGCUUUGAUAUCGCCGUGAACUAUUUGCAGGCUGCAUUUUUCGUGCAAGUAUUCAAUUGCUGCAGUAAGCUGAAAAGCUAUGGCGGUUCGGGUUUUCCACGGAAGAAAAUUCUUUUCAUUUCCAUGGAGUUUUUCUUGUAAAUUUCCAUUUGAAAUGUAUUCAAACACAAUGGCACCUUCCUCUGUAAACAAAAAACCAAAAAAUGUCAAAAAGACUAAUGAUCUCAUUUGGCUUAACAGCCUCUUUACUUUGCAGUGACUUUCACUUUAGCCCCUUGACUAUAUUUUCGUGUGGUUUUCUUCCUCUACUUUCAUUUCAUCCAUCACGUUAGCCCCCCAACCAUUUCUGUUAAAAGAAAUCUCAGGGGUUUGCCCCUUAACUUUGUAGUGACUUUCACUUUAUCCCUUAUUCAAUAAUGAAAUUCUCAUUCUGCCUUGUAUUAUAAUUUAAUUCUCACGUUCACAUUUAAUUGGCUCAAAUGGAAGUAAAUGAGGCAAGUGAUUGGCAAAACAAUAAAAGAGCUAAAAUGAGAAUUUUACCAUAGUGUAGGGGCUAAAACAAGAGUUUUCAACUAUUUUCUUUAUUUUAUUUUUACCCUCACGUGUUCAUCCCUUAUAAUGAAAUUCGUAAAAUUUUCAAUUUGGGAAUUUCACUUUCGCCUUCCACGUGUUUAGAUUUGAUUGACUUAAACAACCACUCGAUUUAAAAAAAAAGAAAAGAAAUGCUCAAUGAGCUAAAGUGAUGGAUAGAAUGAAAGUAGAAGGCAAAACGACCAAAAUGAGAAUUUUACUAUAAUACAGGGGCCAAAACAGAUAUAAACCUUUUCAUUUUAAAGAGAGAAAAAAAGCGAAGACUAAUGCAUAACGCACCUUGAUCGUCGCAGUAACCGAGGAAUUUAACGAUGUUUUCAUGUCGGAUUCGGGUUAAAAUGUCCAGUUCCUGUUUAAACACUUGAUUUAAUCUAUCAUUUCCGACAAGGAUCUUAACUGCUCCGAGAUUAGAACCCGACAAGUUAGCCAAGUACACAUUACUGAACCCACCUUGUCCGAUCAACCGCGAAAAUCCUUUAGUCAAAUCCUUAAUCUCAUCCCAUUUAAAUUUCCUAACACCCCUUUGUUCCCCAUCUUUUCCCUUCUCUUCAUCGGCCCGACUAGUCGCCGCCGUGUGUUUCCGGCGUUUAAGGAAUUCCAACAAGAAUCCCAUAGCAAACAAAAGAAGAGAAACAGCGACGACAACAGCGAGUUGAGGAUAAAACAGCGGCGAUUGAGUUGCUUUUAAAGAAACUGUCAGCGCUGUCGGCGGAGAAACGGUGGAAGCGACGACGAAAGUGGUGAAUGAAGAAGAUGAAAAGAAGAGUGUUGGUAGUAAUAAAAAGGAAGAAAUGGAUGGGAUGUUCCAACAACAUUGGCACCAGCAGACAAACUUUAUGACAUCCAUAAUCCAACAACCAUUUUUUUAAACCUUAGAUCUGUCGGUAGUCAACACUCUAGUAGCCAUGGUGAUGGUUAACAUAAUCUGACAAAAAAAUCAAUUUAAAAAGUAGAGAAAAAAGAAGAAGCCAUGGAAAUAGCUUCCUAGGGUUCUUUCUUUUUCUUUUUUCUAUUUUUCGCGUGAUUUAUGUGUAAAAGUAAUUUAAAUAGAAAACAUACGUAAGCAAUUUUUUAAAGGGUUUUAUACUCUUUUAAAAUUCGAAAUUUAGUCCUUCUGAUUUUAUUUAUAACAAUUUAGUCCAUUUAUAUCUCAAAUUUCAAAAUUAAGUUACAAUUUUUAACACGUUAAUUUUUAUUUGUUAAAUUUGUUGGUGUGACAUUUUGAGAUGAAAAAAGAAAUACCCAGUACCAAUGUAACUAAAAAUAUAACGUCUUGAAUUUAACAAAAUAAUUUUAACAGUGUCAACAGUUGGAUCCGAAUUUUAAAAUCUAAAAAACAGAGAGACUUAAUUUCUAGAAAUUAAAAUAUAAAAUUAAAUUUCAAAAUUAUGAAAAAAUAUAGGAAAUUAUGGCAUAAAAAUGAAUAUGGAUAACAAAAGAUGAUAAUUUCAAAAAAUUGGAUAUUUUAAUAAUUUUUGAUAUUUGGAUGAUUAAAUGAAAUAGAAAUCAUAUUGGAAUUAUCUUUAAUGGAGUUCAUUUUGCAUAAAAGUUUAAUUGAGAUUAUAUCUAUAGUAUGCUUUUUAAUGGAAAUGUACAGAAAUAAUUAUUAUUGGAUUUCCAUUUUAAUAAUCCAAAACAUAAUAUGAGUAUUAAAUAGUUUUUUUAAUAUAUAAGUUCGACACGAUAUUAUUGAGAGGAACAAUCAUAUAAAACGUAAUUAAAAAUAAUAUUUAUCACAAUAUUCUAGAAUAUACAUUUAUUUUUUUUCUGAGUUAUAAAAUUUCACAAUAUCAAAUAUCCUAUUUAUACAUAUAUUGCACGUGCUGAUUUUUUUGUUCUACUCGGCCAAUUUAAGGUGGCCCGCUAAAAAUAUUCAAUAAUUGCAGCCCUUUGAAUUAACUUUUUAGAUUUCCUUUUUCUUUUUUUUUUUAAUAAUUUAAAGCGCGUAUAUAUAAAGAAAGGACUAAUUUCAUUUAAAUUAUUGGGAUUUGAAUUAAAUUACGAUUUUUUUUUUGCUUGAUUUUAAAAUUGGGAAAAUAACGAAAAGAACACUACUUUUAAUAUUUUUAUUCAAACCAAUUCAAUUAAUAAACAAUUAAAAGACUAUAAUAACUAUAAAAAUAACCAUAAAUUUUAAAAAUUUUAUUUUACUAUUUCAAUUAAAUCGUAUAAUUUUUAUUUAUAAAUAAAUAUAAUUUGAUAUGUAUAUAAAAAAAUCUUGAUUGAUAGCAGUAAUUAGUUUAGAAAUCAAUUAAUUAUUCAUAUAAUUUAUUUUUUAUUUAAUAAACUUCAAAUUUAAAUCAUUUUGCACGCCUUAUUUGUCAUGUCAUGCACUACAGUUACGACAAUGGUCGGUACACGUGUUCCCCUUCCUUCUACAAUAUAAUACUUUUUAGGUGGUUUUAAAUUUAAUUUUAUUAAUAUAAAAAUUAUUUUAAUCCUCUUCACCACGUUCUAAUUACAAUAUCAUUUAAUUUUUAAUUACUAUAAUUUGUUAUAAUACAAUGGGUUUGGGGAGUAAAUAAAAAAUUUGCAAAAGUUGAUGGUUUAUUGUUUUUUGGAUUAAGAUUAAAUUGAUAUAAUUUAUAAGUGUUGAGGGUUAAAAUUACUGUUAUACCAAUUUUAAAACUGUCAACUAGUUAGUGGCAGAAAAAUAAAAUUAGAUGAUUAUUUUAUAAUUUUUUAUAGUUGGAUGACCGUUUAUAUAGAUUAGUCUAAAUUUUAAUUACUAUAACUCGAUGGUUCAUAGUCUAAAUGAAAAUUGUUCACACAGGGAAGUUUUUAUAGUAAUAGGCAUUAGCUUAUUUAUUUUUAUAGAUGGGAAAAAGCUUGAUGUGUGCCCUCCUCUUAUGAUAUAGUCUUCUUAUUGCAUAAAAAUAUUAGGUUCGAUUUUAGAGUGUGGUUGGAUUUGACUCUUUCGGAGUUGAUGAGUUUUGAGGUGUGAGUCAAGUAUGAAUUAUACGAGAAUUGAUUAGUUUAAAAAGUUAAGAUCAUUAAAUGAGAUUCAACUUGAUAUAAUCAUUGUGAUUAAUAAAAUUACGACAAUAAUGCUAGCCAAGCACUUAAUAUCCAUCAAAUACCUUCAUCAUAUAUUAUAUUAUAUUAUAGCUAUGGUUCCAUAUGACUAGAUUGAUUGCUAAAUAUCAACCAAAUUGUUGAUUUGAGAAAUAGUCACAAACCAAUUGCUUGCUAUUGCUGACUAUGAGCAUUGAUUCGCUGCACUUGAUUUUAGAUUAGAUGUUAAAUAGCUAAUUUGGUGCCAUAUAAUUUUCUGAAUCCUCAUUUUCAUUUCACUAUCCCUAUAUCUUUAUGUCAUGUCAAACUAUAAUUAUAUUAUAAUUAAAAUUAUGAGAUCUAGAAAGUGAUAAUGCUUUACUAAUUGACGUUAUAUAGAAUGGGUAGUGGGCAGUAAGUACAACGAAUUUAGGUCAAUACACGAUUGGUGUUCUAAAGAUUGGAACUUGAAAUUCCGACAUAUUUUGAGGGACAAAAUGACAAUGUGACAGAUCGCAUUACCAAAAAGACUAGAGAUGAAAUAGAACAGUUGAUUAUUCAUAUGGAUCUACCGACAUAUGUGAGAGUUUUAUUGGUGGAAGAUGUCCAACGCACUAUUCAUACAAUGGUUGACGGACAAUAAUACUGCUGUAGUUUUAGCCUAUGGCUAAACUCUUAUUUAUUAAAAAAGGAAAUUACGAGAUCUAAUUUUUCAUAUAUUACUUUGAUUCCUAUCAUCAUCGUCAAUGUAAUAGUUACAUUAAUGAUGUAAUUGAAAUCUUAACUUAAUGUAUUACCAAAAAAUAACUCCAAUGGUGAGUUUGAAGUUAUUAAAAUUUUAAGAUAUUAUGUUGAAAUCACGCCCUUAACUGUGAUUUAAUGUGUAUUGUAAACAUAGUACCAAAAAAAAAUGCCCCAAUUGAAAAAUUAUCAUUAAAUCUUAAAAUAAAUUUAAUUUUUAAUCGGACUCCAUUUUUUUUUUCUAAUUAAGUCUUAUGAAAAUUUUAAUUAAACCCUCUAACAUUUUCAAAAAUUCUCAUUAACCAUCUUAAAAAUAAAUAAAAAAAAUUAAACCUUUCAAAUUUUUUGAAAAUUUUAAUUGAGCUCUCAAAAGUUUUGGAACUUUCAAUAAAACCCCCAAAACUCUACUUAAAACUUAAAAAGGAUAAAAUUAAGUAGUUGGAUGGUGACCAUACACUUAAAAGGCGACUCCCUAAUAGCAUGAAGAGUAUCAUUUACCAACCAAAUCGCUAUGAAAGAUUGCCUUCUCACGUAUCUAAUUAUUUAGUUAUUCAUUUUAUUUAUAAAAAUAUUUACAUAUAAUAAUAAAUUUAACAAUUUGUCAUGCCAACCAAAAGAAGUUUCAACUGAAAAGCAGAAACUCUGGGGCCGGUGGCUUCUACAAAUCAUAGCUAACUUUUAUUUUGGUGAAUGUGUGUUUCUAUUAUUAAACAAAUCAAUUUAAUACUUAUACUAUUAAAAAUAUAAAAUAAUACUAAAUUGAAAGAAAUUAUUUUAAAAAAUUAAGAUGAACUUAGUUGAUUCUUUUUUAAUAUCAUAAAGACUAAAUUGAUCCAGAGACUAAUAAUACAGGAACCUCUCAUGUACUUUAACCUUUUAAUUUGUUUUUUCACUUGAGAUUUGGGCUUGAAUUUGCAGGCCUUCACAUGAAAGGUAAUGGGCUUUUAGGAAACUAUUGACCCAUGGACACCAUUUGCGAGGGCUUGUUUUAUGUGAACCUAAUAUCCAAAACUUGGUGCCUUAGUCCCACAAUCCCUUGGUUUAUGAUGCUUUUGGGAAAUAUUGCAACGUAAUUCACACUUGUUUUGGGGAAAAGUCCCCCAACAGAACACUGUUACGGUAAAAACUACUGCAGGAGCCGGUGGGCGUUCUUUUUGCCCUCUCAGUUCAUCUAUAAGCAGCAGACCACUACAGUCCUUUAUCUUGGUCUCUUGGCAAGCCCGAGUAGUGGUUGGGUGAAACUUAACACGGACAGCACUUCAUGGAGCAAAACCCGGGCAAUGUAUCACGGGGCUAGAAUUCCACUGCCUGUGACAAAUGCAGGUGGUGAAGCUGUUAUCUGCGAUCACAAUGGAAACUCGGUCAUCGAAGCAAUCAGUAAGCUUUCUCGCAUAGGACUCUCAAGCAGAUGUAUGCCGAUACACUAGGGAACCAAUUUCCAGUAAGCUUACAACUAAAUGUAUGUUUGGAAUAUAACACUAGACAAAAAUGCGAAAAACAACAUGAAUUAAUAAACAAAUAUCUCAGAAUCAUCAAAAUUUAUAUAAAUAUAGAACUAUCUUACAAAAUUACAUAAAUUAAAAAGAAAAACAAAAAAGCCUAGUAUUGGGCUUGCCAUUUUCUUAAAGAGUUUACAAAAUGGUGAAAGAACGUCCAGGCGUUGCUUGAUUCCACUCAACUUUACAUUUUGGUUAAACACACACCAAAAAAAGAGUGUAUUUUCAUAUAAAGUAAAACUGCCUGUAAAAAUGAAAAUACUUCAAAAACACACACAUUGCCUCAUCUAAAACAAACAUAUAUGAGACACUGGAAACAUUAAAAAAACAUGACACUAAAAAACUAGAUGUAAGAUUUACCUAACAAUUAAGGACAUUCUAAUCCAACUCCGCCUUGCUCUUUGAUCUUUUCAUCUUUGCUUUAAACCUUGAUUUCGUCAUGAGUGUCUGUAUUGUGUUUAUAAAGUUUCCAACAGCCAUCAAAACCAAGAGUAUCCCACAACAAAUUACCUGCCAAAAUCCAAAUUUUUCAAGUUUACAUACAACCAUAUGUUGUUUACUAAUUCUUUAUACUUUCAGGCAUAUAUGAUCAAAGAGAGAAAUCAUGAGAUGUGAAAACCUACCUGCCAUUCAGUAACAACUCCAACAAAUGCUGUCUUGAGCAAUAGCAGUCCAACAUAUGCCUCAAAACCCUAUAACAAUGAUCAAAACAACUGAAGGUUUUAGUCCCUUUUAGUGGUUAAGAAAAACAUCAUAAAACCAAUUUCGACCCGUCUACAUAUUCUCAGCAAUUAAUCAAAAGUUAGCUUUGCAUUACCUGCAUAACGAAAAGUAUUGGACAUAAAACCCACAGUUGGCCAUCUACACCAGACGUUUCACCCCACACAACAUCCAUUCUAUUAGCCUGGAAACAACAAUAAAAGAUUUGCAUUUAGAACUGAUUCUCUAUAAUUUUAAGAAUCUGAAAAGGAGGCAUAAUAGCCACUGCUUAUAGCUACUAUGCAAAAAUAAUUAACGUUUAAAGGAAACAACUUUUUUUUAUGCAGGUUGCAGGAAGAAGACAACACCUUUCCAAGGGCAAUACGAGUAUAAAGUCUCUGACGCUGAUAUCUAUUUUGAAGAAGCAUGGCAACUCCUUGCAUCAUAGCCCAUUGAAGGAAAAGUUCUACACCUCUCUGCACAGGAUUUAACAGAUUGUUAAUCAGCAAUAAGUUAUAAAUAAUUAGCAUACAAUGGCACAACAGUGACCUGCUUUUGAGCACAAUUAGGCUGUCUUUUGAUCUCCCAAGUGAGACUAACUAGGGCCAUAAGCAUAGCACAAUAGUGAUGGUAUAUCCACCUGCAGAAGUAUAAUGGUCGUCAAUACAAGCAAGCAAAUCUCUAUGGUCUCUCAUGCAAAUCCGACAGCAUAGCCAACAUAAGCAAUCAAGACAAUUAAUCAAAGUGCAAUAAGAGACUGUUCUAGGCAUUAAUAUGUAUACAAAAGUUAUCCAAUAUUUGUCUUCUUCAAAUACAUAUAAGCCAUCUACAACCUAAGAAAUGGUUACAAGUUACAAACAGUACAUAAACUCAGUUGUGAUGAUGGGGUAACCAAAGGAGAAUUUAACAUAGACACUAUUUCCUUUCAAUGUCCUCAGAGAAACAGCCAAAAGGAUGAUUCCACCCUUCAAAGCUUAAAGAAACAUCAACUUCACAUUAUCAUACCGGUAAAAAAUCUACAUCCCUCUAACACUAACUCUCCAGUUACAUGCCUGCUUUCAGGGAAUAACACAACAAGAUAAACAUGUACAUGUUUGCUUUCAGAAAACAUUUGAGGAAAAGAAAAAGGGAUACAGUUACCAUGGACGGAUGUCACUUCCAUUUGCUCGCAAUAUGUUCUCUCGCAUAGCCAAACCAGUGUAAAGGAACAACAACCAUGCCUGACAAUUACAUAUCAUACACUCAGCAUCAAUUCACAGAAAUAUAACUCCGCCUUAAAUCAGCAACAAGUGAACCAAAUCUAAACAAAAACCCUAAGGAGUAACCUUUAUAAUACCUCGUACAAUUGAACUGGAAAUGCAGGCAAGCAGCCUUCCCAAAUCCAAGAUUUUAAAAUAAGCAAGGUUAACGGGAAAAGAAGAAACAGAAAGGCAGUCCUAUCCUGUUGAAGGAAAACCAGUUCAGAGUAAGCAUAAAUACUUAAAAUUUCAAAAAUUCCCAAUUUUCUAUCUAAUAAAAAUUCACAAACAACUCAUGAAUUUGAUAAAUCCUACUAUUAAUUUGGUGAAUUUCUAUACGAGGGAAAUGACAUGCAACUGUUGAAUUAAAGAAUUUAUUCAUAUGCAAAUCAAAAGACAAUCAACGAAUAAAAAUUAGAAAAGGGUAAAAGAGAAGUGAUGCUUACUCUAUAGCUGUUAUAUUCCUCCUUAACUUUCAACUGGACUUCUUUACGAGAUGCCCGCACAUUGAUUGGUCCCAGAAACAUCCUCAGAAACCUUCCUGCAUACCAAUUACAAAUAAUUAAUCGCUACCUCUAAUUACAAGAAAUCAGAUCACUUUAAAAAAGAGACAAACAGAGAACAUGUAAGUAUCAAAGUAUACCCUGAGCUUUGGCAGGAAGAAAAGCAGCGGCUUCUCCAUCUGUUAAGAUGGAGCUGGCUCUCUGUAAAUCCUCUUCGAGCUGUUUCUCAGAUCCAAAACAAAAUAAAAUAAUUAGAAGAGAGAAAUGAUAAGAAAAAGGAACAUGCAAAGGUUAAGGAGUUUUGCCUUGCUUGCGAACUUAGGAUCCAAAAGCUUUUUAGAUACAAGCGAGUUGAUCGAAGAACGAACACGGCGAAUAGAGGAUUCAAGAGAAAUGGCUUUUUGGCGAAGAGACUGCUCCUCGUUUGAAAUCUUCCAUAAAAGCGAAGCUCCAGAUUCGUGCAACUCCCUGGCUUGCUCCAUCACCCUCCCUACUUCUUCUUCAAAUUUAUCCGCAGACGCAGACGCAGACGCCGAUUCAUUCGCCCUCUGCAUUUCCUCGUCUUUAGAAUUUUCGAGUAAAAUCGUUUUUGGGGGGGGUUAUCCUAAUAAAAUCGAACAAUGAAUGGGUACGAUUUAGCAUUCCCUGGAUAUAUAGUAUAGGUAACAUGGUCACAUGGUCGAUUUGUAAUAUUUUAGGACUGCUAACGUCAAGUUAACAUAACACAUUAUAUCAUUAUUUUAGAUAAAUUUUUAAAGUUAAUUUCCAUAAUUACUCUUUAUAUCUUUUUUAUAAUUUAAUUCUUUAUAAUGUAAUUUAUUUUUUUUAUAAAAAAAUAAUUAUAAAAAGUCUUAAGUAAAUUUUCUUAAAAUUGCUUAAUCCUCUUCUUGAUAUUAAAGUCUCAUCCAAGUAAAAGUCACUUAAAUAUAACGAAAUGUUCUCUCAAAACUCACACUUGUUCAAUUUCGAAUUAAUUUGCUUCUCAUUCUCUUAAAAUCUGCAACAUGAUUCGAAGGCGUGCAUCGUGAUCAUCCUCAGUUUUGAAAUAUACAAAGAUAUAUCAAUAAAUACAGUUACGAAACUGAAAAUAAAAAUAAAAAAGUCACUCGUAGUAUCCGUAUCAAGUCUUGAAUGUGAUUUUAGGGAUAAGACAGGCAUUUUGACAUUCCUCGACAAUUUCUGGACAAAAAGUUCAGGACAUUGCGAGGGAUGGUUCUACGAAUCCUUAACCCUUAAAUCUUAAAGUUAUUGCAAAAGCUAAAGCUGUUAUUAGCGAUCACGAUUGAAACUAGGCCAUCAGCAUAUCCCAAAAGCAAUCAGUGUUGUGGCCGGGCUGUGGACUGUCCACAGUGGCCUGGAGAUGGCCAUAAAUUUGAAUAUCAGAAAACUAGGGGACCAACUUUCAGUAAGAUUACAACUAAAUGUACUUGACAAUAAAGCAAUGCGAACAAUAACACGAAUUUAAUAUCUCAGACUCGUUAACAAAUCAAAAUUUAUAUAAAUAAAAAUACCUUACAAAAAUACAUUUCAAAGAAAAAAAAAAAAGAAGCCUAGUCUUGGACUUGCCAUUUUCUUAAAGAGUUCAAAAUGGAGAAAGAAUAUCUAGGCGUUGCUUAUGUAAGAUUUACCUAACAAUCAAGGACAUUCUAAUCCAACUCAGGCUUGCUCUUUGAUCUUUUCAUCUUUGCUUUAAACCUUGAUUUUGUCAUGAGUGUCUGUAUUGUGUUUAUAAAGUUCCCAACAGCCAUCAAAACCAAAAGUAUCCCACAACAAAUUACCUGCCAAAACCCAGUUUUACAUUAUUGGUACCAUUUUUCAAGUUCACAUACAACCAUAUGUUGUUUACUAAGAGAAAACCUACCUGCCAUUCGGUAACAACUCCAACGAAUGCUGUCUUGAGCAAUAGGAGUCCAACAUAUGCCUCAAACCCCUAUAACCAUGUUCACAACAACUGAAGGUUUUACACCCUUUUAGUGGUAAAAAGAAUAUCAUAAAACACAUUUCGUCCCGUCUACAUAUUCUCAGCAAUUAAUCAAAAGUUAGCUUGCAUUACCUGCAUAGCAAAAAGAAUUGGACAUAAAACCCACAGUUGGCCGUCUACACCAGACGUUUCUCCCCACACAACAUCCAUUCUAUUAGCCUGGAAACAAUAAUAAAAGAUUUGCAUUUAGAACUGAUUCUCUAUAAUUUUAAGGAUCUGACAUGGAGGCAUAAUAGCCAUUGCUUAUGCGGGAAGAAGAUAGCACCUUUCCAAGGGCAAUACGAGUAUAAAGUCUCUGACGCUGAUAUCUAUUUUGAAGAAGCAUGGCAACUCCUUGCAUCAUAGCCCAUUGAAGGAAAAGUUCUACACCUCUCUGCACAGGGAUUUAACACAUGGUUAAUCAGCAAUAAGUUAUAAAAAUAAUAAAAUUAAUUAGUGUACAAUGGCACAGCAGUGACCUGCUUCUGAGCACAAUUAGGCUGUCUUUUGAUCUCCCAAGUGAGACUAACUAGGGCCAUAAGCAUAGCGCAAUAGUGAUGGUAUAUCCACCUGCGAAAGUAUAGUGGUCAUCAAUACCAGGAAAAUACUAUGCACAAAAACAAAUUACAGACGAACAUCAAGAAUGAAAAUCUAUACGUUCUAGAAUUGAUAAUCAACUAACAUAUACACAUUCCAUAACCUGGGCAAUAAUUGUUCUCACAGGCUGUUGUAAGCCGCAAAAAGGAGAUCCACAAGAUUAAAUGGAUUUGAACGAUUUCAGAUGAUCCACAUAAAGCUUUCAUGGAUAAAUAAGAUGCCAUUGCAGUAAAAUGCUAGCAUGUAAUCACAAGCAAGCCAAAUCUCCAUGGUCUCUCAUGCAAAUCCGGCAACAUAGCCAACAUAAGAAAUGUGCAAUAAGAGAGUGUUCUUUUAUUUUCAACUAAGUUAGGGAUAACAUACAGAUAAGCCAUCUACAACAUAAGAAAAUGGUUACAAGUUACAAGCAAUACAUAAACUCAGUUGUGAUGAUGGGGUAACCAAAGGAGAAUUUAACAUAGGCACCAUUUCCUUUCAAUGUCCUCUGAGAAACAACCAAAAGGAUCGAUUCCACCCAUCAAAACUUAAAGAAACAUCAACUUCACAUUAUCACAUUACCAUACUGAAAAUCUACCUCCCUCUAACUAACUCUCCAGUUACACGUCUGCUUUCAGGGAACAACACAACAAAAUAAACAUGUACAAGUUUGCUUUCAGAAAACAUUUGAGAAAAAAAAAGGAUGCGAAUUACCAUGGACGAAUAUCACUUCCAUUUGCUCGCAAUAUGUUCUCUCGCAUAGCCAAACCAGUGUAAAGGAACAACAACCAUGCCUGACAAUUACAUAUCAUACACUCAGCAUUAAUUCACAGAAAUAUAACUCUGCCUUAAAUCAGAAACAAAUAAACCAAAUCUAAGUAACCUUUAUAAUACCUCGUACAAUUGAACUGGAAAUGCAGGUAAGCAUCCUUCCCAAAUCCAAGAUUUUAAAAUAAGCAAAGUUAACGGGAAAAGAAGAAACAGAAAGGCAGUCCUAUCCUGUUGAAGGAAGACAGUACAGAGUAAGCAUACAUAAAUACUUCAAUUUUCAAAAAUUCCCAAUUUUCUGUCUAAUAAAAAUUCACAAACAGCUCAUGAAUUUGAUAAAUCCUACUAUUAAUUUGGUGAAUUUCUAUACGAGGGAAAUGGCAUGCUACCGUUAAAUUAAAGAAUAUAUUCAUAUGCAAACCAAAAGACAAUCAACGAAUAAAAAUUAGAAAAGAGUAAAAGAGAAGUGAUGCUUACUCUGUAGCUGUUAUAUUCCUCCUUAACUUUCAACUGGACUUCUUUACGAGAUGCUCGCACAUUGAUUGGUCCCAGAAACAUCCUCAGAAACCUUCCUGCCAUACCAAUUACAAAUAAUUAAUCGCUACACCUAACUACAGGAAAUCAAAUCACUUAAAAAGAAAGAGACAGAGAACAAGCAAGUAUCAAAGUAUACCCUGAGCUUCGGCAGGAAGAAAAGCAGCGGCUUCUCCAUCAGUUAGGAUGGAGCUGGCUCUCUGUAAAUCCUCUUCGAGCUGUUUCUCAGAUCCAAAAAAAUAAAGAAAUAAAGAAACAAUUAAAAGACAGAAAUGAUAAGAAAAAGGAACAUGCAAAACAGGUUAAGGAGUUUUACCUUGCGAGCGAACUCAGGAUCCAAAAGCUUUUUAGAUAUAAGCGAAUUGAUUGAAGAACGAACACGGCGAAUAGAAGAUUCAAGAGAAAUGGCUUUUUGGCGAAGAGAUUGCUCCUCGUUUGAAAUCUUCCAUAAAAGCGAAGCUCCAGAUUCGUGCAACUCCCUGGCUUGAUCCAUCACCCUCCCUACUUCUUCUUCCAAUUUACCCGCCGACGACGACGACGACGACGCCGGCUCCGAUUCCGAUUCCUUUACCCUCUCCAUUUUCUCUCGUCUUUAGAUUUUUUAAGUAAAAUUUGUUUCUUUUGGUUCCCAAUAAAAUCAAACAAUGAAUGGGUAUGGUUUAGUAUUCUUGGAAUUAUAUAGUAUAAUGUUUAUUUAUAGUGUAAGGUCAAAGGUUGCAUUUAAAUGAAGAGAGGGUUCGUUUUCGUUGUUCAAUUGGAAAACGUAACCUUUUAGGAAAGGCAAAGGGGAUCGGAAAAUGCUUCUUUUCUUCGUAUAUGCUUGCAUGAAUAAAAUGAAAAAAUAGCAUCUCUAGUUUAUACAUAAUGUACUCUCUCUCUUUUUUGUCAAAAAAAAUAACAAUUUAAUAAUUUGUAUUACAACAUUAGAUGAAAAAAAUUUGUAAAAAAAAUAUGAAAAUUAAAUGUGAUUUUGACUAAAUUGGUAAAAUUAAAAUUUAAAAAUAUUCAUCUUUUGAGUUUGAAUUUUAUCAAUAUAAAAUAUAAUAAAUAAGAAUAUUAUAAAUAUAAUAUUAUAUAAAAAAUAAAAAUACUUUCAAAAUAAUAUUUGUUGUUUUGUAAAAAUAAUUUUUUUCUUAAAUUUAUAACUAAAAUGAUCCCCGGUUAACGCUAUUUCUUAAAAAAAGAAAUCAUUACAAAAAUGUUUGGUUGAUUAUUUUAAAAUUGAUUUUUUAGAAAUAAAAAUGAAAAUACAUCAACUAUUUAAAAAGUAAUUUUUUUGGUAAAAAACUUCUCUACUUUCUCUCGAUUUCAAAAUUAAGUAAAUUAAUUUCUUUAAAAAAAUCAAAGGAAUUUAAUCUCUGCCAAUUUCGAAUGUGAGCAAAGGACGAAUAAUCAUAACGUUAAUGUUUUUCGUCAUUUGUACAUUAUUUGAUUGGUAUAAUAAAUUUAGCUUCUAAAGUUUACACGUUCUAUCAAUUUGAUUCUAAUUUAGCAAAGUUAUCCCGCAACAUUGUGUAAAUAUGUAAAUAUUAAGGCUGAAUUUGUUAAAUUUUUUAGAAAUAAUACCAAAUAUGUAAACAUUGUAGGCUAAAUUUGUUGCUAUACCAAUCAAAAUUAUGAACAAUUGACGGAAUACAUUAAUAUUAUGAUUAAUUAUCUUUAGUUGCUCACUUUCGAAAUUGAAAAAGAUUACAUUGCUUCAAUUUUUUUAGAAUGACUAAUUUGCUCAAUUUCAAAUUUGAGAAGGAUUGAAGAUGUUUUUUUUACCAUUUUUUAGGCAGUGGAUGAAAAAAAUUGUUUUUACUUACUAUACAUAAUUUUCAAAUUUCAAAAAAUUAGGAAAUAAAAAAAAUAUUUUUCAGAAAACAAACAAAACCUUAAUUAUUUUAUUAAAAAUUUAUAUCUAGUGAGAUGAGGCUAAUAGGACGGUUGAAUUGAUCAUAAACAAAGCCACAUCCAACCUAAAACAAGAUGCCACAAAUGACCUAAAUAGAAAAAUCACAUCUGGUGGAUUAGUACAAAAAGUUAGGGUACAAUUGAUUUAAAGUUUAAUAUUUAUUUAACUCGUUUUUAUCGAUUUUCAUAAUUAAGUUGGAACAAAAUUUCAGUUAAACUUGAAUGUUUUUAAAUUUAAGUUUAAUUCGAUAAUUAAAUUUAAAAUUAAUAAUAUAUUUUAAAGACAACAAUACAAUUUAAUAAUAAUAUUUUAAAUAUAUACUAGAAAUAAAAAUUUUUAACAAGCAAUUUGAGUUGAGAUUACUUAUUUUGAAUUUAGCUCGAGCUCUAUUCAAUAUUUACUGAACUAGAUUCGAUUUUUUUUUAAAUCGAACUAAAAUAGCUUGCGAGCACCAAAGUGUAAUUUUCACUAAUGUUGUUUAAAUCGAACUAGACUAUUUGGUCGAAUCAACUGAAUUGAGAAUCAAUCGAAAUAUCGAUUUGGAGAAGGAUAUUAAACUUAUUGACUCGAGAACUGAUACGAACCAAUUAAAUUGAAUAAAAAUUAAUUUAAUAUUUUUUAUUUUUAUAAAAAAAUUAAUAAUAUGCUAAAUUAAAUUUAUCGGAUCCAUUCAACCACCUAUAUGAAAAGAUUGAUUUCCACAUUGGUAAACAACAUAGGCAAAUAGCCGCAAUCCCCCCUUACAAAAAAUGUCUGCCCAAUUAAUUAUAAACACGAGGGCAGCCGGGACCGGACCUAAACUUCAUAACCGCACCGCACGGCAAAAUAGCUGAACAGCUUAUGUUGUUGACUUGACGGCUGCUUCUUCCCUCUAUUACAUUCUUCUUAUUAAGGCUAAAUAAAAUAGAUUAUGUGUAGGGUUGCUUCUGGCCGCCAAAAUAGUUAAUUUUUAGUGGCCAAAACAAUCUUAAAAAAUAAAAAACAACACAAGCUGUUAAAAAAAAAAAACAUGUUUUUGGUAUUGAUAAAUCAUGUUUUUGAGUGUAAUUAUUUUUACAAUUAAAUAAUUAUUUUUUAGAUUUUAUUUUAAAUAUUGCUAAUGAAAUUAAAAACUACAUAAUCAAGGAUGAAAUGAUAUCAUCUAUCCUUAAAAAAUAUUAAAAUAAAUUAAAAUAAAUAUUUGUUAUUUAUUCAAACCUGCUUGAAGAAUUAAAAAACUACACUAGCAAACUUUCUCAACCAACAUUUUAAAUGUAACUUUUUUUUUAAUUUUGAAAUUAAAAAUUAGCUUUUAAAUUAGUAUUAAUUUUGGAAAGGCAUACUAAUGAAUUUAGCUCUCAACUUUUAUACCUUUUGCUAAUUUAGUCAUUAUUUUUUUAGUUAAAUUUGGUCAUUAAUUUCUCAAAAAAGUGUCAAAUUAUUUUUUAACUAAAUGUUGGCUAAAACAUUAACUUUUUUAAUGAUGUUAAUGUGGAAACCUAUGUGGCAAUCCACAUAUACUUCAUGAUAACAUGAUAUUAUUUUUCUUAUAUACCAUGUCAGUAAAUAAUUUAAAAAUAAAAAAUGACAUUCAAAAAAUAUUUAAAAAAUUAAUAAAAUUUCAAAAACAAAACUAGUAUAAAGUAUACAUGAAUUGCCGUGCAGUUUAUCAUGUUUAAAAAUUUAAUAUUUUAGUCAAUAUUCUCAUUAGAAAAACAAUUCGACUCGUUUUGAAUGGUUAAUAGUCAAAUUUGACUUUUUUAACUUUAAAAAAAAAGAUAAUGACCAAAUUGACAAAACUAUAAACAUUAAAUGCUAAUUUUAUCUUUAUACAUUUUCAAAAUAAAAGCCCGUUUGGUUGUAUAAAGUGUGUAAGAAAAAAAAAUUAUUACAUAAUUAUUAAAAUAUCUGGUCACAAUAUAAAGAAUAAUGGUUAUAAAUUAGACUUAAAAUUAGAAAUUUUAGUAAAAAAUAACAUCUCUUUAAAACAAGUUAAAAAAAUCCUUUUAUUUUUUUUCUCAAAAUAUUACAUGUAAAGUUAGAUUAUUGUUAAUUCACAUAUUAAGACAUAUCUAAGUUAGUUUAUCGUGUUUAAAAUUUUAUUGGUUUUAAAAAAUAUUAAAAAAAUGUAUUUUAUAACAACUUAAUUCUUCAGUAGUGUAGGAAAUAGUGAUUUCGAGGCUAUCAAAUCCAGCGAGUAAGUUCGUAAAUAUUAUUAUCUAACAUUUACGAAUUAAAUAUGGUUUUUUAAAAAAAGGGGUCUUUGAAUUGGUAAUUUGUGUUUUAUAAUGAUUUAUUAGGUCAAGUGGUUUUAAGAAGUGAGGUAUCGAGACCUCGUUUCUAUAAACGAGUCAUAAAUAUUUUUAUAAAUAUUUAUAUAAUAUCAUUAAGGUAGUAAUAAAGUUUCGUUGAAAAAUUUUAACGUUUCGAUAGCUAAUUAAUUAAAAAGGACUAAAUUAAAAAAGUGUAAAACUUUCUAAUUAUAAGAAUUAAGUGAUUAAAUGGUUUAAUUAAUAAAUAGGGAAUAUCUUAAGAAAUAAAUAAACCUAAAUUAAAUGGAUGAGGCGACAUAAGAGAAAAAAAAUAAAGCCAUUCAAUGGUAAAAUUGUAAUUUUGGUUAAAUUAAAAAUAAAACAAAUUAAAUUUGGAUAGUUUUCUAGACAAUUCCUCUUCAAAUUCGGCCAAAAUAGCCAUGGGAGAAAGAUUUUAAGUUGAUUAUUCAUAUUUUGGCUUCAUGUGAGUUCAAUUCUUACUCUUUUUUUUGUAAUUUUUAUGUUUUUGAGAUUGUUACAAUUAGGUCCAACUAAACCUUACCUUAGUUUUUUAUUUUAUUAAAAAUUUUGAAAGUUUCCAUUGAUGAAUAUUGGAUUUUUUUGAUGAAUAACAUGGAUUUAGAGCCUUGAUUUUGUUGUAUGAUGAUUUUAUAAAGUGAUUUUGUUAAAUAUUGAUUUUAGGAUUAAAUUGUGAAAAGGUUCAAAUAUUAGGGUUUGAUAGUGAAUUUUGGGUUUAUUAGGGGCUGUAUGAAGGCCUAGAAUAUUUGGAUAGAUUACUGAUUGAGAAAAUUAGUUAAUUUAAUAUAUUAACUAAUUAAGGGAUUAAAUUACAAAAAUUAUAAAAUUUAGGGUAAUUGUACAAAUUUAAAAAAUAAAAGGGUAUUAAUUGUUCAGCUUUCAAGCUUCUGUUAAGCUCUUACGAGCUUCUGUUGGAAUAUCAUAGAUAUUAUAGAGAAAUGAUCUAUUUACUCUAAUAUAAUAUUAAAGUUGUAUUUUACCUACAAUAAAUAGCUAAAAUUUAUUAAUUUACUCCGCACUUGGCAUACCUUAUCUAAGUGAAUAAAUAUGUUCGAUAUAAUUAUAAAACAUUUAUCACUAAAAGAUUAAUUGCAUUUAUAAAAUAGUAAUAUAAAAAAGAUAAAAGUAAUAUUUAGUUUUUAAAUUUGGUAAAAAAAUAAUUUGAUCCUUGAAUUUUUUUGCUCAAAUUAGUCUGGAACUUGACAACUUUUCUUGAUUAGAAAUUAUAUUACUUCAUCACUUAAAAAUUCCAAAUUUAUAUAAAAUCUAAAAAAACUAAAUAUACAUAAAAUAAAUUUUUUUCUCAUAAUAACAUGACACAAUUUUGAAAUAUCAUAUCAUCAUAUUUUAAUAAAAUUUAAAUUCAAGGACCAAAUUUAAAAAACCACCUAAUUCUAAAACUGCCAUGGAUUAAAAAAAAAACUAGAAAUCAAAGUUAAAAAAAAUGUUUAAGUAUUUUUUUUAACAAUCUUAUUAUAAGUCCUGAUCAUAUCUGCUCUUUUUGACACAAUAUCGUAUUCGAACUCAUAUUAUCCUACAUUGACAACAAUACUCAUACUGAUCGAGCUAAGACUCAAUUGGAAAAAGAAAAUCGAAGUUUAUCCUUAUAAUAAUAAAAAUAAAUUGGUGGUGAUAAGCUUUGUUUCAUCCGUUUGUCCAAGCAAGCACGGCGCCGUACAAGUCUUGAAACCUACAGCGCCCCCUAAUAUAGAAAAAUGAAUUGUUUAGUGGAGUUUGGCCAAGCUCUACAUUGGUUGAAUCUAUAUAAUCCAACAACCCAAGCCCAUGUAUCCCACUAAGUCAAAAACCUCACCCUCAUUUAAGAUUAUAAAAUUAUUAGUAAGUUUAUAUUUUGAUCAUUUAACUUCAAAAAGUUACAAAAUGAUCACCAAACUAUUCAAAAAUUUUUAUUUAAGUCAUAUGUUGUUAAUUUUUCUUUAAAGUCUAGUCAUCAAGCUCCAAGUGAUGAUCGGUGUGGUGGAUCAAUACCAUCAACGAGUAGAAUAACAUACUUUAGAUUCAAUUCGAUCUAACGAUUAGUGUCAGAGAACGAAGAAGUUGUUCGGAUUUUGGUUUACAUAUUCGUGAUGUUCAAAAUUGGUUCAUGAAAAUAAAUGAACUGUAGAAGAGAAUGGGAAGAAGAGUUUUCCUUUGGUGUAAGCUGUGUGAAUGGAGAAGGUCAUACAACAACGAUUUUAAUGGUCUAGUGACUUAAAUGAAAGCUUUUGAAAUAUUCGGUGACAAUUUUAUAACUUUUGAAGUUAAGUGUGACCAAAACAUAAACUUAUUAAUAGUUUAGUAAUCUUGGGUAUGGUUUACCCUAAUUUUUUUUUAUGACUCACACACCAUUAGGAGCAAAUUAAUGUCUCGCACACAAACACUUUUAAUAUGUAAUUCUUGCGACUUGAAUCCAUAGUGUAAGUACGAGAGUAAGCUACUAAUUAGCCCAUUACUUCGAAUACUUUAUUUAUUAAUAAAUAAAUACGUAUGAAGGGAAAAAAAACCCCAUGUUUGGUUAACAUAGUAGUCGUAAUUACUAUUCUAAUACAACAAAUUUCAAGAUUUUUAAAACCUUUCCUCUAUUCAAAGUAAUCCAACUAAACAAUAGCGUGGAUAGCUUAGUCAAAUAACCUGAAUCUCUUAGUCAAUACAUGGUUGCUCGCUGUUAUUCCUACCACUUUGUUGGAUAUCUUUACUAAACUUGUCUUCAGUACUUAGGAACAGUUGAACCAAUACGAAAUAUAGACUAUGCUAGACCUGCGAGUUGGGUAGGUUGGAUGAAUCUGGAUAUGGUUAAUUCGAGAGUUAUUCCUAGUAAAAUUAGUUUUGAAAUCGGAUCAUUUUGAGUUUGGGUCAUCUCAAGUUCUGGUCACUUUGGGUUCAAACCAUUUCAAAUUAUUGUCAUUUAAUGUUUGGUAAUUUGGGUUUAAUUUAAUACUCGGAUUAUCUUGAAUCCGAUUAUUUUAAAUUCAAGUUAUUUGUAUUUAUAUUUUAAAAAUAGAAGUACAUGAAUUAUUAAUUGGUUUAAAUUUAUUAUAAAAUUAAUAAUUAUAAAAAUAUAAUAAAUUUAAAUUAAUUAACCUAUAAUCCAAUAUAUAAAAACCAUUAAAAAAGUUGAAAAAAAAUUAUUAUUUAGUUUAUUUUUAAAUUGUCAUUAUAAAUUUUUUAUUGUUAAAAUAACCUUAUCUAAUUUAAAAUUUGUGGGAUAACUAGAAAUUAGUUAGAUUUUUAGGAUUUAAAAUAAUGAAAAAAUAAAAAUAAAAAUGAGCGGAAAAUAUUUUUAGAAUUUUUAAAUAAAACAGAAUCAAAAUAUUGUAACAACUUACAACUUAAAUCAUGUAAUUAAAUUAUAAUUCCAUAAUUGUUAUGAAUUCCUACCAUUAUUUCGGUUAAAAAAAACCUUCAUUCAAUCCAGAUUUAACACGUGUCAUUUUUAAAUAAUAUAAAAUUUUUAGUUAAUAUUAAAUAAUAAUUUAAAUACACAUAUAUUUAAUUUCAUGUAAAUAAUAAUAUAGAUAAAAAUGGCACAUGACAAGUUUUUGUUGAUUGAAGUUUUUUAUAACCGAAGAUAACAAUAUCAUAAUGAUUACGGAAUUAUGAUAUAGUUUGAGCGUUGCUUAUUCUAUUAAGCCUUAUAAGUUAAAUAAUUAUUUAGAAAAGAAAUGUUCGUUUUUCUCUCUUCAAGAGUGAUCUUGCUAUAUUAUAUGGUGGGUUUAUCAUGCACGUGAUUAGAUGUGAAUCUAAACAAGCAGAUAGAAAAUCAUGGAAAAAUUGUAGUUUAGUUUCAUUAUAAGUGAUGAAAUUAUAAGUUAAUAUAUAAUAAAAUUGUACUUUAGCCCCUAAAAUGUAUAAAGUAUUUGUUUAGUCUCUUAAAAACGAUGAAAGCAUAAAUUAAUACAUGAUAAAGUUAUGUUUUAACCUAUUAAAAAUCUACAAUUCAAUUUCAAUCCCCUUAAAAGGAAUUCCUAAAUUUGCCCCCAAGUGUGACACAUAACACACUUAAUUUUUUUCUAAAAAAAAGAUGUGUCAGCCUUUUAUGAAAUCAAGGUUUCGCAUUCAAAAAAAGUAAAUAGAUAGUUCUUUUUUAUAUAAUGCCUAAAAUUAUUCGUAACUCUUCCCUUAAAAAAUGAUAAAAACACAUUUGAAUACUCCCAAACCCGUAUCUUUCUACACUGAUAACAAUAUCAACACCAAUCAAACUAAAAUUCAUUUAACCCAUUUUUAAAAUAUAUAGGUAGAGGGCACGACAAACAUAUAAUAAAAUCUUCAUUUGACACGAUAAUAUCACAAAAACAUCUAUAUACUUUUCUAAAUAUUUAUUUAAUUCAAUGCAUUCUGAUAUUAAAAAAAAAUCCAAGAAAAGCGCGGUGAUGGAAUCCAUUACGGUUAAUGCGAAAAAGAAACGUAUAUUCUCAAUGUUUCUUCCUCCACCUGCAGUCAACGAAUAUGCUUAACUAAACCAUAAUAUCCCCUAAACUAUAAUAUAAAAUAUCCGGUGAUCCGGGCAUAAAAUUAAUAUUUUUUUAAAUUAUUAGUAAGUUUAUAUUUUAGUUAUUAAACUAUGUAAAAGUUUUCAUUUAAGUUACUGAACUAGCGAGCUCCAAACAAUGAUUCGACGAUUAGUAAGACAGAUCAGUAUUUAUGUAGAAGAACAUACUUUAGAUCCAAGUUGAUCUAACGGUUUAUGUCUGAUAUCAAGGAAGAAAAUUGUUUGAAUUUUAGUUUGCAGAUUCGUGACGUUUAAAGUUGUUUUAUGGGAAAAAGAUGAAUUGUGAAAGAGAUCGAGAAUGAUAGCUUUUGAUUAGUAUAGGUACCGCAACAAAGCAACCGUGAUUUUAACAAUUUAAUAACUUAGAUAAAAAAAUUUGAAUAAUUCAAUAAUUAUUUUAUAAUUUUUUAAAAUUUAAUGAUCAAAAUUUAAAUUUUUUAAUAAUUUUGUAAAACAUAUAAUUUAAUCAAGUUCCGUGAUCUUUAUAUUUUUUUUUAUGUAAAAUUAUUCAAAAUAUAUAAAUUUGCUUCAUCUAAAUUAUUAUUAUUAUUAGAUAUUUGAGUGGACCAGGUUGAAUGCCGACCAUUACCCUCUUUCCCACAAAAACCAUAAACCCUGUCUGCGUGUCUUUUUUUUUUUUUUUUGGAAGUAGCAUAAUAUGUUACUAUCUACGUGUCCUUAAGUAAACACAUCUCUCACUGUUCCCCAAUAACUCCAAAAUACAACCCAAUCACCCUUUUCCUUCCCUUUGGUUUUACUCGUAAAAAACCUCAUCUUUUUAUGUUAUGCUAGUGUAUAUUUAGGGGUUAAUAUGUACUUUGCUCUUAAAUUUGUUUAAAAGUAUUUAAUUGAUAUUUUGUUAUGAUCAUUAGUGUUAUGUUAGCACAAACUAAUAGUAGUAGAGUGAAUAUACCAACUUAAGUGACAGAAUAUAAAUUCAAAUACUAACUAAAUAUUUUUGAACAAGUUCAAGAGCAAACUGUAUAUUAACCCUAUAGUUAAUUGUGAUAAUGAAAAAAGGGUUAAUAUAACUUUUAGUCCUGAAUUUUAGUAAUUAGGCCCCUUUUGAUACGCUAACUAAGGGUGGGUUUAGAUGGAUGAUUGGGUGCGGUGCGAUGCGAUGCGUUUAACUUACUUUUUGUCUCACGCUACAGUAUCGCUAUAAUAUCUAAUCUUAUCGCCAUUGUUGUUGUUACACUAACCGCAGAUAAACGCACCGCCCGUUCAAACUCACUCUAAGUCUAUUUUGAUUCUGAAUUUGGUACAUGCUUGAAAUUUAAAAAAAAAAAUUAUUUUUAAAUGAUGACAUGGUACAAUCUUAGAGUGACACAUGAUUAAACUUUUACAUUUAUUAAUUUCAGAGACCAAAUGACUCUAGUUAUCAAAUUCAAAUAACAAAAUAAAUCAAAAAUAUUAAAGUAUCAAAAUAAACGUAACUACAUGACUAAAAAUUAUAUAAACCCAUGAAAAAAAAUCUAAAAACAAGCUUGGUGGUGUUCAAUAAUCAAAAUAAUCUUUUUUAAAGGUGACUGGGGUGUUUAUUUCAUGGGGUCUACCUCUUUCUAAAAGGUGCAUGAUUGCAAAUGCAAACUUAUCCUAUCAACUUUUUUUUUUUUACGUAGCUUAUCUCAAACAUUGUCGUCAUUUGGUCAAAAGCAAAAAGUGAGAAACAACAAUGGCCAAUGAGUUAAACCAAUGAGUCUGCCAUUACCGAGUUGCUUCAAACCAUAAUUGGUACCUUAGCAGCAACGGGUUUCUCCUUAUUUGGGCAAAGGCCAUACUUGGUACAUGAAAUUAGAAUUAUAUAACAUAAUUUGUAUGUCAACCUCGUAUUUUUGGGUAUUGAAAAUUAGAAUUGAUUUCAUAUUUGGCAGUGGCUAUGAAAGAAGCAAAAAUAUGUGGGUAAUUUUGCAAAAGCGACAUUUUUGUUUCAAUGCCAUCAAUGCUCGUAUGAUUAAGAGAGAGAGAAGAGAUUCAUGCAUAAAUGCAUUAAUUAAUGGAGCCCAAUUGAUGAAUGUUAGUAAUUUCUCGAAACUCGUAGAAUCAUCUAUUUACUUUGUAGUUUUAAACAUUUUUGGGAUAUGUGAAACCAAAAUGUGUUAAUAAAAUGUAAUGUUAAAAUAUAUUAUAAGUAGUUGUAUUUUUUUAAAAAUUUAAAAUUUUAGUUUUUUCUUUAUUUUUAUAUUUUAAAAUUUAGAUUUAAUUACUUAUUAUCAUUAUUUUUUUUUGUUAAAUUUAUUAACAUGGUGUUUUAAAAUUUUAAAAUGUAUUUGAUAGCUAUGUAAUUAAAAGGAUGAUGUUGUAAUAAACUUGAAAUUAGAAGGACUAAAUUUUAAAUGUAUAAAGAAUACAAUGAUUUAAACCACAUUUAACCUAAAUAUAAAGACUAUAUAUGAUGAUAUUUAAAUUAGAAUAAAUACACUUUUCAACCUAUAAAUAUGAAGAUAAUACUGUUUAACGCGUGUCCUCCUACAUACCAAUCGUGUUAAGACUCAAUUGACAAACAACAUUAAUUUUUUGAAAACUUUAUUCACACUUUUAAAUAAUAAUACUUGAAUUAAAUAAAAUAUUAAUCCGAGAAAUAAUAUUGAAUGGGUUAAAUUGUCCUUCUUUAUUUUUUUAAAAAAAUUAAAUAAAAUCAAUAAAUAAAUAAUUAGAACAAUUAUGUGAUUCUUCAUGUACUUACAUCAAUUAAUAACGGUGACAAGAAAUUGUUAACCCUUAAAAGCACGUAUGCAUUUCUUGAUGCUUGCUUGCUUAAUAAUAUAUGCCUAUAAAAAAACAUCCCUCCUUACUUCUCCCACCCAAUAUUCUCUCUAAAUUACCAAAUGCGACAACCGCCGGCGCCACCAGUUUCUUCCGGCGAACCGCCGCGAAUGUCUUCCACUUCAAACUCAACCUGUAGUCCCAACAUUUGCAGGUGGCAACCAUACUCGGACUCGAGUGAUUUUCAAGAUAACGUUGCCAUGGUCUUAAUCAUUCUUUUUUGCGCUUUAAUCUGCUCUGUGGUUCUUAACGCCGUCAUCCGCUGCUUCUUACGCGGGAAUUACAGUGGAAGCCGCCGCUCUCGGCGUUCAAACAAUGGCAGUCACCUUCCUCAAACCCAACAAGAGCUUGAGCAGAGGAAGCCUGUAACGGAGGCGGGUGUAGCACGCAUGUCGGUGGCUCCCACGGUGGUUUAUUCGCAUGGGAUGAAGCUUGCUGGAGCGGAGGGUGUACCGGAAUGUGCUAUUUGCUUGUCGGAAUUCGUGGAAGGCGACGGAAUUCAAGUGUUGGCUAAGUGUAAACAUGGUUUCCAUGUACAAUGUAUUCAACGGUGGUUGGCUUCACACUCUUCUUGUCCCACUUGCCGUUCUAUUUGUCUUCCUCCGUCGCCGUCACCGGAAGAAACUACCCGCGAAUGCGUUGGAGACGGUUCCCAACCGGUGGUGCCGGACCCGGAACCGUAGCAGCUUUGGUUGCUCUUCUUUAUACUGUAUGUAUUUAACAUGUUCAAAAGCUUUAACCUUUUCUUCUUCUUUUUUUUGGUUAAUUUGUUUUUUCUUUCAAAGAUUAUUUCUCUGUAUUUAACAUAUUCAAAACUUUACUUUAAGAAUUGAAGAACAUAAACUGUUGCAAUCAUGUCGUAAAUUACCCAGUAUCAUGAUUGAUUAACACCAAAUUAUAUGAAUCUUAAAAUAAAAUAGUAAGACUUAAAAAUUAACUUCAAUUAUUUUGUUUAUACUACCCACUUGGUCAAGCAGUACUCACGUCUUUUGGUAGGAAUUCACGGUCCGAUCACAUAGGAUGUUCUCUCUCAACAGGUUGAACCUCGGCUUGACUCAACAAUAAUACUUGACUGUUACGAGAUUUGUUGACUUUAGACAUACUACACUUGCAAAUCUUUUUGAGAAAGUCCCCUCAACGAUUAUGAUAAGAGUGCAAUCAAUUAACAUAUUCUAUUAAUUUUUAUUGAAUAAACAUAAUAAUAAAAUUAAAAUGGUUUAUGUUAAACAAAAAUAUGUGAAAUUUAGAACAAAAAACAGAAUACUCAAAACAUACUAGAUAAUCCUGUAGUAGCAAUAUCGUUCUGGGUUUUAGAUUUAAGAUUCGAGUUUCAGGUUAAAAAAAUAAUCAAAAUUAUAUAUUAAUGACAUAAAAAAAUUUAUUAAAAUAUCAUUAAAUAAUUGAAAAAUAUAGAAUGACGCAACACUCCUAUUUUGCACCGUCUUAAUUAGAUGCAAUACGUUUAGAUUGAUUUAAUUACGUGUCUUUCUAAAUUUUUUUGAUUAUAUUUAUUACUUUAAUAUUAUAAUAUUUAUUUUUAAAAUAUAAAAAUAUUAAAUAUAUAUUUAUGAUAAUUUUUAAUUUUUAAAUCAUAUUUAGGGAAAAGAAUGAAAUAUCUAGGAUGGUAGGUUAUUAGUAAAUAACAUUUAUGUUUUAAUUCAUAGUAAAUAUAAAAUAAGAAAAGUAAAAUAUAUUACAAUAUCAACAAUCAAAUACUUUGAUAUAAUAACUUCAAUCUUUCCUCCAUUAUUUUAAAAUUUACAUUUUUUUAACAUAAAUUUUAUUUUCUAUAUUAAUUAUUUCAAACGUGAUAAAUUUGUUAUCAACUUUUAAAUAAAAGAAUAAAUACGUUUUAGUGUAUUCGAAAACACGUAACUUUAUACUUGAUAUCAAUUAAAUUAAGACUCAAUUUUUAACAACGAUCGAAGUUGAUUCAUCAUAUUCUACCUUGGAUAUGCACAUCUACAUUCAAUGCUAACAUAAUUAUCAUGUUUAGAGUAGAUUCUCAAAUGGAUUAAGAAAAGCAUGAUUUACUAAAAAAAAGAAAGAAAAGCAUGAUGAAAAAAAUAUAAUAUAUAUGGUUUAAUACUUGUUUUGGCCCUUGUAUUAUAAUAAAAUUUUCACUUCAGUAAUUUUACUAUUUUUUAGAUUAAUUUAUCCUUUUUUUUUUAAUUUCGUCUAUUGCGUUAAUUCCUUGACCAUUUCCGUUAAAAAAAAUUCCCCACGUAGAUAAUAAUAAAAAGGUUGAAGUGAAAAUUUCACUGUACUAAAAGGACCAAAAUAAGUAUUAAGUCAAUUGUUUUAACAAAAAUGAAGGGGCUACCGUAUGACCAAAGUGAAAUUUUCACUAUUCCAAAGCCAAAACUAGUAUUAAAAAAAUAAGGGUAAAUUGUACCUAAAGUUACUAAAUUAUUAGUAAGUUUAUAUGUUAGUCACUUAACUUCAAAAUGUUAGAAAAAUGGUCACUAAUUUAUUUGAAAAUUUUCAUUUAAGUCACUAGACUGUUAAAAUCAUUGUUGUAUGGCUUUCUCUAUUCGCACCACCAAUUGAAAGCUUUUUUUCCCUACUCUUUUGCAAUUCAAUUUUUUUUCUUCAUAAAAUAGUUUUAAACAUCACGAAUCUACGAAAUAAAAAUCCAAACAGUUUUCUUCUCCAAUCUCCGACAUUGACCAUCAAAUCAACUUGGAUCUAAGGUAUGUUUUUUUUACUCAUUGAUGGGUACUAAUCCACUGUACUGAUUGUUGAAUUGUUACUUGGAGCUCAUUAGUAAAAAAAAAACCUUAACAACUAGUGACAUUUUGUAAGCUUUUAUUUAAGUCAUUGGACUGUUAAGUUUUUUUUAUAAAAAAAGCCCGCCUGGCGAGCUCCAAGCAAUCACCGAUGAGUAAAAAAACCAAGUCGAUUAGAUGAUCAGUGUCAAAGAUUAAAGAAGAAAAUUGUUUUGGAUUUUGGGUUGUAGAAGAAAAGCUUUUGAUUGGUAUAAGCAAUGCGAACAUAGAAGGUCAUAUGACAUAUAGUAGCAAUUUUAACAAUCCGGUAACUUAAAUAAAAAUUUUUGAAUAAUCCGAUGAUCAUUUUGUAACUUUUUAAAGUUGAGUGACUAAAACGUAAACUUCCUAAUAAUUUAGUGACCUUUGAAGAAUUUACCCUUAAACUAUAUAUAUAAUACCUGAGGUAAUGUUUUAUGAGAAGCCAAAACUGAUGCACCGAUAAUGUUUUUCCGGUGGUGGGACAACCUUAAUCUCAAUAUCACUCGGCAUAAGAGCUGAAAGUUCCUUAAUGAUUCCAUCACCCACGCCGGGGGCAAGUAUGGUGGAGUCACUGGAAAGGAUUAUGUUACCAAACAAGUCCUUUUUAGAUUAAACAUCAUGUUUUAACCUUUUCUAUAUAUUCAUCUUAAUUUUUAAUCUAUAAUCUAUAACUAUAAAAUUGAUUUUUAUAUGUUAUAAAUUAUAUGAGAUAAAAUAUUACAAAUUAAAAAAAAAGAUCAGACGGACUUGACCUUGAAUGUUGAAGUCUAUGCUUGACCUAUAUUUUAAACUGAGUCUAAUUUUUUAAUUAAGUCUAUUUUUCAAAUUUAAUAUUUUUAUUAAAUUCUCUUAAAAAUUGAAGAAACGAGCUUGAAUGAAUAACCUAACUAACUCGUGAAUAAAUAUACUUUUUAUCCGUGGGUGAAUUAAUUAUAUCUUGUUGCUACUACUAACCUGUAGUACGCUUGGCAGCAUGAAGCGAUAUCACCGCCGGAACGGGAAUAUACAUGGCCGGAAUCUUCGAACAUUAUCUCGGCCAUUUUCUGCCUUUUGGACUUGGAAUUGUGCGGUGCUUCGGUGAGGAGCACGGGAUGUUUUUGGGGAUCGACAUGAAACUCGUUAUGGCAAGUGUGAUACCAGAUUUGUUCGAUGUCAUCCCAAUUGGUAAUGAAAUCAUGUUGAUCAACAAGGUAAUUCAAUGUGCAAAUACCACUCCAAGCCAGAGCUUCACACCGAAAAAGACAGCUUUGUGUUCCAUUCCGGCGUGCGGUGGCCGUGCAACGACGCAUGGGAAGACAGUCCUAGGAGUUCCUUCACCGGUAAAACCAGCCUGUUUGAGGAUAACGAAGUGAGGGUUGGUUCCACAAUCUUAGAGUGAAAAACACACAGGCAAUAGCAGAAGAUAAAUAUAAUGGAACACAACAGAUUAUACAUGCUAAACAGUUUGAAAAUAUUAUACUUGCAAUCGGGGAGAAUACGAAGUUGAUGGACUCUGAAACUGAAAGCUCGAGAGAGAAGAUGAUGAUGAUUAAAUGAAUGUGCUGGACAACGGAGAUAAGAUCAUUUUCAUUGUUUUUUAUUCAUUAAUUUUCCAAUUUUACCAACAAUAUCAAAAUUUCGAGUUCAUGCUUACGAUAAGAUUACAUAGAACAAGUAUGUAUCAGAAGCUUUUCCUUACUGUUAUGAAUUUUAUCUUUCUGGCGUUUAAAUUCGGCUUUUUGUUUAGACCGGUAUCAGCUUCGUUAUACAUUUUAGUCUUAGAUGAUAUUCUCUAGACAAAUGGUGACAUGACAAGCAUAUUAGCCAACAUUGCAUGUAUGCCAUAUGUCUCUACACCUAGUCCAUAUCAUUUAAUUCAAUGUAAUUACAAAAAUGAACAAAAAUAUCUGAUUUUCAUGAAUUAACUUUGUAGAGAAAGUGGGAGAGAGGAAGGAGUUAAUUGAGCCGUGGUUCGGUUGGAAAUUAAUACAAGCCAAUAAAAAUAAAAUUUUUAAAAUCAGAUGAUGAUCAAAUCAUUAAUUCAGUUAAUUUUGUAUAAUUAAAUUAAACAAUUAAUUAAAAAUUCAUAAAAAAUAUUAAAAAGACAAUUCAAUUGAUUUUUUAAACUAAUCCACAACCGAUUCCAAAAAAUUCAACCAAUCUAACCCCUCACUGCACCAAAUCCAACCGGUCAAAACUGGGAAAAAAUGGAAGUGACAAUGAAAAUGGAAUCCAGAAGAAAUGAGAGUGUAAGAAGGGGAUUCCAAUACAUAAUUUUCAAUAAUUCAUUCAUCAUUUGUAAGCUUUGAUUCAUUAUUGAAUUUUGACAGGAAUGGGAUGGGAUCCAAGAUUAAUGGAUGUGAGCAAACAAGUAUGGAGAACAACCGUGUCAUCACAGAGUAUACGCUAAGGCAUGGCAGAAAUAUCAAAUCAAUGGAAUCUAAUGUCCACAUAGGUACAAAUACAUAGCCGGCCAACAACAAAGCAAACAAGUACUGAGAACAACCGUGCCAUCCAAGGGCUAUAUAUGUCCAAUCAACAACAGAGCAAAAAAGGUAGCUAGAACAACCAUGUCAUCACACAGUUAACACUAAGGCAUGGCAGAAAUAUCAAAUCAACGGAAUCAAGUGUCAACAUAGAUAUAGAUAUACAUUGAACAAAUUACGAAAAAUAAACCAUCAUAGAUCAUUAGUAAGAAUAAGAUCAACUUACUGAUUAAACUUCAAAAUAUCCAAGUCCGGAUUUCCGGUAACAUACUCAGCACGUAAGCAAAUUGCAGAAAAAUGAGAUUCAUUAAGGAACAGUUCUAUAAAUCAACACACAGCUUAAAAUGGGGGAAUAAUUAGAGUACUAAAGAUUAAACAGAUAUCCAAAAUUCUGCAAACAAAUAAAGAUAACAUCCUUGUCCUCUGUAACAGUUGCAAUCCAGGGAAACAGGAAAGACGAGACAAAAAACGGAGUCCCAAGAUAUUACCACGACAAAAAAAUAAAGCAGCACUAUAACUAUGAUUCAAGGAGAUAGUAAUCAUUCUUCUUCAGCGACCCUUCCCUUCUCACUAACAUAGAUACCAUCAAGGAACUUUCUAAUAUCCUUGUUCUUCACAUGGCAUUUCUGUUCAAAAAGGAACAGAUGAUAAGAUUGUUAAAGCAAAGUUGAAAUCUAUAAAUGAAACAUAAAUUUGAAACACUUGCAUAAGGCAAGCACUCAAUGAGAAAGUACCUGGUUUAUCAAAGCUGCAGAUCGGGAUACAAGUUCGAUGUCAUUACCAUCCAAAACAAUCUCAUCCUUAACCUUCUCGGAUCGAACAAUGGAAACACCUUCCAACAUAUCCACCUUACGGACCUGACGUUUACCAACAGAGAAUGAGCCAGACUAAUACAACAACAUAUAAAAUUUAAAAAAGAACAUCUGUAACUCUUUAAACAACAAGAGCAUGACAACUCAGGGGUGGUUGAACCAGUCUGACCAGUUUGAUUAAAAAAUCAUUAAAAUUAAAAAAUAUUUAAAAACCCAAUUCAACCACCGGUUCAACCAGUCCAUACCAAUUCCCGGUCUAACCAGUUCAAAGCCAUUCUCCAGACCGGUACGCUGGCUACUUCCCGGUUCAAACAUUAUUGGAACUAACCAACUUAAAGUAAAACAUAAAGGCGCAUAUGUAAAUAUAUAACCUACAGAAAAUAAGCUAAUCCAACCAAUCUUGCUUAACAACGGAAAAAAGGCUUUAGGAUUUAGGGUUUACUGGUUGAUAUUAUAAUGGAUUAACAGAAAAUAAUUCUUAGCAAAUUUAGAGUUGUGAAUAGAAAAGACUGCAUAAAGAAGUUCAGUUAAAUCAUUAGGCAUAAAAAAUCACAAACUCUUACUGAAAUUGAUAGGAAUGUAUGAUUUCGACGUACUUGAACAUGAGAACAGGCAAACAUUCAGCAUAAAAUUAUUUGAAAUCAAAAGCAAAAUGAAGAAUCAUCCAAAGAGUACCAACAUAAAAUUGAUACGAAUACAUGAUUUCACCAUUUUUGUAUACUUAAAUGGCCAAACAUUCAACAUAAAAUUAUCUGAAAUCAAAAUCCAUAAACAAGCUAAAGCAUAAACUUAAGCAGAUUCCAGUUCCACAUAAAUUCAAGCAUAAAAAAGGAAGGAAUGCGAGAGUAGACCUUCUUCUCGCCAAGGAAGUUACGGAUCUCGAUCGACUUGUUGCCAUUAGUGAUGGAGGCGUUAAUCGGAAAGUGAGCGUAGACGAACCUCAUCUUGUAACGGUAUCCUUUAGUGACACCGGUGAUGAGGUUCUCAACGUGGCUAAGAGCUGUACGGAUGGCGGCGCUGGUCUUCCUGGAGCCAAACCAAGCCUCGAUCCUGAGCUUACGCUUGCCGGUCUCUUCGUCCUUGAUGAGAUGGAAAUCAAGGUUGAGGUGCUUGAAGUUGCGGGUAAGCUUACCCCUUGGACCUUCAACCUCGAUCACCUUAGCCUUGACCUUAAUGCUAACCCCAUCGGGGAUGUCCAUUGUCUCGGAGGAAAGUAUAGUCUUCAUUUUCGCUUUGCUCUUCUAGCUUCCUUUCCCGGCUCUCUUUUAGGCGGCUUCGAGAAAUGGUUGGAAAAACCCUAACCCUAGCGCCCUUUUAUAUACAAGGUAUAAUUAUUUCACGUUUUAAGAAAUUUUUAAUUAAAUAAUUAUUUACGAGUUAAUAUGUAGAGCAGACCAUUUUACCAUUAAAAUCUCAUUUCCAACUUUAUUUACGGAAAUGGCUCAAUGUUUUUAUUAUUUACCGGAAAGAGCCGAUUUUAGUAAAACGCAUCCACGUAGGAACAUUUUUAGGGGAAAUUUUAGCAAAACGCAUCCCUGAGGGAGUAAUUUUGCCAUGUCAACACAAAACACACCCACGUGGACGUGCUUUGCUGAUGUGGCAAAAUCGCUCCCCUAGGGACACGUUUUAGUCCGUGUUUUUUCCCCCAAUGGUUAUUUGAUUUUUUGACCGUUGGGGGUCUAACGGCAAAAAAACCCCUAUAAAACCCCCUCCUAUUUUUUCACACAUUAUUUCUUCAAUUUUUUUUUUAAUUUUCUCAAAGCUCUCUUUAAUUUUGGCAAAGAAGCUCUGUUUAAUUUUUUUUUCUGAAUUAGUUUUUUUUAUAAUUUCAAAAAUAUUUGAUCGUGUUAGAAAUGGCCGGGGAAUUAAUUCGUCUCGAUCAUAAACAUAUCUUCGUCGAACAAAUGAGAAUGGUAAGGGUUAAUUUUAAUUUUUUAAUAUUAUUUAAUAUUUUUUUCAUUUACGUAAUUUUAAUUAAAUUUUAUUUUAUAUUUUUUUAUAACAGUCUGUAGAUCAGGUGUUACAAUGUUAUAUUCGUAAUAUGCCUGGUUCUCCAUCACCGUUGAUAGAGAAUUACUUGCGGGAAGCGGAUUUUUGGCACGUGGCCACUAUAAGCCAGGGGUACAAGUUAGACCCGAAACUCAUUAGCGCGUUGAUAGAGAGGUGGAGCCCCGAGACGCACACAUUCCAUCUUCCAUGCGGAGAGUGUACCAUCACUUUGGAAGACGUGCAGUUACAAUUGGGAUUACCGGUGGAUGGGUCUGCACUCACCGUGUUCGUUCAAUCUACUGAUUGGGGAGUCGUAUGCUACGAUCUUUUGGGUGCGAUUCUGAAUAAUAUCUACUGAAUUAGAAAGAAUACGAUAUGCUCGGGCAUACAUUCUUGAGAUAAUUGGAGAUUAUUUGAUGCCGGACUUGUCACAAAACCUCACACAUCUGAGGUGGUUGCUGAAACUCAUUGAUUUUAAAGCAACUGGCAAAUUUAGUUGGGGGUUUGUCGCGUUGAUAACAUUGUACUGGGAGAUGUGCGGGGCGACGCCACCAACUAAAGCCAAAAUCGGAGGUUGCCUAUCACUACUACAAUCAUUGGCUCAAUUUCACUUUCUAUUUUUACGUCUUCGAGUGGACCACCCAUAUACAUUCCCACUCAUAACGAAUUAAAAUUUAUAUUAGAUUUUAAAAUGAUUACAUGGAUUUAAAAUAUAAUUGUAUGCUAAAAUUUUAUUUAAUUAGGUGGAACCAUUUGGCGAGUUAUGCUGGAAUAUCUACCGCUCUUAAAGAUAUACGGCUUCUAUUAGACCGACGGUCGAAAGCGCAAGUAAGUAUUAAAUAAUAUAUAUACAUAAAAUAGUCGUUUCAUAUUUAGCAUUUAGUAUAAUGUAUAUAACUAAUAUUUUUAUCAUGUUCAUAUAGUUUCAAUGGACACCAUACAAGGAUUCGGAAAUUCGGGCAGUAAUUUCGGAUGAAUUCUUUCAAAAUCCAAACAUUUGGCAUGUGAAUGUCUCAUUGAUCAACUAUGCUACCAUGGAGAUGCAUCAGACGGAUAGAGUGUUGCGGCAAUUUGGAUUUCAACAACCGGUUCUCGUGGCACCUGAGGUGCUCGAUGAUGAGCACAAAAUUAACUUACAGCAAUCGAAUACGAAUUGGCCGAUAUUCUGGUCGAAAUAUAUCGAAAUGUAGAAAAAUCGGUAGUAUUACGCUAGCUAACAUAUUUGAAUCCAUUUUGGGAUGAUUUAGUGAAACACCUUUCAACGAAGUACGUUAAAUAAUACAACAUUACGUAAUAAUAGUAUUAUUCAAAAACCCUAAACAUCCAGUGAUAUUGUACCGACAACACAUGUAUGUGGACAUUUGUACUUUUUUAUCUCCCACGAGUCUGUCUUUUUCCUAACCGAAGCCAUAAUUUUCUAUGAAUAUGUACCGUCUUGCACUGCACACUUGGCCUUGAAUUUAUCGGAUUUGGAUUUAACCACGUUGUAGUUAACCCCGUUCACGAUGCUAUGUUGUUUCAAUGUACCAAGAAAACUAUUCUUACUGGAAAACUCCUUACCAACUUCCAAUUCACUCGAAUCCAAUGAUGAACUUGUACGGUCACGCCUUCUGUGUGGUAGAUCUAGAAACUCCAACGCAUCAUCUUCUGAUAAAUCGACAUUAUGCAUGUAGGCUGGAGGCGAGUACGCCCUAGAUCGCAGAUCUUCUUCUUCUUCAUCUGAACCUCCUUCAACAUCUUCAGGUUCGGUUGGAACAGGCUUCGGUUCAGAAAAUAAUACAACUUCUGCACCAUCGGGGCGAAGCUCUCGAGGUGGAUCCAUAUCAGACUCAUCAUCCAACCCACCAUCAUCUGCAAUGUAUGAGGUCCCCUUACUGGUGGACGUCGUAAUGAGUACAUCAUCCCAUCUCGUGGACGUUUCUUAACGUCCCCAAUCAGAUGUGGAUUGCCAACCACUAGAGGUUGAUGUCAUUCUCCAGUACAUAUUUCUAGCAUCGAACAUCGACCCACCGAGGUGCAUGUCCCAUCCACUAAUCGAGUGUCGUGCAGGGGUUGUGUAUUCCAUACUGCUACCAAACACAGGCGCUUUCGUGUUCUGCCUCCCACUGACGGAGUGUCGAGCAGGGGUCGUGUAUACCUAUCGAACAGCAGUAGAUGUUGAAGUCGCAAAUGCUUUAUUUGGCGAUGAAAAUUGUACAUAUAACUCAAGAUAGGGUGAUCCACUAGCGAGAUGAGUCUGCACCAUCGCCUCCAAGCUACGACCACCUUUGAUAUCAAAUGAUUCAUAUGUCACGGGAUCAACCGAAGCACAAAAUUGAUACUUAAUAGACGAAACUCUCGUUGGCGUCAUUCUGAAGAUUUUACGCCUAAUUCUUUUACGAAGUUCUGGUUAAAAACUAGUCGCGUUAUGUUCUCCGAUAAAAAAACAACGCCGUUCUCGGUGUCACGGACCUCACCAUCAUAGUAAAUAACAACACUAAUACGUUCACUCAUCUUUAAUUUCUAUUAUACUUAGCCUCCUUAAAUUUUCUUGCUGUAACUUAUGCAACCUGAGAAUGAAAUUUGGCUCAUUUAUAGUCUAAGGCCAAACAGGAACUACUGUAGAAAAAGAGCAUCCACGUGGGAACUUUUUUCAUCAAUUUUACUGACAGUGCAUCCUGCUUGAAGCGUUUUUGACACCAUUUUCUAAUGAUGGCUCCAACAUGCAAAAAGCCCUAACUCUAGAAAAACACGAGCUAAAACACGUCCCUGGGAGAGCGAUUUUGCCAUGUCAGCAAAGCGCGUCCAUGUGGGCGCGUUUUGUGCUGACAUGGCAAAAUCGCUCCCCAGGGACAUGUUUUGCUGAAAAUUCCCCAAAAAACGCUCCUACGUGGAUGUGUUUUGCUAAAAUUGGCCCUUUCUGAUAAAUAAUGAAAAAAUUGGCCCAUUUCGCAAAUAAAGUUGGAAAUGGGCCUUUAUUGGUAUAAUGGUCUGUAGAUCAAGUUUUUUUUUAGCUUCAUUCAAAAAUUAUAGUCAUGUUUUUAGGGUAGGUUACAUAAUCAUCUAAACAGACCUUCGAGUAAAAAUGUGAACAACAUUUUCAAAUAUAUAUUUAAAAUAAAAUUAUAAUAUAUUAGAAAAUUUAUUACAAGUGUAUUUGUGUAAAAAUCAUAAAUUUAGAACAUAAAUACAUGUUUAUAAAUAACAUAUAACAAAUAAAUAAAAAUUAUGGUUUGAACUAACUAAUAAUAACACAUGAAAUAUGUAUGUUAUUAGAAUGAAAAAAAAUUAGAUUAAAUUAUUUAUCAUGAUGUUAUAAUCAAUAUUGAGCUGGUGUUGAAUUAACUUUUAAUAUCAACUCAAUCAAAUACAUUAUUAAGAUAUACAACUAAUGGAGGUAAUAGAAUGUAUAUAAUAAAAUUAAAAAAUAUCAAAAUAAAAUUUUAGUUGAACAGUAAAUUAAAGGUUUUUACCAGUGCAAUUGAGAUGGGCUUGAAUCCCACCAUAUACAUAUUUUAAAUGAUUUUAAAGUGAAAAGACUAAAAUACCCUCAAAUAAUAUUAUUUAUUUUAAUUACAGAAGGACAUUCUCAUAAUUUUCUAACUAAUUUGGUGCCCAGUUGACUCAUAACACUAACUCAGUAAGGAGUUUAAGUAAUAAUAUAGAUGUACAAUUAACGGAGAUAAUAGAGUGUGCAUAAUGAAAUUAAAUCGUAUGAAAAUAUUAAAUUAAAUUUUUAGUUGAGUGGUAAAUUAAAGGUUUACUAAUGCAAUUAGUGUGGAUUAAAAUCUCACUAUGUAUAUAUUUUAAUGAUUUUUAAAGUAAAAAAAACUAAAAUAUCCUCGAAUAAUAUCACCUAUUUUAAUUACGAAUGAGCAUUCCGUAAUUUCCUAAUCGAGUUGAUGUCUGGUUGACUCGUGCUACUAACUCAGUAAGGAGUUCAAAUAAUAAUAUAGAUUUUUAAUUGAUAUAGUAUACAUUUUAGGGUUAAUAUACUAUUUGGUACAAUAUUUGGCUUGAAUGUUCAAUUUGAUACUUGAGGUUUUAUUUUGUCCAAUUUAAUACCUGAGUUUGUCUUCAAUGUUUAGUUUGAUACCUAAGUUUUUUUAAAUUGAUACUUAAGUUUUUAUUUGCCUCAAACAAGUACCUAAGUGUGACUUUAAUGUUUAAUUUGAUACAUGAGUUUUUCUUUUGUCCCAAUUAAGUACCCAUGUUUCUUUUUACUAGAGUAGAGGUCAAAUAUUUAUUGGAUCACACAAUGUUGUUCAAUUUGGGCACUAAAUUGAACAUUGAAGCCAAAUUUAAGUACUAAAUAAAGACAAAAAAGCUUAGAUAUCAAAUUCAACAUUAAAACCAAAUAUAGAUAUUAAAUGGUAUAUUAAUCCAAAAUUUUAAUGAACAUACAAGUAAAAAAGUUUAAAUGCAAUUUAACAAUAAAUUUGAAAUUUUCGAUCAAUAUGCAAUUUAUUAUAUAUUAUUUUUUUAAAAAAAUAAGAUGAAUUAAUAUAUUAGUUUUCUUGAAAAAGUAAAGCUUAUACAUAUAUAUAUUUCAUUUCGUGCUCAAAACCAUAGCCUAUUUUUUUUUGUUCUUUCUAAAUUCUAAUACACGUCAACUUUGUUAAUUAAAAAUUCAAAGCCAAGAAAACAAUUAUUAAGACACAAAAAUCGGAUCUCCCUCCUGACCAACACUUCCCCAUUACAAAAUGAUAAAAUGCCAAUCCAGAAGUAACAUAUUGAAAGUUUAAAACGAGAAAGAAAAUUACAACAAUACAAAUACAAACACGCAUACAAAAACCAAUACUCGAAACACAACACGGUUCAGGUAUUACUCUGAACGAUUUGGCAAUUCCUGUACAAUUCAAAUCAACCCUUCACGGUGGCCAUGGCUUUCUGUAAAGCUCUUCCUUCAAAUACAAGUGAUCCCAUCUUCUUAAUCCGGAACAGCCUACAUUUACAAGUGCUUUUUAUCUUCACCAUCAUCGUCUCCAUCUUCCAACUUGUAUGUGCUGAAGUGAUUGACCUUGAACCUCCAUUCUCCUUUGAUGGGAUCAUAGGAGAGAAACUCAGCUCCUUGCUCCUCUGCCUUCCUCUUAAGCAUGUUCUUGUAUUUCUCGACUCGUGGCCCUUCUGUAUACUGCUGCCUGGUCUUUUUAUCGAAGCAUUUAAUGUUGAGAAGUGUUACCUCAGCAGGUUUAUUAAGACCUUGUCCGACAGGAGGUUUCUUGCUGUCAUCCAAGUAAACAAUCACCUCACGGUUGUUGAAUUGGACAAGGGACUCCAGAUCAAGACGUCUCACAUCGGUCUCACCCGAGAAUUUGAUGCUUCCGUAACCAUGCCGCCCAACCACAAAAUCCUUUACACGGCGACAGUACCCUGGUUCAGCCCUUUCCUUCGCUGCUAGUUCUUGGAUUCGAGGUUCUGUAAAGUAGUCAAAACGGCGGAGCUUUGGCAUUAGAGCCUCGAUGUCAGCCCCAUGCUCAUAGACAAUAGCUGCUUCACCAGCUCUGUGACCACUGAUCGUCAUGUACAAGUCCUCUUUCUCGGUAGAAUAAUCAUCAUGGACUCCAUUAGCCUUUUGGUUACUUCUGAUGAUAUGAAUUCGCUCCUUCACAAGGCCAUUUUCAGCAGGAUUUUCUACAAUGAUCAUACCAUUGCAAUUUCAGGUAAAAGAUAAAAUGGCACAAUAGGAAAUUAAAGGUGAUUAUAAUUCCAGGUAAAAGACACUACUUACCGUCUUUAUCCUCAGCGUUGGAGCCAUCAUUAGAAAAUUUGCCUAAAUUAAAAUGUUGCUCCGAAGAGUCAGCCACAAGGACUCAAAAAUUAAUGUAAUCAAACCAUAAAAAAGAAUCACAUACAAAUUAUACUGCAUUUUCUCAGUGCAAUGAGAAUACUGUAUGGUACUAGAAACGACUUCUUGCAACAGAUGACAAUACAAUUUUCUCCGUAGGCCAAUUUGUAUCGCAUGAUUAUCUUCAUUAAUUGACUGAAAUCCAUGGGUGUUCGUAUGUGGGUGCGUUUGAGAGAGAUACGGGUAGCAUAAAAAUGAACUCUCGCUACCGACUUCCCAAAGAUUAUAUAUUAUUCAAAAGGACUUUAGCAAUAGCAUUUUAAGAAUAUCACUAAGAAUCUUAUAUGAUUCAAAGCAAUAAUAAGAUUUAAAGCAAUAAACUUUUGUCCCUAUCUAUAAGCCUUUCUUCUAAUCUCACAGGGUAUGAAAAAAGGUUCGCAGAUGAGCUUCAAAGCACCUUACCAUUCUCAUGCGGCGGAGUGGAUGCAUCCUUCAAUGGUGAUGCCUUCUCUGCAGAAGCUCUGGACGGCCAACUUUUUGUGGGGCGAAUGACCAGAGACCUUGGGUUUUCCCUAGGAAUAAAAACAGCACCGGCCUUAGGCACGCAGGGUGUCUCUUCAUCAUCACUGAAAAAUGGAAUCUGCAGAUAUUGAUUAACAAAUGAAAUAAUCACAUGUUAGAACUCUAACCUCAUAUCACGAGCAAUGUAAUAGCAUUUUAAAUCAGAUCAGAGUUACUACUUUCAUGAGAUGCAGCAUCCUCACCUUUGGACUAUCAUUAUUAGGAUGAUAUUUCCUUGUAGGCAACCUAAUCCGCCUUUGCGACAAGUAUCGAGAAGUCAAUAAGGGCAAUAUUCUAACAGGAGCAGGUUUGUCCACAACCUGAUAAAUUCAUUACCAGUCAACCAAUUAAUACCAUUAUAUUUUAUUUCACACAAAAAUCAAUGCCAAUAGUAAUUACUAGCAUGAAGACAGAAAAAAUCAGAGAAACAUCUAAAAGUAAAAAAACAGCAGACUCAAACUUGAAGCCUCGAUAACUAAAGCAAAGUCAAGUUACAGGCAUGCUAGAAAUUCCAUAUUGAACAGAUGGGGCAGCCCCAGUCCGACCAAUUGAGAUUUGUGGCAUAGCAGGGAGUGUUCCAUAGGGGUUUGCAAUAGUCGAGGGUUGUGCUACAGCUGCACUCUGUGUAGAAGACCUGUCAAACAGAAGAGCACGCAGGAUAAGCUCCAAAAUGUAAUCAUUCAAUUAUUUGGUUAACCAAGGACAACUUAUUCUGGCAUACUUUUGCAUUUACGAGUACAAAGGUACAAGAAAAAUUAUAUACCAGUAACGAAUAUGCAUAUGUUUGUAGGCAUAUAUAAGGAUAUGUAUAAGAGCAACUGAAAGUAGAAAGAAAAACCCAAAGGAAAUUACACAUACGACAAGCCAAUGUUACUCUGACCAAAAAUGCUUGAACCACCACCUAUAAAGCCGGCAACAUCAUUAAAGUCAGCACUAUCAAAGAAAGCUUAAACAUUGAAUGAUAAGACAUCUACUACCUGGUUGUGACUGACCAAAAUUGCUGAAACUGAAAGCACCACUAGUCUGAGCUGGCUGAAAAGGAGAAGAAAAAGGGGGCUGCACAAACAGUGGAGAAGGAAGCAUGUUUUACGAAAAGACUCAAGCAUAAACUUAAGAGUAUUAAAACAAAUUAAACAUAGCAAAACUGCUCAAACAUAUAGCUAAGCAUUUUUUUCAUAAAAUGGUUAAAACACAUUUCAACAAAUAGUCAUGACAUUUAAUCAAAUCAGUCCCCAGGAACCCUGAUCUUUAGAUGCAUAUAGAAACUAUCCUCAGGAAUUAGCAAUUGUGCUUCUUCAUUCAACAAAACAAAGGCAUCUAAAUCUGGAAAGAACAGAGAAACUCUUAUUUGGUUCUAUAUAAUUUACGCAAUACAAAAGCAAAAAACUGGGUCCUACUGCCAACUAAAUCAGACAUCUAGGAAGACUAAAACAACCAAAAUUAAAGCCUCAUUCUAUAAACCAAAUCACAAGAACAAAGGAACAUAAAUAUGAUGAAAAGAAGAAUGAUUGUAAAGAUUUCACAAGCUACUUACAGUUGUUGAGCCAAAGGCAGCUGGGCUGCUAGAAGGAGCGAAAGAUAGUGAGCUUGAAAACAUAUUCCCACCAAACCCAGCGGAAGGUGUGUUGAAAAUGCUUGUUUGACCAAAAUUAGUAGUAUUCUGUCCAAAUGUAGAGGUCACCUGCCCAAAAGCAUUGCCUGUCUGCCCAAUUGCAGGGGUAGAACUGAACAGGGGGGAUGUCUGACUGCUGCUAAAAUUUAAACCAGUAGCAAAUGUAGGCGUUGUUGCCGGAGUUACACUAGUGCCAAAAAUGGAUAACGAAGUUGAAAAGGAAGGAGUGACAGAUGAACUAAAAAGAGAAGACCCAGUUCCAAAUGUAGGAGUGGAAGAUGAACUAAAUAUUGAAGUUGUCAUUGAUGAAGUUUGCCCAAAAAGGCUUGAUGAAGUCGAUUGAAAAGGAUUUGAUGUAGUUGCUGAGGUUGUAAAACCUGUACUAUUAAAGGAUGGAGGUUUUAGACUAAAUGGAUUGGUACUUGUGCUGGAAAAAGGAUUUGCAGAUGUCUGACCAAAUGUUGAAGAGGUGCUGAAAGGAUUUGAAGGUGAAGUUGACACACCAAAGCCAAUCCCUGCAGAAGGCUGAGAAGCUGGAUUCGGUCCACCUGAAAUUUCAAAUUCAUACAUCAAGGUACUCAAUGUCAAGCAAAGAAAAGAAGAAAUUUUAACUGGACAAGUUUUACAAAGAUACCUUUAUCUCCUAACUGAUAAUCCUCCCAUCUCAACUCCUCGUGACUUUUAUCUUUGUAAACAGGCAUUGCUGAUAUUGACUCCAAUUUUCCAGCUGGCUGUGUACCACUCCCUCCAUCUGCUUCAGUAGUAGAAGAGUACGGAGCUACUCUACUUCCCCCACGUUGACCCCCAAAAGGUGACUGGCCAAAGCUAGUGCUUCCAAAUGCUGGUGUUGAAGAUUGACUUCCUACAUGAGAGUUUAAAAGAAUUUUAAUUAUAUACAUGAACUUCACAGUGCUCAAAAUAUGGAAGGCCAGUGAAAAUAUAUACUUCACCCAAACUGUUUUUGAAGUUCAUAACUGAUCAUUCAGACCUUGCUACUCACCAAAAGGAGAACUCUGGGCUCCAAAUGCAGUGGUUCCAAAUGGACUACUACCGAAUGCUGGUGUGGACUGGCCAAAAGUUGGGCUAGACCCAAAGCUGAAGGAAGGAGUAGAAGAUGCUCCAAAAGCAGGACUGCUUGAAGUGCCAAAAGCAGGUGUGCUUGAUGCUCCAAAUGUGCCUUCUGUGCCAAAGACAGAGGCAUUAGACAUGCCAAAUGUAGUUCCACUGCUCCCGAAUGCUGGACUUCCAGUUGAACCAAAGGCCGGAGUGCUGGUAGCACCAAAGGCAGGGGUGCUUGUGGAACCAAAGGCAGGAGUGCUCGUGGCACCAAAGCUACCAAAUGCUGGUGUUGACUGCCCAAAUGCUGACCCAAAGCUGAAUGAUGGACUUGAAGAUGCUCCAAAAGCAGGAGGGCUCGAACCCCCAAAUGCAGGAGUGCUGGAAGUGCCAAAAGCAGGUGUGCUUGAUGCUCCAAAUGUGCCACCUGUUCCAAAGACUGGGGCAUUGGACACACCAAAUGCAGUUCCAGUGCUCCCAAAUGCUGGACUUCCAGUUGAACCAAAGGCAGGGGUGCUUGUGGCACCAAAGGCUGGAGUACUCAUGGAACCAAAGGCAGGGGUACUUGUGCCACCAAAAGCAGGGGCACUCGUGGCACCAAAAGCAGGGGCACUCGUGGCACCAAAGGCAGGGGUACUUGUGGCACCAAAAGCAGAGGUGCUUGUGGCACCGAAGGCAGGAGUACUGGAACCAAAAGGUACAGAGGAACCAAAUAUACCACUACCAAAUGCAGGUUGUGAUUGUUGCAUUGUGCUUCCAAAAGGACUUGAUUGAGUAGUAGUAGACCCAAAGCCAAAUGCAGGCUUCUGACCGAAAACAGAAGACCCUAUCCACAAGAAAGGUCAUCAUUUCAAAACUGAGGAAAAUUAACCAACUCACCCAAGAGCUAAAGAAUAAAAAGUCAUCAUAUACGAAUAACUAAAGGCAAAUUACAAAAACCUAGCAAAUUAAAUGUAUAUUAGAAACAACAAGAGCCCCCAAUUAAAAGGAUGAUCUCAUUCAAGAUCAUAUUUAGGUGCAAAAUGAAGAAUGAAACAAACAAGCAAGUCUCCCAUAGAUGAAACAGCAAAUUCUUCCAUCUCUGAAAAAUAAAAAGUGUAACUAAAUGGUAACAUGAAUAUAUUUAUGCAUGUACACAUGCUUAAACAUAAGUAUAACAACUCAAUGAUCUAUGCAUGUGUGGCGUUGGAACACUAGGAAUAAAGCAUCACAGAAAAUCAAAAGACUAAAAGGCAUUAAACUUUCAAAUCAUAUUCUCUUAACAUAUUUAUCUACAACAGAAGGAAUAUGAAAUGAAGAUGAACUGAAUUAUAAUACCAGAAAAGAAAAGAAAAAUACAGAAACACUUACCACCAAAAGAUGAUGAUGAACUGCCAAAUGCAGGAGUAGAAGAAGAUCCAAAAGCAGGCAUGGAACUUCCAAAAGCUGGAGAUGAUGAAGCACCAAAGGCAGUUGUUGAGGAAAAGGGAGAAGAAGAUUGGGCGGAGCCAAACACUCCAGUAGAAGUACCCCCAAAUAUUGAACCACCUGUUUGUGAUCCAAAAGGGGUAAUGCUACCAAAGGAAGGUUUUGGAGCAAAUGGAUUGCUAUUUGCAUUGUUGGUCUGGCCAAAAACAGAUUGGGAAGCAAAUGGGCUACUUGAUGAUUGCCCAAAAGCUGUUUAAUAUGUUUCUAACAAUUAAUUAAUUUCCCAAAAACAGAAAGUUCACAAGUAAAAACAAAUUCAUUCUCAAAAAGGAUAACAUGUAACAUAUAGAUAAAAGAUAACAACAAAAUUUAAACACAAACGGAAAAUUACAAGCAUAAAUAUCACAAACAAAGCACAAAUAGUUGGCAAAUAACAAGCACAAUGAUUCGACUAAUCAUUAAAAUAUUAUGACUAACAACAGAUCAAGAAGCUAAACACCCUACUCAAUAGUUAACCCGCAAGAUACUUGUAAACACGUAAAAGCAAAAGGUAACAAUAAUUUAUGGAUAUCACCGCAAGCAAAAUGCAACAAAGAAUCCUAGACUCGGAAUUCCAAAAUUACUAACUAGCCACAAGCUCCAAGUUUUAAUAAAGAACAGAAGCUAAAUCAUACAUCCAUCGAAAAAAUCAGCUCAACGAAUCAAAUCAAAAUAAGAUCUCCAGUACAUUUUCUACCGGAUUUAAUAAAUAAAACUACAAUAAACACUUACGGCUAGUUGAACCAAACAUCUUCGUUUAUAUAUAGCUCUUCACUUCAUAGCUCGUCCUUGAUCACAUCAAAGUCAAACAAACACGAAAAAACUAUAUAAUAAGUAAUAAAUCAAUAAACUCCAUGCGAAAUUUGAAUCAACAUUGCGAUAAAAAUAAAUCAAAACGCAGUAAAACAUUAAGCAAUGAAACCAAACUUCGGAUCCAUCGAAGCAUUAGAGAGAGAAGAAUAUACCAAUGUGAUCAAUGCUUCAACGAAAAAGGCUUAGCUAUAGAAUGUACUUUGCAAUUGCGAGACCUAUUAUGUGCGUAUGAUUAAUAAAAAAAGGGGGGGGGGAAUGUGAUAGGUAGCGCGUGGGAAUGAGCAGUGAAACAGUGGGGAGUGGGAGAGAAAAAGGUGAAAGAAGGAAAAUUAGGUUUUGCAGAGAAAGGAAGGGAAGGGCUAUAUUGGGAUCGAUCUAAAUCGGGGGAGAUUAGAAGAUUAUUGUGUCGGAGAGAUAAAGAGCCCCGGAAUAGAAAGGGUGGGGCGAGAGAAAGAGAGAGAAGAAGAACCCCGAAUAGAGCGACGAAGGGGAGGGGGUUCGUAGGGUCGGGUGAUUCACGUAGCGUUGUUUUUAAGUCCGGAUGGAUAGUUUUUCAUUUCGCAGCGUAGCGUUUUUCGGCUUUGUUGGGUCGUAAUAUUUACUUGGCUGUUACUAUGUCUAAAAAUAAAUUUGUUAAAUUGAUCCAUGAUUCGAUUAAAUAAAUUUAUAAAUAAUUAUAAUUUAUAAAUAAUUUGAUUUUCAAUUUUUAUCGAUUUAUAAAUAAUUUGAUCUAUAAAUAGUCUUACAUCACUGGUCAAAUCAAUUAGAUAAUGAAAAUUACAAAGUUUUCAAAGCUAAACCUGUGAUCAAACUAGUCACACAAUCGAUUUUCGAAGCAACAAAAUUUUCCAAUUUGAUUGAAUAAUGUUAUUGAACAUUUUAAAAACCCGAAAUUCGACCUGAUCACAUGAAAAUGAAAGCUCUCGCACACGAUCAUUUCUCCACCACCAUCUCGCCACUUCGCAGAUGAUCACCUUGCCUCACCAUCUCACAAGGUCACAAACCGACUGUGACCAACACCAUGUGAGGUGUCAUCUCACCUCCUCGUGGGAGAAGACACGUUUCAAGGUACGUAUCCAGCCUGAGGGGGUGAACGUGUCUUGCGCAUGGCACCUCACGGUCCUCUAAUACGUGACAUUGAGGAACCGUGCCUUAUAAAUAUGAAAAAGGAUGCUCCUAAGAAAAGAGAACAAGAAAGAACCUCGAGAAAUAAAUUAUUAAAAAUAGAGAAAACCGAUUCAACUAGUUCGACCAAUCCAACCACUAAACCUUAUUUCAAACCAACUGAUUCUCAAUCCACCAACCAAUUUGAUUCAAAUUUGAAAAUUGUGGAGCAUGUUAAAACCUCAAAUACACUGCAAUUAAACAUGGAGCAUGUUUAAAUUUACAAGAAUCAAAUUAUAAACGCCAAUGUUGCUCUAUGAUUUGUACACACAAAUUCCUUAUCUAAUAUCCGAGCAAUUCAAAAUGAACUUAGUUGAUAUAAUAAAGGUACUUUAAUGCCUAAUUAAAAUUAAAACAUUUUUAGGUUCAAGAUCAAGUUAGAAUAAGGAUACAAUUAACCCAUUUACGACGGCCGGCAAUGGCUAAGGUUAGAACAUCAAACAGUUUCAAACCAAACCUCUAGAUGGAAUCCUAACUCACUCGCCUGCAACAUCGAGCUCGAAGAAAGGGAAGAGAUUUACCGACAAAGCAUACUAAUCGAUCAAGAGACUAUACGAAAAAAUAAUUAAAAUACAAUACAAACAUGUAUCAAAAUCUAGAGGAUUUUCUAAUGAACUUACACUUAUAUUGUAAAAUGGCAAUAUGGGGCAAACAUAGUACUAGCAAAUAUUGAUACAAAUGACAAAAAGUAAGCAACUACAGAACCAAUUCUUUCUUUUUCGGUUCGAGAACCGGUGGAUCAAUGUCAAUUCCCAUAUUAGCAGCUGUCCCGGCUAUAAUUCUCAUAGCCGAUUCAAUGGUUGUACAAUUCAGAUCAGGUAGCUUUUCAGUAGCAAUUGCACGUAAUUGAUCGAUCGUGAUCUUCCCCACUUUCUCUUGUUUCGGGUCCUUGGCACCUUUCUCCACUCCUAAAACACCAUAAAAUGUAAUAAUAACCAAUUUGCAUUAUAAUUCGAAGAAAGUAAGAAACGAUAGCCAAAAAUUGUUCUCUUAUGCGCAAGUUACUCAUGCAAGGAAUCUGCUACUACGGUGACUAUUCCGGGACAAGAUGGUUAAAACUUUCAAUCAUCUUGAUCAAAUGCUGCAUGCCUAAGAAGAUCAACCACAACCUACCAUGUUCAUAUGACUAAUAACUAGUAAAUUAGUCAUUAAUUAAUGGCCCGUAGAAGAUGUAUCCAUUAGACCGACAUUGGUUAAUAUAUAUACAAUGACAAAGGGAACAAGGUUUAUGUAAAGAGAAAAGAUCGGUGAUAUCGAAGCAUCAGUCACACUGUGAAAAUCUUUAUACCAACAUGCAAAUAAAUCUAGCUUCACAUAAACAACCAUCUUACUCGGACUCAAGUGGGAAUGUUGUAUACGGGUAUAUGCCUAACAUAGGUAGGCAAGUUCAAUUUUCUAAGUUUCUUCAUGUGUUUCGAGAGUCCUUGGAGGGAGCAUAUCUCCCUACUCAUGUCCCAAUAUAUCGAACAUAAGUAUCCAACACAGGUACUUAAAAGAAACCAUUUUGUCUGAAGCUAGAGAUUUCAAUUGCAUGUCAUAAACAUAGAAGCCAUUUUUGUUUACCUUGAACAAGAACAUUGUUGAGGGGAGGUCGCUCUAUGGUCCGGUCUCGGACCCUCAACGGAGAUAUUACUUCCGAGUUGUCUAUGCUCAGUUUUAGCCCCGGAUUUUGUCUCCCUACUCCGGGGAGAGCCCAAGCGAACCCCACCAAGACCAAAUGCUAAACAUUUCCUUGGUGGACUAGGCACAAUUCCAUGAACCCCUAUGGGCUCUCCUCGGAGUAGGGAGACAAAACCUGGGGCUAAUACCAAGUAUAGACACCUCAGAAACAAUUCCUCCGUUGAGGGUCCAAGACCGGCCCAGAGAGCGACCUCCCCUCAACAAACAUAAAUACAAGCAGUAACAUAUGGAAGAAAACACUGAAUUAUCCCUUACACCAAACAUAAAAUCGCACCAUGUUUAAAGAAAGAUGCUAACAACUUUGAAUGUUCAUUGAUGAGUGACUUAACAAAGAAAUAUACCUGCUGCCUUCAGUAACAAAACAGAAGCAGGGGGUGUCUUCAAAAUGAAAGUAAAGCUUCGGUCCUGGAAAGUAAUUAAACGAAAGGAAAUCAUCACCAUUAUUGAUUUUAGCAAAAAAAAGGUUCAAAAACUGAAGAAAUGAUUAUAAAUAAAUAAAGAAAACCCACAUCGUAGACAGUAAUUUCGACAGGGAUAACAUAACCAGCUUUAUCAGCAGUUCUAGCAUUGUAAUCCUUACAAAAGGCCAUUAUAUUUACACCCUUUGCCCCAAGCGCCGGUCCGACAGGCGGCGCCGGUGUCGCCUUGCCUGCCUCCAGAGCUAAUUUUAUCAGCCCAACCACUGCAAAAACACACAAAAUUACAAUAAAUUUAAGGAAAUUCAAAAUUGGGUAUCGAAUAAUAAAGGAAAGACAUGAACAAAUCUAAAAACCUUUCUUGGCUUUGCCACCCGGUUUAGGAGGAGCCAUGGCGAUAACAGUUAAGAACCUUGGAGUUGAAGAGACGAAUGGGGGUUGUUUUCUGUUGAGGAAUUGGAUAGAAAUGUUGGGGUUUGAAGAUAAGGUGGUGGGUGAAGGACAAAGAGAAGAUGAAAGUUUGGCAUUGUCGAUAGUUCGGGGUGAAAAUGAAGAGCUGAGGUGAUGGAAAGUGGAUAAAGAAGAUGCCAUUGAUGAGGCUAAAUGAAAGAGAGCAAAAGUUUCAGAAAAUGAACAAGAAGAGCUACUAAAUCUUUUUGGAUAAAACCCAGAAUUUCUAUCUUCAAAAUUUUCAUCCUAAUUUUCGAUUGGGCUUCCAUUUUUCAAUUGGAGCUGGGUUUCACUCUGCAAACAAUUCUCUUUUUGGGCUCAUUUCCCUAUUCUUUUUGCAUCUUAAGUGCUUGAAAUGAAAAUAAAAUGACAUGAUUUUAUAUGAGUUGGCUUAGAGUAAAAUAUUCACAUUUUAAUGGUUUGGUUGGUUUGUUUGAACGGUAUUCAAUGAAAUUUAUAGAAUGGAUAGUUUUGUAAUACCUUCAACUUAUAUUGAAUUAGUUUAUUGGAAAUGAUUAAAUGAUUUAUUUUGAUAUGAAAUGUUGUGUUUGGGUAUGUUUUUAAGUGAUUAUGUUGGAUGGUUUAAUUCGAAUUUUGAAACAGACAUCAAAUGGUUCAUGUUUACUAAAAACAGGGUUUUCAUCCCAAUGAUCAUUUUUUCUCGUCACAACGUCGGCCGACAGUAUGUGACAUCGCGACGUCAGGUGGCUUGACGUCGUGACAUCAUCUGGCAUGUCAUGUCACAACGUCGAUCCUGAUUUUUUAAAAUUUUGUAAUUUGGUCAUAUUUCGAGUUUGGAUUUAUAAAAAAAAUUUUACAAGCUCGAUUAAUACUCGAUUUUGAUUGUUUAUCCAUAAAUGAAUGUGUUUGGCAUUGAAUUACAUGCGCGAAUGAUUAUUUUACCGUGAAUUGAUUGUAGUUUCUCUGACUACGAAUGUAACAUAUUAGAGCUCGGAUCUAGCGAUUGAGUUGGACGAGGGGUAUUAGAUUUUUAGAUUAAGUAUAUAUUAAAAUCCACAUUUGAGAUAUUAUUAACUUUUGCCUUUUACAUAUUAUUUGAAAAUCAAGUAUAUCUAAUCAAUUAAUUUUAUAUAAACCCUUAAAAGGUAUAUCAUUUUUAUGCCAACAAUAACACAUAUUAAUAUGAAAUAUAUAUAUAAUUAAAAAUAUAAACUUACAAUGAAAGAGUAAUUAAAAUAUAAUAAAUUAAUAAUUUAUAUCAAGAUAUAAAUAUUUAAAAAUAUAUAUUAAAAAAUUGCAUGUGAAGAUAAAAAAAAUAGGAAGGAUUUUUUUAAAAAUAAAUUACUUACAUAUCUAUAGUAAUAUACACUUUUUUAUAUCUUAUUUAUAUAUAUAUAUUUGUUGAUGUUAGAUUAAUUUGUUACAUUAAUUUAGUGAAAUUUUCAAUUAAUAGUAUAUUGAUUUUUUAGUAGAAAAUAAAUAAUAUUGUACUAACAUGGUGAUGAAUUUUUUAUUUUUCAGUAGAAAAUUUAAUGCAAACUUUACACCUCCAAAAUAUUGCCUAAAUUUGGUAAAGAUACCCUCCUUUUGUUUAAUUGUAAAGUUGAUGUUUAAGUUUGAAUUUUAUUAUGCACAAGUUAUUUUUAGAUUUUGUACAUAUCAUUAUUGAAUGAACUUUAUGCUAAGUAAAUUUUUGAUUGGUUGUCAUCUUUGAGCGAAUCUUCGACGCAAACCACCCUCGUCAAGAGCACAUGGAACCUCAAAUCCAUAAUUACAAAACUGCCCUAUAUUGUCACAUCAUCGUCUCUACAAUGAGAAAAUAUAGUGAAAUUUCAACACCUGCCAUCCCCUCCACCUCAUGCACAUAAGUCUUCUCGCUUCUCUAACUACGCAUUUUUCUUGAAAAUUCACUCUUCAUUCUUUACCAUUCAUCCAUCAUAAUAACACGGCUUUCCGCCCCCACAAAGGUGAACUGUCACUUCUCUUACCGUCCUUCCUCCUUUGUUGAUUUCUAUCAUCAACAGAUUUAUUAUUCUACAUCAUUUGUGUGACCUUUAUAGAUUUAUUUUGAUACGAUUUCAAAUAUGUUUUGAUUAUCGUUCUGAUCAUGUAUUGCAAUUGAUUUUGAUUAUAAUUAUUUAAGUAUAUUUUCAUUAUAAUCUGAUUCUAUAUUAUUGUCGAAACUAUUUUUUUUAAAUAAAAAUUAGUUUUCGAUAAAAAUUGAAAAAAUUGAGAGUCGCCACCAAUCUUUUAUUAAGGUGUAAUUUGGUCACCUAAAAACGACUUUGGUCUACGAAUUUUAGAAAAACAGGUCCGGGGGUCGGUUACAUAUGAGGAAGGAUUAGCACCCUCAUUACGCCCAAAAAUUGGUACCUAGUUAAUUAAUUAAUGUCUUAAUGUCGAAAAUUUGAAAAAUAUAAUUCUUAGCAAAAACUUAAAAAAAACGUUACGUAUUAAGACUCUUAUCAUUUCAGAGAAAGAAAAUGCUACACCCAAUGCGUUAGGGCACGACAUUCUAAUUUCCUAAAAAAUAAAUUAAGCCAAAAUACUCGUAUAAUAAAAAUUUAAAAGAAUAUCCAUUUAUUCAAUAUUUAAUAAAUCGCGGCCCAAUACGUUAGGGCACAAUUCCUCCAAAAUCUCAAACUCGAAAUAUUUCCUUUAUUAUAUAUAUAUUUUAAAAUCUUCAUUUCGAGAAAUCAAUGCGUCACAUCCAAUAUGUUAGGACACAACGUGUUGAAUUCCCAAUAAUGAGUUCUUACUUUUUGAUUAAAGAGAAAUGCUCGAUUGUUAGAUUUAACGAAGAAAAUCGGAACCUAAUACGUUAGGGCUCAAUUUCCUUGGAAAUCCUAAAUACAAGCAUUAUCUCAAUUUUGAAAAAAUUGAAAUCGAGUAAAAAAAAUGAUGUGAUGCUACAUUAAAUAUACAAUGCAAUAAUAAAUAUUACAAUGGUAUAACAAUAAUAUAAAUAAAUCAAUAAGCGAAAGUAAUAUACAUAAUAAAAAUAAUCUCAUGCAACAUAUCAAACAAAUAAAAACAUUCUUUUUUAACAUAUGAACGAAAACAUGAAUUAAUAAUCAAAUGAAAAAAAACAAAAUAUAAAGAAUAAAGGGCACAUAAUAUAUACAUUAAAAUUUAAAGACAUACACAUAAUUUACAUAUGAAUUUUUUGACUAUGAAACUUAUACAUAUAUAAUACAUGGUGCGUUUAUGAAAAUAAAAGGAAAAAAUGGAUUAUAAAGUAUAUGAAAAAAAUACAUACGUUUGCAUUUUUUUAAAAAUAAAUAUAUUCAUAUAUACAUAUAAAUACCAAAAAGAAAAAAAAUUGGUUAAAAAUAUUAAUAUGUAUACAUAUAUAUACAAAAAUACAUAUAAAUUAUAAAAUAUUUCAUUACAUAUAAAUAAAAACAUUAUUUAAAAAAUAAAUAAAUAAAUACGCGUAUGUAUAUAUGUACAAAAAAUAAAAGAUAUACAUAUAUUUAAAAAAUAAACAAAUACGAAAAAUAUAUAAAUAAUAAUAAAAUUAAUAAAAAAAUAAAGAAAAAGGGACCCAUUUGAACUGUAAGUAAAAAAUUAUGAGGCCAAUCUGCAAAUAAUUGAAGCCUGGGGACGAAAUUGAACGCGCGAAUUACAUAGAGGGGCUGGAAGGGCAAUUUUCCCUUCUUCUCAAAACGACGCCGUUUCACAUUUGGACGAAAUUGAAAACACUAAUAAAUUAAAGGGUAAAUUAAGAAAAUAAAAAAAAUUUAAUUGUAAAAACAUUAAAAGGCGGAAGGGCUAAAAGCGCAAUUUAUCCCUCCACUUAAAAACGCGCGGAUCCUAGGCCUGGUCGGGUCGGAUUCGGGUCAACCCAGGUUCAAAACGUCGUCGUUUUGAAAAGGCUAUUUAAGCCAAAUUAUCCUUCAAAAAUCAUUUUAAAACCGUUUUUUUAACAAAAAAAAGCUCUGAAAAGCUCUCCCCUCCCCCGAUAUCCGGCAUCCGGUCCAGUCAUCGGCCACCGCGCCGGCCGCCGAUCUCCAGCACCGGCACCGUCGUAUGCGGUGGCCGUAAAAGAAAAAAAUCUCGGAUCUGGUCCCUCCGAAGCCCUCAAAUGCAGAUCCAGGUUAUUUCUUUCCUUUUAUUUGUCUUCUUAUUCGUAUAAAAGUAAAUAAAAAAAAUAUAAAAAUAGUAAAUAUCAACCUUUGAAUCGAUUGUAUUGCUCUUGGUGUUUGUUGUUUUCGACUGUGGAAUAUGGAUGUUUUUAUUGAUUGCGAAUUCCCCCUUGUUUUACAGCAUUACAAUGGCUAUUUUAUAGCCGUAUGUAAUCAAUCUAAAGAAGAAACAAAUCUGUUUCUUUAUUUAAUUUACAAAUCUUUUGAUUCACUUUCCAUUUUUGUUUUUCCUUGAUGCGCAGGUGAAGAUCUACGGAGAUUCGGGGGCAUGGUUGCGGCGGCCAAAGUUUACCCUAGAACUCUAGAGUUUCUGAAAUUGUUCUUGGGCCUGGGGGUUAAUUUUGGGCCAAUCGUUGUUGUGUUUUGGUUUGGAUUUUGGGCCCAAAAAACUGUUGUAUUUGGACUGUUUUUCUUCACGAAGGCCGGGCAAAUUUGACCCAUUACAAUUAUAAUGACGGUUCUAAUUAUAAUUACACUCAAUAAUUAUUCUUAUAUAUUUAUUUUAAAAAACUUGGGCUGGAAAAAAGCCAUGUCCUAAAUAUUGAUUUGUAAAGUGCACGGGUAUUAAGUCUGAAAAACCCAUUAAACGUGCAGCUCGUGUCUUGCACACGUGAAAGUGAAGUGUGAUUUUUGUGGCCGAUGUUGUUAGAUUCAAAUGAUUUUUCUUAAAUAACGUUUUAUAUGUGAAAUAAUAAUAAUAUGACAUAUUAUAAUUAAUUUUUUAAUAAAUAUAAAAUAUUUAUAAAUAUAUUUGUAGAAAAUUUUGAAAAGAAAAUUUGAUUUUCUUUAAAAGAUAUUGUUUGCAAUAAAAUUACUCCAACUAAAAUCUAGACAUAAUUUAUUUAAAUAUAAUAUUACACAUUAGACCAAACAAUGCUGAUGUUAGAGAAAAAAUUUUAGGGGGUAAAAUUAAAUUGUAUAUUUUUAUGAUAGUAAAAAUAUAAUUUCAUCAUUUUAAUAGCCUAUAUAUUUAUAAUUUUUAAAGGAUUGAAUCAAAUUUUUAUCAUUGUUGUGAACCAAAGUGCAAUUUUACCAUUACAAAUUUAAAAUUUUAUAAAUUAUAAAUGGCCUAAAUGAAAAUUUUUCUAUUUUAAGAGGGUCGGGGCCCCUGCCAGCCACCCUGACUCCACCACUAAAACCAAAAUUUAAUUGUUAAUAUUUAUUCUUUUAUCAUUUUGAUCCUCCAAAUUUAAAAUUCAGUAAAAUUAUUUUUUUAAUAAAAAAUUGAUUGAAUUGUUAAAAUUUUAACGACAUUAAUAUAACAAAAUGUAGCAACCCACGUGUGCUCUAUUGCUCAUGAAAUUAGUACCAUUAAAAACAAAACCAAAAUAAUAAAAGAAAGUUAAAACUAAAUGAUAAAAUAAUAACUGUACGACCCAAAUUUUGCCCGGGGCCCAAAAAACUAAAGCCCAAUACCAGCAAAAAAAAUACACAGUCCAAAAUAAACAGUGGCCCAAAAUACCCAACAGGCCCAAAUUAAGAAACCUUAGCCCAAAAAUUAACCCCAUUCAGCAGUACCAAACCCUAGCCCCCAAGCCUCCAUGCGCCGCAUGCCUGCCCCUAGCCUCUGCCGCCGUCUGCCACGCCUCCAGCGCACGCCGGCCUACUCGCUCGUCUAUCACCUCAUCCGCAUGCUCUGACACCUGCAGAAGAAAGCAUCACACGCAACAAAAAGAAGCAGAAAAAUAAAUCACAAAAAAACAAAAAAAUAGAUAUCAAAAGUGGUGUAAAUCGGCUAUAAAAGCCUGGAUCUGAUACUUGUAAUUUUUCCUUUUUUACGAAUAUUUGAGAAAAUAGAAACAGAAAAAAUAUUCAAGGCUAUUUCUUUUUUUUUUAUUUCGAUCUCUCUGUUUCUUUUAUUUCUAUUAUUAUUGUUAUUAUUUUUUUAAAAACGAAUAAAAAGAAAAAGAGAAAGAAACAAACCAGAAUCGGCCUGUAGCCCCGCCGUCGGUGGUUUUUUCCCGGAGUUGGAAUCGGCAAAAAAGGAGGCAAAUGUCAAAUCUUUUUCAAUUUUUUUUUACUUUUCAGGCAUUUGCCUUGUAGAUCUAAAACCUAGGCUUAAAACGGGCUAAAAAUAAAAAAUUUGAUUCUCCGGCCACCGUGUACUGCGGCGCCAACGGCGGUGACCGGCGGCCACGACGGUGGCCAACGGCCGGAUAUUUGCCCAGACGUGGGGAGGGGGUUGAGAGUUUGAGAGAAUCUCAACUUUUUAUUUUUUUGAGAAAGAAGGAAAAAUUAAAAAAAUUAAAAAAAAUUGGGCUUUAUAGGAACAUCAAACGACGUCGUUUUGAGCCAAAGUCACCAGUGGCAAAACGGCGUCGUUUUGCCUUAAGAACCGUGGCCCGACCCAGCAGCCCACAGGAUCCGCGUGUUUUUACGGUGAAUGGGCAUUUUGCGCAGUCGGUCCCCCAUGCUUUCAGCGCAUUUCGUUUCAGUCCCCUAGCAACCUGUUUUAUUUGUUUGCAAUUUAAACUCUGAUUUUUCGUCUGAUUUCAAUUCGGUCCAUGACCUGUUUUUAUUUUUUAUUUUUAUCUCUUUUCAUUUUGUUAUUUUUUAUUAUUUCUAUUUAUAUUUUUUUUAAAAAAAGAGAGAAGGCUUCAAUAAAGUUUUCAAUUACUGUUUGCUUACUCAUACUUUUCUUAAUUUUGAUUAAUUUCAUACUUUUAUUUGUUUUAUUUAUUAUCCCUUUUUAUGUAUACUUAUGAUUAUUUGUUUUGCUUUCGCUAUUAUUAUUGUCAUCUCACUAAUAUUAUAUUUUUUAAUUUUAAAAUGUUUCUAAAAUGUGGAUACAUUAGUUCACUUUUGCUGCUAUUCUUGCUAUUGUUAGGUUGUUAUUUGCAUUAUUAUUAUUAUUCAUGCACGUUAUACUAGAACUUUUAAAUAUUAAAACAUUUGUAUUUUACGAUGUAUAUUAGGCCUUUGUUUCAAAUGCAUGUUGUAUUAUUGUUAAUAGUUAUGUACAAUUCCUUUUGCGUAUUAAAUGAUUUCUCUAAAAAACUAAUAAAUUAAAUGCAUUUUUUAAAAUGAUUUCUAAAAAACUAAAAAACUAUUCUUUUACUUAAAUUCGUAACAAAUCUCAAUAAAUAAGGCAAUAUUUUGUAUUUUAGAAAUUCGAGAAAUCGUGCCCUAACUUACUGAGCUUCGAUUUGUCUCGUUGUUUCUAAGUAAUUGAAUAUCCUUUUAAAAUUAAAAUAAAAAGUGAAAUGCAAACUUACUCUCAAAAUAUGAGAUGUUGGGUCCUAACUAACUGGGUGUGACAUCUUGCUACUUCGAGAUAAGAAAGCAUUUUUCCAUUUUGAUUUAUUCGAGUAAUUUUAAAAUAACACACGUAAAGAAGGAUCGUAUUUUUAAAUUCUUUAAAGUUCUCAAUUUUCGACACCAAGACAUUAAGUAAUCAACUAGGUACCAAUUUUGGGCGUAUCGAGGGUGCUAAUCCUUCCUCGUGCGAAACCGACUCCCGGACCCAUUUUUUCUGAAUUUCGUAGACCAAAAUCGUUGUUUUAAUAAAAAUUAAAUCGUUUAUUAAAAACAACCACUUUUCGGUGACCCGAUCACACCUUAUCAAAAAAAAGAUUGGUGGCGACUCCCGAUUUUUUCGUUUUGUUUUUAAAAUCCAAGUCGACCCCGUUUUGUCAAAAAAAUGGUGUCAACAGCUUGGCGACUCCGCUGGGGAACAAAAUAAGAGAGUCAAGCCACGUGUUGAUUGUUUCUCGUCUUUUUGUCGAAAGUUGAAAAUUAUAUUUAAAUUUACAAUCCUCUCGUUGCAUCUCUUUUGUCUUGAGUUAUAUUUUUCAUCAUGUUCUGUAUUUUAUUUUUAUACCUCUGCAUUGCAUUGCUUGACCGUGGGUCAUACCUUUUAAGUGGGAGUGAGAAACUACGCCUUCGUGAGGUUUUCACCUCCGCAUGAGAUAGUGAAUCGCUUCCGGGAUACAUCCGUACCUAUGUCUUCGUGAGAUUUUCAUCUCCGUGCAGUUAUAGGGAAAUGUAUUCCCCUGAACCGAACUCGGUCCGUAUGAGCCUAUAAUGGGUGAGGAUCGAGGAAUCUGCUGGUUCGGGUACCCUCGCUUUAGAACCAAACAACAUAUAGUGAGCCCUAAGAGCCUACCCUAUGUAGAACCACUUCAAACCCCUAGUGGUCACCCGAAUAGGUGUUCUAUUUAUUCUUGCUUACUUUUGCUCUGUACUAACCUGUUUUCUUUUGUUUUGGUUAUGAUUGCAUUACAUGUUCAUCAUAAAAAAGAGGUGUUAAUUCAUGUUCAGUUGCUAAAUAGAGAGCUUAUCAUAAGAAAAUGAGUUUCUUGAUAAAGUGGAUAAUAAUACGGUUGUCCGGAUAUGAUCUAAGAAAAUGUGAUAAGAGAAUGGUGAUAAUUUAAUGGAGGACUACACGACUUUGCUUUAUUGCCCAAGUAUUCAAGAUGACAAAGAUUAUUCGAGAGCCACUAAACUUUCUUAAAGAAAAGCCAACGAGCAUUAUGAGGAUGAGUGAGCAACGAGUCGCGGCCCAGAAGAAAUAGAAGAGACAUCCCUUUUGGAGAGUUCGUGAAAUUUAUCUUAACGCUUGAAUGAAGAAGAGGAUCGAAUGUCUCCGUAUAUGAGGGCAAAACUGUAUAUAUAUCCACUUUAUGUAAAGAGAUUUGUUUUCUAGUAAAAUUGUUCUAAUAGAAUUGAACCAAGAAUCAACGUCUCUUUUUUUUGUAUUCAUGCAUCAACAUUACAUUUCAUUGCAUACAAUAAAUUUCAUAAAAUCCAAAAAUACGCAUUCAUGCAUCAACAUUACAUUUCAUUGCAUACAAUAAAUUUCCUAAAAUCCAAAAGUACGUCGAGUUUAGAACUCUAGUACAAAACCAGAUGGAUCAGAAUUCUUUGAAUAUAUCGAUGGUUCGAAAGGUGAAGAUGUGUGUGCCUUUGAAGAAGAACUAAAAAAAUGAAAAAACCUAUCAUGAAUUUAUUUCUACAUCCCUAGAGGCGUUCUAAACAACUGGACUGUGGAGGAGAUUCUUGUAAUAUUUAGGACCAUUUCAGAGUAAUAUUUGGAACACUCUUAUUGUUCUAAGCCUGGGAGCAAUAGAAAAUCCUUUUAUGAAAAGGCAUAUGUCCACUAUUCUUUAUUUCAACGAAAUGCAUCUUUGUGUCUUGUUUUGGAAAAUAUUCUUUUGUUCCUUCCAGUUCAUUCAUACUCAUACCACACGGGUAAUUACCCUUUGAUUCGUUAGCUCUUUGAGACUUCCUUCGUCCCUAGAAUAGGUCUCCAGAUAUCAAUGAUAUGAGCGACACUGCUAUUGACUCAGAACUUUCUUUUGAGCAAGAUAUGUGUUUAGAGGAACCUCGAAACUUCGAAGAUGAUCGAGACUGUAGCUUAUCUCUUGAUUUGUUAAUGAUGGUAGAGCAAGUCGAAAAGUAAAUCCUACCUUACAAAAAAAUCAGUUGGAAAUUGUGAGCUUAGGAGAAGAGAAAAAGGUGAAGAUCAGAGCCUGUAUCACCGCAGAGACGAAGCGAGAUGUCAUUGAGUUACUCCAAGAAUUCAAAGAUGUUUUCACAUGAUCAAGAUAUGCUUGAGCUACAAAGACGUGUGGACGCCCUUAAGGAAAAGAAGAUCUUGGAAGAGGUCUAUACGGGUGUCUGAGGAACACAUGCAUUGAUUUUGCAAUGGCCAAGUGAAUCAUGAGAUAUGGGUACUACUGGUCCACCAUGGAAGGGGAUUGCAUCAGUUAUACCAAGAAACGCCACAAGGGCCAAAUUUACGGGGACAAAAUUCAAGUACCUCCAUCUAUUCAUGUUAUGACUUUUCCAUGACCUUUCUCUAUGUGGGGGCAUGGAGGUCAUUGGGCUAAUCUCGCCAAAAGCUUCUAGCGGUCAUCGAGUCAUCUUUGUAGUCAUCGAUUACUUCAUUAGGUGGGUGGGAGCUGCUUCAUAUGCCAAUAUCACAAAGCUGACAAUCAAAAAAUUUCUUGAAGAAUCAUAUGUCAAUAUGGAAUGCCAAAAAGGAUCAUAUUAGAUAAUGCAUUGAAUUUGAACAACCGCACGACAUCAGAAGUUUGCAGUCUGUUCAAGAUUAGCAUCAUGUCGCCUCAAAAUGAACAGUUCAGUGGAGGCAAAAAAUAAAAAAACAAAAAAAAGAGCAAAAAAGCAAAAAAAAGUAAGCAAAAGAAAACGAGAAAACAAAAGAAAAAAAAUAAAAAAUAAAAGAGAAAAAAUAAGAGAAAAAAAACCUCUACCAGGGCAACUCAUUUCUCAAUGGCAUUUGGAAUAGGGACAUUUUUACCCAUCGAAGUUGAUAUUUCUUCCCUUCGAGCCUUGUCAAAGUUGAAGUUGAAUGAAGUAGAAUGGAUCCAGGUCUGAUAUAAUUGAAGAGAAAAGGUUAAAAGCUAUCCGUCAUGGUCAAAUGUACCAAAAGCAAAUGAUGCGAGCUCACCAAAAAAAGGUUCACCCUAGAGAAUUCCAUGAGGGGACCUAAUAUCGAGGAAGAUCCUUCCCAUGCAAAAGGACUUCAUAGGAAAGUGUAUGUCAAACUGGAAAGGACCUUAUGUGGAAGGCCUUAUCUGAAAAAGCAUCGAUAUUGACCAAGAUGGAUGGCAAAAACCUGCCUAAUCUUGAGAAUUCUGAUUCAAGCAAUAAAUACUUCACUCAAAAAAAAGAAAACAAAAAAAAAGAAAAAAAGAACAAAAAGAAAAAUGAGAGGCCAAGGAGAAAACCCGCAAAGGGCGCCUUGAGACCAAAGGGUUUUGAAUUUAAAACCCAGAAAUGGGCAGUUCAAAUUUUGAUCAAAGGUGGGGCAUGCGGUAGUCUUGCCAUUUCUGAAUUAAUAAGAAGGAGAGAUGCUAAAUCUUGGGGCAUCAACAAAGUCUUCUAGGUCUUCUAGACACAUAUCAAGUUCAAAAGGGUCUUCAAAAUGUUUAGGGCAGAGAAGCUCAUGCUAUGAUAUCUGGGGCACCUAUUUCCAUUUUAUUCAUUUUUGUAUUUUUGACAAAAUAUGCCAUCUUGAUUAAUUUAUUCUCAUUUUGUAUUCUAGCAAAAUUUGCUAUCUUGAUUAAUUUGUUCAUUUAGAGCUUUACUCUUAACAAAUUUCCAUCUUAUCCAUUGUGAUAAUCUUUUUCAUCUUAUUCAUCUCGUAUCUCAGCAAAAUACGCUAUCUUGAUUGAUUUUUUGUUUAGAGCUUUGCUCUCAACAAAAUUUCAUUUUUUCCAUUUUGAUAAUCUUUUUCAAGCAUUUUUCAUUGAAAUAACGAUUAAUGGACUGACAAUACUCAUGCGGAAGGAGUUCUGCAUAUUACUCUGAAUGUUUCUAAAUAAUACGAGGACCUGAAACAGGACUAUUGUUUAGAACUGACCAAACCUCAGGGUUGAAAACAUUUGAGAAAGGAUAGUCUAAAUUGAGACUAUUUCUUUGAAUCUUCUGUCAAAGAUACUUGCUGAACGAGAAAGCAUCAGUGAUAGAACCUUGAUGAACAACGAGGAAUGACAACCCAAACAUUAAAAAGGGAUCAUUCUCAUGACAUUUUGCAUUCAUGCAAAUAUGUAUUCAUUCAAAUUUAGUUAGGAGCACUUGAUUCAUUCUAAUCAUGACGUCCUAAACACUAGACAUAAGUAGGUCCAUGAAAUGAAUUUUGCAGGUCAUGUUCCCCAGAGAACAGAUCAAAGAAACAGGUCCUAUAUCCCUAAAGUUGCAGUGGGAUAGAUUGAAGUCAUUAAAGCAGAUCUUAUCUUCAUGUAUUGGCGUGAAGUAGAUCGUAGAAAGCAGAUCUUGUCUUCAUGUAUUGGCGUGAAGUAGAUCGAAGAUAGCAGGUCCUGUCUUCCUAUAUUGGUAGGAAGCAGAUUGAAGAUUGCAGAUAUUGCCUUCCUGUAUUUGGCAGCGAAACAGAUCGUAGAUGGCAGAUUUUACCUCACUGACUACAGUGGAGUACAUUGAAGCCGAUAACUCUAUCUCCCUGGUUGGCAGUGGAAUAGAUUGAAGAUUGCAGAUCAUGCCUUCCUGUAUUUGGCAGCGAAGCAGAUCGAAGAUGGCAGAUUUUACCUCCCUGUGACUACAGUGGAGUACAUUGAAGCCGAUAACUCUAUCUCCCUGGUUGGCAGUGGAAUAGAUUGAAGAUUGCAGAUCUUGCCUUCCUGUAUUUGGCAGCGAAGCAGAUCGAAGAUGGCAGAUUUACCUCCACGUGACUACAGUGGAGUACAUUGAAGUCGAUAACUCUAUCUCCCUGUAUUUGGCAGUGGAAUAGAUUGAAGAUUGCAGAUCUUGCCUUCCUGUAUUUGGCAGCGAAGCAGAUCGAAGAUGGCAGAUUUUACCUCCCUGACUACAGUGGAGUACAUUGAAGCCGAUAACUCUAUCUCCCUGUAUUUGGCAGUAGAAUAGAGUGAAGAAAACCAGAUCUUAUCUCCCUAAGCAAUAGUUGAGCAGAUCGCGUCAAGUCUUAUCUCCCUAAGCAGUAGCGGAGCGAACAAAACCACAGAUCAUAUAUCCCUAAGCAAUAGUGGAGCAGAUCGCAUCAAGUCUUAUAUCCCUAAGCAGUAGCGGAGCAGACAAAACCACAGAUCUUAUCUCCCUAAGCAAUAGUGGAGCGGAUCGCAUCAAGUCUUAUCUCCCUAAGCAGUAGCGGAGCGGACAAAACCCCAGAUCUUAUCUCCCUAAGCAAUAGUGGAGCAGAUCGCAUCAAGUCUUAUCUCCCUAAGCAAUAGCGGAGCGGACAAAACCACAGAUCUUAUCUCUCUAAGCAAUAGUGGAGCAGAUCGCAUCAAGUCUUAUCUCCCUAAGAAGUAGCGGAGCGGACAAAACCACAGAUCUUAUCUCCCUAAGCAAUAGUGGAGCAGAUCGCAUCAAGUCUUAACUCCCUAAGCAGUAGCGGAACAGACAAAACCACAGAUCUUAUAUCCCUAAGCAGUAAUGGAGCAGAUCACAUCUAGUCUUAUCUCCUUAGGUAGUAGUGGAGCAGACGAAAGAAACCAAUCCUAUCUCCCUGAAGUUGCAGUGAAGUGGAUUAAAACCACAAAUCUCAUCCCCUGAAGUUAUAGCAGAAUAGAAUGAAGCUACUUGAAGAAGAGCGGCACCCAAGGAGUCAAGACUCGGUGAGACCGGGCAAAAUUGGUCUUUCUUAGUCUUUGCUCUAUUCUCGUUACACGAAAAUGAGCAAAGAGGGGCAGCUGUAAGACCCAAAUUUAGCCCGGGGCCCAAAACACUAAAGCCCAAUACCAGCAAAAAAAAGACACAGUCCAAAAUAAACAGUGGCCCAAAAUACCCAACAGGCCCAAAUUAAGAAACCUUAGCCCAAAAAUUAACCCCAUUCAGCAGUACCAAACCCUAGCCCCCAAGCCUCCAUGCGCCGCAUGCCUGCCCCUAGCCUCUGCCGCCGUCUGCCACGCCUCCAGCGCACGCCGGCCUACUCGCUCGCCUAUCGCCUCAUCCGCAUGCUCUGACACCUGCAGAAGAAAGCAUCACACGCAACAAAAAGAAGCAGAAAAAUAGAUCACAAAAAAACAAAAAAAAAUAGAUAUCAAAAGUGGUGUAAAUCGGCUAUAAAAGCCUGUAUCUGAUACUUGUAAUUUUUCUUUUUUUUACGAAUAUUUGAGAAAAUAGAAACAGAAAAAAUAUUCAAGGCUAUUUCUUUUUUUUUUAUUUCGAUCUCUCUGUUUCUUUUAUUUCUAUUAUUAUUGUUAUUAUUUUUUUAAAAACGAAUAAAAAGAAAAAGAGAAAGAAACAAACCAGAAUCGGCCUGUAGCCCCGCCGUCGGUGGUUUUUUCCCGGAGUUGGAAUCGGCAAAAAAGGAGGCAAAGGUCGAAUCUUUUUCAUUUUUUUUUACUUUUCAGGCAUUUGCCUUGUAGAUCUAAAACCUAGGCUUAAAACGGGCUAAAAAUAAAAAAUUUGAUUCUCCGGCCACCGUGUACGGCGACGCCAACGGCAGUGACCGACGGCCACGACGGUGGCCAAUGGCCGGAUAUUUGCCCAGAAGUGGGGAGGGGGUUGAGAGUUUGAGAGAAUCUCAACUUUUUAUUUUUUUGAGAAAGAAGGAAAAAUUAAAAAAAAUUAAAAAAAAUUGGGCUUUAUAGGAACAUUCAAACGACGUCGUUUUGAGCCAAAGUCACCAGUGGCAAAACGGCGUCGUUUUGCCUUAAGAACCGUGGCCCGACCCAGCAGCCCACAGGAUCCGCGUGUUUUUACGGUGAAUGGGCAUUUUGCGCAGUCGGUCCCCCAUGCUUUCAGCGCAUUUCGUUUCAGUCCCCUAGCAACCUGUUUUAUUUGUUUGCAAUUUAAACUCUGAUUUUUCGUCUGAUUUCAAUUCGGUCCAUGACCUGUUUUUAUUUUUUAUUUUUUAUUUUUAUCUCUUUUCAUUUUGUUAUUUUUUUAUUAUUUCUAUUUAUAUUUUUUAAAAAAAAAGAGAGAAGGCUUCAAUAAAGUUUUCAAUUACUGUUUGCUUACUCAUACUUUUCUUAAUUUUGAUUAAUUUCAUACUUUUAUUUGUUUUAUUUAUUAUCCCUUUUUAUGUAUACUUAUGAUUAUUUGUUUUGCUUUCGCUAUUAUUAUUGUCAUCUCACUAAUAUUAUAUUUUUUAAUUUUAAAAUGUUUCUAAAAUGUGGAUACAUUAGUUCACUUUUGCUGCUAUUCUUGCUAUUGUUAGGUUGUUAUUUGCAUUAUUAUUAUUAUUCAUGCACGUUAUACUAGAACUUUUAAAUAUUAAAACAUUUGUAUUUUACGAUGUAUAUUAGGCCUUUGUUUCAAAUGCAUGUUGUAUUAUUGUUAACAGUUAUGUACAAUUCCUUUUGCGUAUUAAAUGAUUUCUCUAAAAAACUAAUAAAUUAAAUGCAUUUUUUAAAAUGAUUUCUAAAAAACUAAAAAACUAUUCUUUUACUUAAAUUCGUAACAAAUCUCAAUAAAUAAGGCAAUAUUUUGUAUUUUAGAAAUUCGAGAAAUCGUGCCCUAACUUACUGAGCUUCGAUUUGUCUCGUUGUUUCUAAGUAAUUGAAUAUCCUUUUAAAAUUAAAAUAAAAAGUGAAAUGCAAACUUACUCUCAAAAUAUGAGAUGUUGGGUCCUAACUAACUGGGUGUGACAUCUUGCUACUUCGAGAUAAGAAAGCAUUUUUCCAUUUUGAUUUAUUCGAGUAAUUUUAAAAUAACACACGUAAAGAAGGAUCGUAUUUUUAAAUUCUUUAAAGUUCUCAAUUUUCGACACCAAGACAUUAAGUAAUCAACUAGGUACCAAUUUUGGGCGUAUCGAGGGUGCUAAUCCUUCCUCGUGCGAAAUCGACUCCCGGACCCAUUUUUUCUGAAUUUCGUAGACCAAAAUCGUUGUUUUAAUAAAAAUUAAAUCGUUUAUUAAAAACAACCACUUUUCGGUGACCCGAUCACACCUUAUCAAAAAAAAGAUUGGUGGCGACUCCCGAUUUUUUCGUUUUUAUUUUUAAAAUCCAAGUCGAUCCCGUUUUGUCAAAAAAAUGGUGUCAACAAUAACCAUUCAAUAUUAAGUUUAGCAUUAUAUUAUUUUGAAUUUGAAGAAAUGGCGACACAUACUAUCUUCCCUAAAAAUUCAACUAACUUCUCCCAUUGAAAUUUUAAACCUAAUGGGCCAUCAUCUUUUAAUAAUACCAUUAUUUUCACGUUUCCAAUUUUAUGUAGUCACGCUCGGACAACCUUUUUCUCCGUCCUAAAGCUAAAAUUGUACUUCCACAAGAAAACAAAAAAUUAUUUGUGGGGGAAAUAAAAAUAACGUUGGUGGGUCAAACUUCUAAAUUGUGGCUUUGCGGCUGUUCAUACCCAACGUCACAUUAAGUUACAAAAGGAAUAGUGUCAUCAAAAAUCCCAUAAGUAAAGUGGGUUAACAUUAUAUUUGUUUAAGGAAAUAAAAAUUGACAUGACUAAUCAAAAAAAAAUGAUUGAAUUUUAACAAUAAAAAACGAUGAAAUUUUUAACAGAAUAAUUAAUUUAUUAUUUAUCUAACGUAAAAGGAUUAAUUUAUUUAUUUUUAAAAUAAAUGAACAAAAUGCAACAUGAUUCUCGAUACAAAAGUCUCUACGAUACUUUUAACAAUGCAAACCAGGUCUAAAUAUUGUAUAAUAUUUAAAGCCUAAACAAAGGGUAGAAAUCAAUGUUGAUAAAAACAGAUGAAAUUAAGAGGAUUGAGCAAACACAAAAGGAGCAAACAUUGUUGAGCCUAUCUUACAAUGCCGUAGAUUACCUCAAAGUGAUUAUCGCUUGUGACCGGCAGCUUACCCAUGGUUCUCAUAGAUGCCAUGGAGCAUGAUUCUCUAUUUGCGUAACAUUGGAUUCUAUCAAUUAAAUUGGAUUUGUUAAUCGGAUAUAUAACCUACUCAAUAAAUCAAACAUUAAUUGUUGCUCGAAAAGAAUCUAUCAUCUACUACUUUUAACAUCGCUAGUAAUAAAAAUAAUCUUUUUCUCAUAUUUUCUUAUCAAAUUUUUUUUUUACAUUUAUAUUUGAUACAUAUUCGAGUAAUAAUAUAAUAGGAUAAUGAAUGGUAAAAUCAAAGAGAAGAUUCCCACGUUCUAGGCCAAACCAACGCCUAACAUAAAAGCAUAAAUCACAUGCAAAUGCAUUUGGUGAAUUGGCAUUUGCCAAGCAAUGCUAUUAUGCUAAUUAGGUAGAUGCGUGGUGGUCGGUAUAUAUAUAUAUAUAUAUAUUAAAAGAAUCUUCAAAAUUUUAGAAGUUAUUUCUUAAAUUUUUAUUUUAAAUCCAGGGCUAAUUGUUAGUAUUAUUAAAUUUGUUAAAAUUUAAGAAUUUAACAAUAUUAAGGGUCGAAUUGAAUUUUAAAAUAUAAAAAACAGAAAGAAUAAUUUCUAAAAAUAAAAUAAAUAGAUUAAAUUCUAAAUUUUCGAAAAUUGCAACAUUAACCAUAUAUAUUACAUGGUUUUGAACGUUUGGAAAUUGGAAUUGACACAAAUACCUAAUCUAAAUUAGUGUUUUUGGAGAUCUUUAUUUAAUUAUUAUUUUCGAGAUUGUUUGCUUAAAGUGUGAACAAGUUUUGCAUAAGGAACGCUGACUUGUCACUCAAAAGAUAGACAGUCUUAUUAAAAUACUUAAGUCAAAACUAAAUUAUGAAUUUUUAGAAAAUGAAAUUUAAUUUUAUUAUUAUAUUAAUUUGCAAUUUCAUUUUUUUAAAUAAAUCUAAAUACAAUAUUUGUUAUUUUCAGACCAAGGUCUUGUCUCCCAAUAAUGACGCAACUUUCGGAUUUCUUAUGAUUAAUUUAUUAUUUGGUAAAUUUUAUUAUAUAAAAUAUAAUUUUUAAACAUACGAAAUAUUUUAUAAAAAAUUGUGUACUUAUCUCUCGUUUAAAUACACAAUUUUAAAAAAAAUUAGAAUUACAAUCCGACAUACGAAUCCCUUUAUCUUUAUUCUCUACUCGAUCAGUGCUUGUGCAAUGACCUUGUCAUAGGUGUGUUGCCCUCGUAAGAUAUCCUUAUUCUUAUUGGGAUAAAUCUAUUUUCUCAAUAUGUUCCUAUUUUAUCUCAUGAUAACUAUUAUAUUUUACUUCAUGAUAAGUCAAUUACUACAAAAUUAAGUCAUCCAUCACAAAGACAAAUGACACGUGACCAUGUUUACUUUUCAUUUAUUAUGUAAUGUCGAUGAGAGGAUAUCAUUUACCUAUUCCUUAGGCUAUAAAUUUCACUAUUGGGAAUAAUGCUACAUACUACAAAAACUGUAUACCCAAUACACUAGCUUUCGAUUCCCAAUCUAUUUCAACUCAGGCUUUUACUUGUAUCAAAGUAUAAGAGUCACGUAUACAUAGUCCAUCAUCCAUUCAAGAUUAAGGUGUGACACACUAUGAAGAUCACAAGUGAAUAAAUUCAUAAAAGGAUUUAGGAUCUAUUCUACUUGGAUCUUGUCCGAUGUACUGUUAGUCCAAUUUGUCACAUCUAUGUCUCUAUCUUUUAGGUAUCAUCUGUUCUGAUCUUUAAGACAAAGCAUCUCCCCAAUUGGACUUGAUAGACGUUAUUUUUGUCUUUCAAUCAGUUUGCUCUUUUUUUACUAGACUAAUGACAUAUUCAGGUUCAUCUACUAAUACAAGUUGUAUUUUUGUAUUACGAUCCAACCACGUAAUACUCAUUUGUAUUAGUUAAUAUUAGAUAACCAGUGAACUAGUAUUUUCUUUCAUUUUGUUGUGUGUAAACACCAUUGAGGACAACAUACAAAAUGUAUUAAUGCAAUUAAUGAAUAAUUUUAUUAAACUAAUAUGUUCAAAAAAUACAAGUAUGCAAAUGAAUAUACUACACUUAGGGCAGCAGAUCCAACAGGCUUGUGCACCAAUUGCACGUUACUACCAUCUUUUACACUCGACUCCUUUUGCUUUUGACCAUUAUGAACCACGGCUUGCUCACUUGUUUUGGCAAUGGAACAUCUUCCCUAAGCAUGGCCAAAACACCCACAACCAUAACAAAUCAUUGGUAGCCUUUCACACUCAAUUUGUUGUAGCAAACCAUCAAUGCUAACAUAGGGUAUUAAUGGCUUUUUCAAACCAACAACCACCGCUACCCGAGCAAAUCAUCCCCUAUUUCUAAUCGUAUUAUUGUAAUAGACCUUUAUGACUACCCACAACUGUUGUGAUAACCCUCGUUAGUUAUUUCGUAUAACACUGAUAGAGCAACCCUAAAAACCGAAUCCAUGCCACAAUCUUCGAUGACAAAGUUUCCUUGAUGGUGAAAUCACGGCUUCAUGGUUGAACAACCAAGUAGUGGCCAUAUAUCAUCCAUGGCCUUCUUGACAACACCCAUUCAUAAUCCUCCAAACAUGCAAACUUAACUAAAAAAUAAUUAUUAUCAAGGUCAACAAAAGUCACCCACUAACUCCCACAUGAUUUUUAUCCUGUUGACUAGAGCCUUGUACCCAAUGGAUCGAGCAAGCAACCUUGCAAUGAUCGUUUGCUUCAUGCUUUAGUCUAUCAUCUUAUGUAUCCGUUUCAAGAUAAAGGCCUUCCAUGGACACAUAAACGUCACCCUUAAGGAGAGAAAUCUCAAUAUCAUCUAAACUAACAUCCUUCCCAUUAUUAACAUUGCUAUCCUUCAUUAGCAUCUCCUUAAAGGAGACCUUCCCCGGCUUGGCAACAUCUUCCAUCUAAUGAUCCGAUACCGUCUCUUCCAUGACAUCUUUAUUAUUGACUUUUUUUGUAGCCAUCUCAAACUCUGGUGGUAGCGACGAACUAGGCCUUUCGAGUUUGUUGAGCUGAACAAUGGGAACCACCAUUCUCAGCUCUUCUAAUUGCUUUUCUUUUAGCCUCCAGUAACUUGGUAAAUGCUAACUUUGUUACAACUUUGAUUUAUUUGAUUAUUUUUAAUAGUAUAGGGACUAAAUUGAUUAAUUUAAGAAUAGAAUGACUAAUUUGAAUUAGUCUUUAUAAUACAAAGACCUCUCAAACAAUUUAACCUAAUUAAUUUAUUAAAAAGUUUGAAGUCAAUUUUGUUGAAAGUUCAAACUUUCAUUUAGCUUUCAACACUAAAUUAAUUGACCAAAAAUAAAGUCAUACUGACCAAGUUAAACAUUAUUUUGCGUCCUUCUGGGUAGUUCAAGCAUUAAUUUUAAUUUCUUUUUUAAAAAUAUUUUCUAUUUAAUUAAAAACAUUAUAAUAUAAAAAAAUACAUCAUCAUGUAUUUAUUUUUCUAUUUAAAUAAAAACAUUAUAAUAUAAAAAAUACAACAUAAUCUAUUUCAUAUUUUUAUAAUCAACGAAAAAUAACACCAACAUGGUAUUGAAAUUAAUAAGAGUCCCUAUUAAAAAGAAUAUAAUUAAGAAAUAUUUUAAAAUAAAAUAAAAACUCGAAUUAAAUAUCACAAAUAACCAAAUGAUUCGAGAUAAAAUUUUUUUAUUUGAAUUAAUAUUUAUGUUUAAGAUUUUAUGUGGUCAAAGAAUGUUAUGUUGCCAUUAAUUUUAAAAUAUCCUAAUAACCUCGUCCAAACUCAUUGUCAAAUCUUUAAAUUGAACAAGAAAAUUAUAAUAUUAUUUAUUUAUAAAUAAAUAAGUUUUAAAAUAAAUAAAUUUUUGACAAUUAAAUUUCAAAGGCGAAACCCACAACAAAUUCCCAUUAAUUGCUCACCAUUAUUGACAGAUUGAUGAAAGUUAAUUCAGUUCAUACCACAGUUAAAAUAAAAUUAUAAUAAUUUAAUUUAUAACUUUCUACCAAAUAUCCCAUUUAAAUAUUUUUUUGAAUAUAUUUUAUAAUAUGCUAAAAUUUUUAUGAUUGAGACUUAAACAAAUGUUUUCAAUAAUGUAUAUUUUCAUAAAUUUAAUUUUUAAAAAUUUAUUCUCUGUAUUUUUAAGGUUUCAAAAUUCAGGGCCUAUUAAUAUUAUGAUUUUUUUAUUAAAUUCAUAUUUAUUAUAAUGUCAUUUUUUAGUUACAUUGUAUUAAAUAAAUACUUUUUUAAUUUCAAAAUGUCAACACCAACUAAUUUAACAAAAAAAAGUGUAGAUGUGAGGUGCAUUUUUUUACUUACAUGUGCAUCAUGCUUUUUUUAUGACUAUAUGUAUAUAUAUAUUAUUUUUUAAUAUUUGAAUGUUUAAUAAAAUUUAAAUUAUUGUGGAUGUGGCGUAUAUAAUAAAUGAUGCCAUUUUAGUAUGAAGUGCACGUAAACUGCUGUAUAGGUUGUCACACUAACAUUGUUAAAAGUUUAAAGUUUUAGUAAGCAUUUACGUUAAAAAAAUAAAUUGAUUCUUUUUAAAAGUUUUAGGUCCAAUUUAGCUCAAAAAAGAAUAAGGAUUAAAUUGAUAAAAAUAUAAACAUUGAGUGUUAAAUUUAUCAAUAAACCUAUAAUAAUACAAAUGUAGUAUUAUAAUGUUGAAAAAGUAAAGUAAAAAACGAGUAUGGACCUCUUUAAAAAAUUUUCAAAAUUAAAAUAAGUUUAAAAAAAAAGUCAGUAAACGUGAAAAACGAGGAAACGCGGCGACGAAAAUGAAAAAUAAAUUUCGUCGCUAUAUAAAUAAGAGAAAUGCCUCUCAGUUUACAUAUAGACAAAGAAAGCGGAGCAUGUGCCAGCGUCUUCACCAACAGAGCAUCAGCACCAGGCGGCAACUAAAUGCUCUUCCCAACCUACCCAUUUUACCAACCAGAAGCCAUUUUCGAUUAAAAUAACGAAAUAAAAGCCUAUUUUUAAUCGACUUUUUAUCCAUUUUUGCCCAUUUAAGAUCCAACAUUUGGCAUUUAUUCCAGACUUUAUCUAAAUUUUAGAAGCCCUUUUUCUGCUAGAAAAAUUAUUAAUAAUGGUAGAAAAAUAGAUAAAACGUUUUAUUAAGGUUUUUAAGAAAAAAAUCUUUUUUUUCUUCUUCUGAUAUUCUGGGAAUCCUUAUCCAUAAUCUAUUCAGCACUUAUCGUCUUUGUUUAUCUUUUCUUUUUAUUCGAGGUCGUUUCUUCUUCUCUUUUUAUUUACCCCAGCUCCUUCUCCUUUUUCUUCUUUUAAUCCCCUUUCCAGAUUAAAAAAAGUUUGGGUGUUUGUUUUUUUGGUCUGGGUUUAGAGUUUUUUAUUAUUAUUAUAGAAAAACAAACCCUUGAGGAAUCGCUGUGUCUGAAGCUAACUCUUUGGAUUUCAUCGAAGGGGGGUUGUUCUAAAGGAUGGUUUUGGUGUCGGUUUUUUUGGAGAUUUUAAGGAAACCCACAAUUGGAGAUGUUUUGAAGGAGCUAAUGAUUUUCAUAGCUCCUUUAUGGAUUGCUGUAAUUGUUGGUGUUUUAGUCGGAUGGGCUUGGAAGCCAAAGUGGGCAAAUAUAGGCAGAGAAAUGAUGAUUGAUUGCUCAGUCUCUAAAGAUUCAACACCUUCAUCUUCAGAUUCUUCAUCUACAAGUUUCAAUCUCAUUUCAAGCUUGAAUUCGAUCAAAUUUUUAUUGCCUAGUUGCAUCUCUUGGAUUACAGAUGAUGAAGCUCAAAGCGAUCCUUUUUCUUUGCCACCCACCGUUGAUUCCAAUUGCAGGUUCGCAAUUUCAUCAUUUGAUUUCUCCUUUUAAUGUUAGUUUGGGGUUUGAAGUGCAAUGAAAAUUGGAUUUAUCUUUGAUUUUGCUAAUCCCUAAUAUUUUCUUGUAAUUUGGGUACAGUUCAUCACAGAUUCCAAAGGGGAAAACUAGUUUUGUGACAAAUGAGGAUUUAGAGCAUUUUGUUAAUUUAGUUGAAGAAAAAGAUGGAGGACCUGCUUGGAUUCAUAUGAUGGAUUGUUCUACUCCAACUAUGUUUUAUCAAGCUUGGCAAAGAGAUCUUGAGGUAUAUAUAUAUAUUCAAUUUAUGUCCUCUUAUAAUUUCAUUUGGUUGAUUAUUGAAUUAUGUUUAUGUCUUGGCUGUUCAAUCAGGCUGGUCCUACGGAAUAUCGUAGCCGAACCGUUUUCGAAGAUACCACUCCCGAGAUGGUGAGGGAUUUCUUUUGGGACGAUGAGUUUCGACCCAAGUGGGAUAACAUGCUUGUUAGUGCUGCAACUAUGGAGGAGUGUCCCACCACUGGGACCAUGGUGGUUCAUUGGGUUCGCAAGGUUUGUAGAACUUUUCUUUUUCGGUUCAUUUUCGUUGUAUCGGAGUAUUAUGUUCUAAUAUGUCUUGUAUUUUGCAGUUUCCUUUCUUCUGCAGUGAUAGAGAAUACGUGUUCGGUCGUCGGAUUUGGGAGUCCGGGCGUGCAUAUUAUUGUGUUACUAAGGUAAUUUUCAGCUUUGGUAUGUUUACUGUUUCGUAGGCUUUUGAGUUGCAGUAAUCCGAUAACUACUUGAGUGAAUGGACAUUCUUUUACGAAUUCGAUAUCUCAAGAUGGUUAUCAGAUAGUAGUAGGCAUCAUCAUGUUAACCAACUCUCUACUCAUAGCAUGUUUACUUCACAUUUCAGGGAGUACCAUAUGGUUCUGUACCGAGGAAAAACAAACCCAGGCGUGUCGAUUUAUACUAUUCGAGUUGGUUAAUCCGUGCAGGUAUUGGACUCGACAUCAUUUUUUCCCUGCCUGCUAUGUCCAUUUAAGUACCGAAUACAUAUACCAUAAUAUAAAUUCUUGGCCCGUAAUCUGUUUGUUAUUCGUUUCAAACAGUUGAAUCAAGGAAAGGAGACGGUCAGCUAACUGCAUGCGAGGUGUUACUUUUCCAUCACGAAGAUAUGGGUAUACCAUGGAAAAUUGCAAAGGUUGGAGUCCGGCAAGGCAUGUGGGGAACCGUCAAGAAGAUCGACCCCGGCCUACGUGCAUAUCAAAAGGAAAGAACAUCCGGAAAUACGCUAUCCCAUUGCGCUUUCAUGGCUCAGAUAAACAGUAAAAUAAGUGCAGACUAUCUGAGAUCCUUUGAAAGCAAAAGUAACGAUUCAUCAGAGCUCGAAACACAUAAUUCAUCUGAGAAACCGUCAGGGAAAAACAUUCCCAAACUUUUAGUCGUUGGUGGGGCUAUCGCCCUUGCUUGUAGUUUUGAUCGAGGCCUCUUGACCAAAGCUGUUAUAUUUGGAGUAGCUCGAAGGUUUGCAAACAUCGGAAAGAGAUUGUAACUCGGGUAUAUUUACUGUCGUGAUUCCGAGAAUGCCAGCGGAGCUAAUUGCUGCUGCAAAUGAAAGUGAGAGAUGUUACCACCAAGGGCCGAAAUCUUUUUGCUUGCCUGCUUUUUUUAAAGGAUCAAAGAUCGUAAACUCUUUUUGAACUUCCGGGCUGCGAAGUUUGGAACCGGGGAAAUAAAGAUCAGAUAGUUGGAUUAUAAAAGCCUCUGUUCAAUUGCUAAUCCAUCUUAAAUUUAUUUAUUUUUCUUGCUUGAUUGUAGUCCUCAUAAAUAUUUUCUGGAAAAAGCAUGGAAUACAAAGGUGAAUUGCUGCUUGAUAAUGAGCUUUGCAUACCUGUUCAUACAACUUAAGAGGAAGCUAUUAUUUAAUUUAGUCCUGAGCCAAUAAGGUUAAAUUGAAAUAUAAUUAUCAUUUACUGUACGGAUUUAAUAUUUUUAAAAAUUUUAUGGUCUUAUAAAUUGAAUUUUUUUUGGUUUGAAAUUUAAUUGCAAUUAAUAAAAUAUUUUCUAUUGAUUUUUAAUAGAAACUGGCCUGCUUGUAUACACGUGGCAUUGUCCUACUGGCUAAACGAAAAUUAAUAUCUCGUUAAUUAAGAGGUAGAUCCAGAAAAUAUAAAAAAGGUCCAGACACAAGGGAAGAAAAAAUCAAUUUGGCGAAAGCGAGGGAGAAAAAGGGGAAAGCAGGUCGUCCUUGUUUUUCAUCGGAGCUUCGAAAGUAUACACACUCAGUUCCCUGAUUUGGAUUGUGGAAAUAGAAAGGAAUCGGGAACAUGAAUUGAUCUGGACCGCUUCUAGCGACUGUGCUCGCUGCUUCCAUGGUGGCUUUCUUAUCAUCUUCUUCCCCCGAAUUCCACAAUGUUUCUUUCUUUUCAACCUCCUCUGAUCAGGUUUUCCUUUAAAUCUCCCCUUUCAAAACUUUAAACUUCCUUAUUGUAUUUUCUGUUGUCGCAAUGUCCAGUGAUUGAUUUCGAAAUAGAAUCUAGAUUUGCUUGACCUUUCCAAUUUCCCUCUCUUUAUUUGCAGCUUGAGUCUUUAAUUAGUUUUUAAAUUAUCCUACCAUUUCUCUACUCUCUUUUCUCGAUUUUUCUGUUGAUUUCUCUUUUUGCAGUAUUAACUAUGUCUUGAAUUUGUUGAAAAAUUUCGCUAUGGAUUUGAAAUAUAUAUUAUUAUUUUUGUUGUUAUUUGUACUUGAGAUUGAAUUGAUUAUUUAGCGACCAAAAAAUGGCGCCAUAUAAAUUAGCUAACUCUGAUAGCAAAAGUUGAAAAAAGUUGCAGGAAAAAAAUUAAGAAUAGAGAUGAUAGCAAGUAUGCUAUGUCAAAACGAAGCCUUCCAUGGCCAUAAACGGACACUGCCUUUUAGCUACCAAAUCUCUACUCAAAAUACUUACUGAGUCUUUUAUUUAAUAUCAUUUGAUCUAAGGUUAAUUUCUGAUGUGUAGGAUCAAUAAAUGAGUACAAAAGCAAGGAUGUUUUCCAGGAGCCAGAAAGACUACCUCAAAAGUUGUACAGCCACCAGUACCAGCUGUAUGCAUGUUCCAGUCUACUACAUCAUUUGACAAGGAUUUUUCUCAUCUUGAAGAAUUUUCCACUCAGGGAUAUACUCAUGUUCCUAAAAUCCCGACAAAAAUGCAAGCUAACCAAGAAGGGAGGACAACCAAAAUUACUGCUGCAGAAGCAACUAUCAACUGGCAGAUAGAGAAUGCUUUAGCCCAAAACUCGAUUCUCAAAAGCAUCAAUUCAAAAGUUGAUCAGAAUGACUCUAAAGUUUCUAGAGUUGAAGCUAAAGCUAAUUAGAAUUCAAAAAUGAUAAAUGAUUGUAAUAACAGAUUUUGCCCGGGCUUAAAAGGGCCCAAAUUACAAUGGGCCUAUGUAGCCCAAAACCUAAAAUAAGCAGAGGCCCUAAACAAUGGCCCAACACAAUAUCAGAAACCUUAGGGGUUCUGUGAUGAGUCUCGCGACGCAGCCACCUAGCCUCGCCCUCCGAAUCUCAGCCUCCGAAUCUUCAUCUGUGCACAAAAAAGGAAAUAAACAGUAUAUGGAAAACAAGAUCGAAGAUUUGCAAAUCAAAUCAAUAUAAGUAGAUUAGUUUCUUUAUAUAUUUUGAGAAUGGCUAUAAAAAGCCAUUAAACAUACUGUAAUAGUGGUCGAAAAAUUAAAUAAAAACGGAGGCUUUUACUUUCGCAAUACAGAGAUCAUAGUCUAUUAAAGGUUGAUACUUGUAUUUCUAUUUUAUUUUAUUUCAUUAUGUCUAUUUAUUUUUAUCAUUUAUAUAAAUAAUAUAAAUACAAAAGGAAGGAAAUAACCUGUAUUCGAGUCCUAACCGCCGCGGAUGGCCGAGGAAGUCGUCACCGAGGAUUGACGGCCGAAAACCGAAAGGUUUUCUCGAGAUUUGGGCCCUCUCCAUCAAUAUUUUGGCAAUUUCGGGGUUAGAUUCGAGUUUAAAGGCUUUAGAAGGGUCAGAUCUAAAAUUUUCAGCUCUUCGACCACCGCAUAUGGCGGCGGCGCCACCGGUGGCCGGUGCGGUGGCCGAUGACCGGGCGACGCCGGACUUAGGCCGGAUGACUGAAGAGGGGGGAGAGUUUCUUAAAAAGUUUUUUUUUUUUUUGAAAAAGAAUGGGAAAUGAAAUUUUUUUGGUUUAAAUUUGGCUUAAAUAAGCCCAUCAAAACGGCGCCGUUUUGAAGGAGGUGGGAUCCGCGCAUCGACCCGAUCCGGACCCAAGAUCCGCGCGUUUUGAUGCGGAGGGGAAAAUUGCGUUUUUAGCCCCUUCGCCUUUUAAUACUUUUACAAUUAAGUUUUUUUAAAAAAAAAUUCGCCUUUAAUUUGUAUUUAAUUUCAAUUUAGUCCUCUUCGAACAGCGCCGUUUUAGAGGAGAGGGGAAAUUUCCCUUCUAGCCCAUCUAUGUAAUUCGCGUGUUCAAAUUAGUCCUUUGGGUUUCAUUUAUUUGUGGAUUUGCCCCAAAAUUUUUCAAUUACUGUUCAAUUUAGUUUUUUUAAUAUUUUCCUAAUUAAUUUUAAUAAUGUAAUUGUUAUUUUUUUAUUUUUGUAAUUAUUUUUCAAAAUAUAUUUAUUUAUUUUUUAUGCGCAUUUAUAUUUUUAAACUAAUGUUUUUUUCAUGUAUACAUAUUUUUUUGAAUUUUGAUAAUGUUGACAUUAUUAAUAUAUUUUAUGUUUUCAUAAAUACAUUAUAAAUUUUAUAAAUCAAAGUUUUACAUGAAAAUUCAUUUGUAUGCCUCUAAUUCUUCAUGAUUUCAUUUAUUUUACUUAUUUUGCUCAUUUAUUUGAUAUUUUACAUGUCAUUCGUUAUUUUUCCUUUUGUCUUAAUUUAGUUUGUUUAAACUUCAUGUUAUUACCUCAUUGUUAUAAUUAUUGUUGUAUUUGUUAUUGGGACAUUUAUACAUGCAUUCAACCUAAUAUCACAUCAUUUUUUUUACUCGAUUUCAAACUUUUCAAAAUUGAGCGAAUGCUUGUAUUUAGGAUUUUCAAGGAAAUUGAGCCCUAACGUAUUGGGUUCCGAUUUUCUUCGUUAAAUCUAACAAUCGUGCAUUUCUCUUUAAUCAAAAAAAAAUAAGAAAUCAUUAUUGGGAAUUCAACACGUUGUGUCCUAACGCAUUGGAUGUGACGCAUUGAUUUCUUGAAAUGAAGACUUUGAAGGAAUUGUGCCCUAACGUAUUGGGCCGCAAUUUCUGAAAUCUUGAAUAAAUGGAUAUUCUUUUAAAUUUUUAUUGCAUGUAUUCUGGCCUAAUUCAUUUUUAGGGAAAUUAGAAUGUUGUGCCCUAACGCAUUGGGUGUGACAUUUUCCUUCUCUGAAAUGAUAAGGGUCUUAAUACGUAACGUUUUUUAAAGUUUUUUUGCUAAGGAUUAUAUAUUUUCAAACUCUCGACUUCAAGACAUUAAUUAAUCAAUUUGGUACCAAUUUUGGGCGUUACGAGGGUGCUAAUCCUUCUUCGUACGUAAUUUACUUCCGAACCCAUUUUUUAAAACUCAUAGACCAAAGCCGUUUUUUAGGUGAUCCAAUCACACCUUAAUAAAAGAUUAGUGGCGACUCCCAAUUUUUCAUCGACAACUAAUUUUUGUUUUUUCCAAAAAUAAAAAUGGUUUCGACAAUGAUCUUAUCGGGUUAAUGCAGAAUAGUUUGAAAGGACUAGCCAGAGAGCCAGCAGCACCAGGACAAUAUUUCUUCUCUCAUCUUGCUCAAAGAGAGAAAGAAAUCCAAAAUCUCAAGGAGCAGAUCAAGAUGCUAAAAGAAAUAGGACAAAUUCCACCUCCUAAACCGUCUAGGAAUGGAAUGGAAUUGAAUUGAAUUGUUCCUUUCAAUAAGGCAGAUAGACGCUCUACCACCUCCAACAGAAUUGAGAUUAACUUUUCCGCCACCAAAUAAAAAGAAGAAACCUAACACAUUUUAUUUGUUUUUACAAAUCAAAGCUCAAAAGAAAACGAAAAAAGAGGAGCAAAAAAAAAAAAAGAAGAAACAAGAGGAAGCGAAGAGCAAAAAGAAGAUAAAUCCUUGGGGAAACGCCUAUAAAUGAAGAAUAAUAGGAUUUUCCUACACCAAAGCAAGUGUCUAAGUCCCUGAUAAUUAGGAGAAUAAAUAUCAUUCAAAUCCUUUGUCAACAUUCUUAAAGGAUUAUAACCAGCAAAUACUUCCCAAAAUAACUGCUUUAUAAGAAGCCACAGAGGAAUCCAACUCCUCUGAAGAAUCCAGUGAAGAUGUCUCAGAAUCUUCUGAUGAUAUCUCAGAAAGAGAAAAAAGUCAAGUGAUAGCAACCACCCAACCAGAAGUUACAGUGGAAAUGUCAGAUGAAGAAAUGGGAAAUAUCGAUGAAACAUCAUAUGUUAGACCUCCAAAAUCUAUCUCAAGAGGAAAAACAACUUUCACCCUCGAUAAUAUUCCAACUUCCAAAUGGCCAGGAAGACUUCAGAAGUUUCACUCAUGGCUUGACACCAGAAAAUUGACAGAAGAAAGUCAUUACAGUAUCCUGUUAGAAUUUGUUUCCAGAUUUACAGGAAUGUUAAGAGAUUUGUGGAAUUCGAUCAGUCAAGUAGAUCAGAUACAAUUUUUGGUCUUAACAGAUUUAUCCCAAGCCAUUAGGAUUAUCCAUAAUCAUUUUAUUGGAAAUCUUGAAGAUCUCUUAACCUUGAAAAGAAGAAAAUUCUUCAAACGAAAAUGUUACUCUUACAAUAAAAAAGACUUAUCCAGGCAUUUUCAUGCUAUGACCAAACUUUUUUGUUCACUCGGUCUAGAGCAAAGUCUUAAACUUGCAGUUCUCGUAUCCAUACUAGAGCCUCUUCAAGUUGCUAUCAAUCAAAGUCUCCACAGGCAAAAUAGAAACAUCGUCAACCUGACAAUUGGAGAAAUCCAACAAGAAAUUUAUGUUUCUCUUGAAAACUUAUGCAAUAGAAAAAAGUUUUCAAAGACUAUCUCCAUGGUGAAAAACGGUUGGACAAAGCCUGUGAUGAUUCUUACCUAUGAAUGAAGUGUGGACAUGAAAAAUAUUGCUAUUGCAGGACAAAGAAGAAAAAAAGUUUCAGGAAAUUAAAAAACCCUAGUCUUCCAAGAUCCUUCAGAAGGAAAACAAAUUGGAGAUAUUUGAAGAAAAAAAGAUCUCCAAAGGGGAACCAAAUCAAAUAGGUGUUACAUUUUUAAUCAAAAGGAUCAUUUUGCAAAAAAAUUGCCCAAAUAACAAAAAGGGGUUUAAAAUAAUCCAACAAAUCCAGCAAGAAUCAGGAAUUAGGAUCAGAGAAGGAGAUGACCUCGAAUCAUUCAUUUCCAUUGAUGAUGAAACAACAGAACAACCACUAUUCAAGGAAUGGCCUUAGAGUCAUAUUUGUCGUCAAAUCUAUAUGAUUAAAGCCCAAAAAGCCCAAAUCCUCUCUACUACCACAAAAGUUUCUGUUAUUCAUAUUCCAGUUUCAAUCUAUUUGGAUAAAUACAGUAAGCCCAUAACUCUUAUCGCCUUUAUAGAUACUGGAGCAGUUGAGACUAUCAUGAAUCCAAAGAUACUGCCCAUAGAAUUCUAGAGGCCGCAGGUCUGUUAUUUCAAUUCAGCAGCAGAUCAAGUCUUUGCGACCCACUGGAUUAGUAAGCCCAUUAACAUCCAAUUUUUCUCAGGAUGUUUUGUAAAUACUACAGUAUUGGGAUCUGACCUCCCUAGAAAAGACCUUGUGGUUGGAUUUGACUUAUACACUAAGGCCCGACAUAUGAGGAUACUGCCAGAUGGAGUCUGUUACAAAAAAUGUUCAAACCUUUUGUCCGGAUUCCCAGAUUAUUUAUGAUUCAUAAAGGAAAGAUUCAGAAGAUAAUUGAAGAAUUAAAGAGCAAAGCAUGUGCUGAUUCACAUUCAGAAGUUAGCUGAAGAAGAAUGUCGACAGCUACAGCAACAAGGGUUGAUAGAAGGUUUAAAUUUUCAAUGGGCUUGUGAAGCCUUUUAUGUCAAUAAAAGAGCUGAAGAAGCUAGGGAAAAUUGAGGUUGUUUAUCAAUUACCAGCUUUUAAACCAUUUUCUCCAAGAUGAUAAAUUUCAUUUGCCAAAUUGGAAUUCAUUAUUCUCAAGUCUUGCCCAAGCAAAGGUUUUCUCUAAGUUUGACUUGAAGGCAGAAUUUUGGCAAUUAGAAAUUAACUCAGAAGACAGGCCUAAGACAAGAUUUUGUAUCCCAAAUAAGUAUUUCCAAUGGACAGUAAUGCCCUUUGGGCUCAAGACUACUCUAUCAUUAUUUCAGAAGGCUAUGAUAAAGAUUUUCUAGCCCAUUAUGGACCAUGCUUAGGUCUAUAUUGAUGAUAUACUUUUUUAUAGUACAAACCAAAAAGCUCAUGCAGAACUAUUAUAAUAAUUCAAAUAGUUCACACUGAAAUAUGGGAUUAUGUUGAUGAAAGAAAAAUGCAGAUCAAUAAAGAUUUAAUUGAGUUCCUAGGCAUGCAGCUCAAAGAUGGAAAGUACCAGCCAGACAAGCAUAUUGCAUAAGUAUUGCUCUAAUUUCCAGAAAGUAAUUUAUCAAAAAAACAAGUUUAACAAUUCUUAGGAAUUCUUAAAAAUCUCUCUUUAAAUUUACAAAUCCUUUGAGAAUGAUGUUAAAGAAAGACCCUCCUCCAUAGAGUACAGCUCAAACCAAGUAAAAAUACUUAAAGAAUAACUUUAGCAACUGCCACCAUUACAUAUUCCAUCAGAAGGAAAAAGAAUUCUCAAGACAGAUGCCAGUGACAAAUAUUUGGGGGGCCAUACUCAUUGAAGAAAAAGAAGGAAAAAUAUACUUUUACGGAUAUAAGAGUGGAAGGUUCUCUAAUGCAGAAAUGCAUUACCAUUCAACCUUCAAAGAAGUCCUUGCAGUAAAAAAAAGUAUUUCAAAGUUUGAUUUUCAUCUCAUAGGAUAUCAUUUCCUUAUAGAGAUGGACAUGUCUUCCUUCCCAAAAAUACUAAUGUUCAAACAAAAGGAUGGCCCUCAUCCUCAGCUGUUAAGAUGGUCAGAAUGGUUUUUUAAAUACUCAUUUGAUGUUAAACACAUUAGGGGAAAAAUCAAUGUUUUAGCUAACUUCUUAACCAAACCACCUGAAAAAAUCUUAGUGAUAGCACAUUCAUCCUCAUCUUCUCAAACGAAAAAAGCCAUCUUAUCAAACCCCCCACUUCCUUUCAGUACUCAAUAUGUGCCACCUAAUUCACAUCCUGAACACUCACUUGAAGUAUUGAGUCUAAUCCUUGAAAAAAGAUUUCACAAAGAAGCUCUGAACAUGAUGUUUUCUCAUCAACUUGAUGUUUUCAAAAACUGUGGGGGGUUAUACCUAAAACCUUUAGGACUACAUUUAGAAUAUCCAUUUAUUCAUCCGAUUAAACUUCAAUUUACCGAAUUCCCUGAUGAAUUAAAAUGGAUGUUAUGGUAUCUUACCCACUUAUAUCACAUUGGGAUACAGUUUGAUAUAUUGGAUCUCCAAUAUUUUCUAACUGUUGCUUAUCAAGGACAAGAGAACCCAGAACUCCACAAUUGGGCUACCUUUCUUAAAUGGUUUUAUCUUUUAAAUCAGUGGUUGGAUAUGAUUACCUUGACACUUGAACAACCCAAAAGAACACCUCAUUCAAGUGUAGUAAUUAUUUUUUAUGAACCACAAUAUUUUAUGCAACAUGGUGCAUCAACCCAAUUAGGAGCAUUUCCAACGGCUUGGAUUCACAAGACAUACAGCUCAGAGGUUGAUACAAAUCCUUAUAACUAGGACUGUGCAUAAUUCGGUUAACCCGAUUUUUUUUGGUUAACCGGCCGAGUUCGGUUAAUCGGUCGGUUAAUCGAAAAAAUUCGGUCGGGGGUCGGUUAAUUUUUUUGAUUUUUUCGGUUAAUGGUUAAAUCGGUUCGAAACCGGUCGGUUAACUGAAAAAAAUCAGGUAAACCAAAUUUUGCAGUGUAGGGCCUAAAAUAGGUCAAAUUAAACUCGGCCCAAUUUUUUCUCAAGCUCAACACCGAACUUUUUGGGUAAUUUUCGGGUAAUUUUCGGGUAAUUCGGUUAAUCGGGUAAUUCGGGUAAUUUUUAACCAAAAAUAAAAAACACAUAAUUUUCGGUUAAUUCGGUUAAUCGACCUUAUUAACCGAAAAAAAUUCGAUUCGGUUAAUUUUUUUUAAAAAAAAUUCGGUUCGAUCAACGGUUAAAAAUUUUAGAAGGUCGAUUAAUUCGGUUAUAACAAUUUCGGGUCGAUUAACCGAAUGAACACCCCUACUUAUAACUACAAAGCACUGCAAAAAUAUCUCUGCCAACUUAACAGAACCAUUCCCACAAAGAUAUGACCACCAGGAGAUGUACUAGCACAUUGGGACUUUAAUACAGAGCUACCGACACCCUAUCAAAUAGAGUUAAAAAAGGCACUCAAAGAAUAUUAAAAAAAUAUUCCAGAUCUAAAAAAGUGGUUACAAGAUUACCUAUGGUUUUGUAGCAAUGCAUGGAAAGACACACCAACCUGGGAUAAGGACAAAUCAACACUAAUGGACCUUGACAGCUCACCAAAUGAUAGCAAAUGAGUAGAAAAACUCUACAAGGCAAAGCUAGAAAAAGAAAUAAGGAUUGAAGAGUAAAACCUCACAUCAGAUGUCAGAAUACAGUGAUUAAAAGUGGAUUUCGUCUGGUCAUUAUUAAAAGUUUGUAUCAUUUUACUUUAUCUUUUAUAAAAAGGUUGUAAAAGGAUAUUCCUCCUUAUCUCCAUAGUAGUUAGAAAGUUGAUUUCUCUCUUAUCAGUUGUAGAAAAAUCUUAUCCAAGUUUUCCUAUAAAAGAGAGAAAUAUACUUAGUUGUAGGUAGAUCGAAAUCUAUCGAUAAAAAUUUCAGAGUAUUUUCCUAAGACUCAUAUCUCACUGAAACUCUUUCCUUCUUUCUUUUCUGAGCAAAGCCUUAAGGCAAUUUGAGAAUGAAUCUCUCAUGAGUUUAUGAGUAUGCUCUGUGCUUGUCAAACUACGGAUCCUGCACAUCAGAAAUUAAGCUUAGAUAAAAUGAUAUUAAAUGUUAAAAGACUCAGGAAGUAUUUUGAGUAGAGAUUUGGUAGCUAAGAGGCAGUGCCCGUUUAUGGCCCUGGAAUACCUCGUUUUGGCAUAGCAUACUUGCUAUCAUCUCUAUUAUUAAUCCUCUUCCUGCAGCUCUUUUCAACUUUUUGAGCUGUACUCCAUGGAGGAGGGUCUUUCUUUAACAGCUUUCUUAAAGGAUUUGUAAAUUUAGAUAUUUUUGAAAUAAAAUCUAGGAUAAUUUCUUCCUUCUACUUAAAAUAUUAACGUAAGCAAACAGUUUAUACAUUAGUCCCUUAUGUUUAAAAUAGUACGUUUUAGUCACUUACAUUAACAUGUUAUAACAUUUUAGUCAUUGAACCAUUAAUUGUUCUUAAUAGUGUAACGGUAAGCUGACGUAGCAUGUUAAAUCAUCAUUUCAAACAAAAAUUUUAGGUUAUAUUAUACAAUUGGUUCCUAUAUUUUUUCGUUUUGAGCAAUUUAAUUUUUUCCUUUUAUGUUCUUUUAACUUUAUUUUUUCAUUCUCUUUUGCUUCUCCCUCUAUUUUCCUCCAUUCUCCAUCUUUUUUCCUUCUAUGUGUUACAUUUGUUAAAACUAAAGGGAAAGAAGAAAAAAAAUAAAAAAAAUAAAAUUGUUCAAAAAAAUAAAAGUACAAGGACUAGUUUUAACAAAUAGAAAACAUAAAAAAAAUUACGUUAAAAGAUAUGAAGGGAGGAAAACAAAGGGAGAAACAAAAAAUGUAAUCACUGAAUAUUGUCCGACAUGAAUUUGCAUUUUUUUUAAAAUUACAUUUCGGCCCCUAAGUUUUUUGAAAUUGCAUCUUAACCCCUAAAGUUUCUUGAAAUUAUGUUUUGACCCCUAAAAUUCCUAAAAUUAUAUUUUAAUCCUUAAAUUUUCUCAAAAUUACACUUUGACCCCAGAAGUUUUGCUGCAUUUGCAAUAUGGUCCUUCUGGCAGCAACUUGCACAUCUACCCCCGUGAUUUCCGGCCACCCGCCUAAGGCAUGGCCUCCCUCCCCCUAGCCACCUAAUCCCUGCAAAAAAGAAGCAACAAAUCAGCUAUAAAAAGGGGUUUAAACCCCAAAAUCAAGGGGGGAUGACAAAAAAAUCUCAAAAAAAAGAGAGAAAAAAAGCUUUGAUAAUAAGAGAAAAGGAGAGAGAAAGGAGAGUAAGAGAAGGGAAGCGUCGGGAGCACAUCACCGGGCAGCAGCAACGGCGUCGACGGCAGCGAAGGAGGCUAGAUCCGAGAGAAGAAGAGGAAAAAAAGAAGAAAAAAAGAGAAAAAAAAAAGAAGGAAGAAGAAAAAGAAAAAAAAAAGAAAAAGAAAAAUAAAUUUUUAAUAGUCGGGUCGACCCGACCCGACCCGGCCCGACUGACCAACCCGACCCGAGCAGCUUAGCAGCCCACCAGCAGCCCCCAGGCCGAAAAAAAGAAAAAAAAAACAAACAAAAAAAAAGGAAGGAAAGCAGGAAAAUAAACCAACAGGCCCAACAGCCUAGCAGGCCAACAGCCCAACAGCUUGGCAGGCCAGCAGGCCCAUUACAGCAGCAGGCCUACAGAUUUGGCCCAACAAACAGCAGCCCCAGGCCCAACAGCAGUCAGGCCAGCCCACCCAGCCCAGUCUAGGAAAAAAAGAGAAAAAAGAGAAAAAAGAAAAGGAAAAAAAGAAAAAAGAAGUCCGAAUUAUGUAACCCGGUCAAUAAAGCUCGUAUUUUCGGGCUUUUCGGUAAUUUUUUUUACGCACUUUUAAUUUAAUUUACACAUUUUUAUGACAUUUCAUAUUUAAUAUUCUUGUUUUGUUUUUAAGCAUUUUUUUUAUUUUGUAUUAGGUUUUUUAAAGCAUUUUUUUAUAGUCGUAUUUAAUUUUAUUUAAUUUCAUUAAUUUUAAUUUUCACAAAUAAGGCGACGAACCAAUUUAACAUUAAGCCGUAUAUUUUCAUCGCUAUGUUGGGUGAAUAUAUUUGGCUCGUGUUAAAUUAGGGACGCCCUUUUAAAAAAUUGAAAAACUUAAAAAUUCUCAUGUUUUAAAUUUUUUUUUCGUGUUUUCAAAAAAAUUAAUAAUUGUUUCAAAAAUCUUUGUGUUUAAAAAAAUAAAAAUUCUCGUGUUUCAAAAAUUUUCAUGUUUUCAAAAAACAAUUUUCGUGUUUUCAAAAAAUUUUUAUCGUAUUUUAUAGAUUUUCGUGUUUUAAAAAAAUUUCGUAUUUCUAAGAUUCUUGUAUUUCUAAAAAAAAUUUCCGU
rnacentral:lncRNA from 1 species